rnacentral:lncRNA from 1 species
UCCAGCAAGUGACCUGUAGUAUUUGUAGUAAUGUGUGUCCGUGUCCCAUUCUACUUGUUUGCCAUCUAUCUAUCUGCUUGAGUGAGUGAGCGAGUGAGUGCCUAUCCAUGUAAUAAUUAUCCUUACGGGAACCAUGCUGGUCUACUUUUUUCUAUACCACUACUACUCUCUCUCUCUCUCUCUCUCUCUCUCUCUGAACUAAGGGGUACCCUAUAAUUAUCCUUACGGGAACCAUGCUUGUCUACUUUUUUCUAUACUACUCCUCUCUCUCUCUCUCUCUCUCUCUCUGAACUAAGGGGUACCCUACAAUGAAAUGAAAAGGGUUCCACUGCUAGGUAAGCGGCACAUGGGUGGGUGAGACAUGUGAAGAGAAGGGCACACACUCAUGCCAAUUGAACAUUAAUGGCUGGGAGUUGGGGCAGACAAAUCAUAUUUUCACAUAGGGCCACUUUCUAAAAGGAAAAAACUGGAGCUCAGCCCCAUUCUUCCGUAAGUAAUUGAAGUUUAUGUUACUGUAACAAUGCCCAACCACAUAGAUGACCAAACCCCAAUCGUUUCAAAAUCUUAGGGUUGUUUGUUAGCAGAAAAUAGAUUUUUUUUCUUUUCUUUUCUUUUUCCCAUAACAGAAAAUCGAAGAUGGAAUGUGAGUAAAAAGAAGACAUUAUUUCAUUUCCAAAAAUGAACAUAUUUUUGAAAUAUGACUAAUUGUUAAACACUCCCUUGUGACUCAUGUAUUUUCUUGGCCGUUCCAUUAAUAGUACACUAAUUUAAAAAAAUUAUGCUUAAAUUAUUAUAGUAGAAGAAGUUAUUACAAAUAUAUGAUAGUUUUUGUCAUAUAGAAGAUAGGAAAGAGGAGAGAGGAGAGAGGGUGAACGGAUAAUUUUUUUUAAAACCAAAAUCAUCUUUUCAAAUUUCAAAAGAUGAAAUCGUCUCUUCAAGAUACGAGUUUUCAUGAAAAAAUAUAUAUAUAUAAUUUUUUUUAAAAAUUCCCAAAUUAAAAAAAAAAAAAAAAAAAAAUCCUCAAGGAACUCGUGAAAAGACGAGUUCCCAUGAAAAAAAAUAUUUUUUUUUAAAUUUCUAAAUUACUAAAAAUAAAAAUAAAAAUAAAAAAUAUCUCAAGGGAACUCGUCUCUUGAAAAGACAAGUUCCCAUGAAAAAAAUAUUUUUUUUUUUUAAAAUUGUCAAAUUAUAAAAAAAUAAAAAAUUCCUCAAGGAACUCGUUUCUUGAAGAGACGAGUUCCCAUGAAAAAAAAUAUAUAUAUAUAUAUUUUUAAAAAAAUUCUCAAAUUAAAAAAAAAAAAAAAAAACAAUUCCUCUAGGGAACUCGUCUCUUGAAGAGACGAGUUUCCAUGAAAAAAAUAUAUAUAUUUUUUAAAAAAAAUUCCUAAAUUAUAAAAAAAAUAAAAAUAAAUAAAAAUUCCUAAAGGGAACUCGUCUCUUGAAGAGACGAGUUCCCAUGAAAAAAAAUUCCUCAAGGGAAAUCGACUCUUUAAAAAAAAUAUAUUUUUUUUAUAUAUAUUUUUUUUUAAAAUUCCCAAAUUAUAUUUUAAAAAAAAAAAAACAAUUCCUCAAGAGACGAGUUCCCGAAAAAAAAAUUUUAACAAAAAUUCCCAAAUUAUAAAUAAAUAAAAAAUAAUUGGGGAAUUUUUUUCAUGGGAACUCGUCUCUUUCCCUUGAGGAAUUGUUUUUUUUUUUUUUUUAAUUUUUAAUUUGGGAAUUUUUUUAAAAAAAAAUAUAUUUUUUCAUGGGAACUCGUAUCUUGAAGAGACGAGUUCCCUUGAGGAAUUGGUUUUUUUUUUUUUUUAAUUUGGGAAUUUUUUUUUUUUUAAAUAUAUAUAUAUAUAUAUAUAUUUUCAUGGAACUCGUCUCUUUAAGAGACGAGUUCGCUUGAGGAAUUUUUUUUUUUUUUUUAAUUUGGGAAUUUUUUUAAAAAAUAUAUAUAUAUAUUUUUUCCAUGGGGAAAAGACGAGUUCCCUUGAGGAAUUGUUUUUUCUUUUUAAAUAAUUUGGGAAUUGUUUUAAAAAAAAAAUUAAUGGAACUCGUCUCUUCAAGAGACGAGUUCCCUUGAGUAUUUUUUUUUUCUUUUUUUUUUUUAAUUUGGAAAUUUUUUUUUUAAAUAAUUUUUUUUCUAUGGGAACUCAUCUCUUGAUUCCCUUGAGAAAUUGUUUUUUUUUUUUUUUUUUUUAAAAAUUGGGGAAUUUUUUAAAAAAAAUAAUAUAUAUAAUUUCAGGGAACUCGUCUCUUGGAAAAAACAAGUUCCCUUGGAGGAAUUUCCUUUUUUUUUUUUAAUUUGAAAAUUUUUUUUUUUAGGGGAAACUCCCUCUAUUGAAGAAAACGAAGUUCCCUUGGAGAAAAUUGGUUUUCUUUUUUUUUNNNNNNNNNNNNNNNNNNNNNNNNNNNNNNNNNNNNNNNNNNNNNNNNNNNNNNNNNNNNNNNNNNNNNNNNNNNNNNNNNNNNNNNNNNNNNNNNNNNNUUUUUUUUUUUUUUUAUUUGGGAAAUUUUUUUUUUUUAAAUAUAUAUAUAAAUAUAUAUAUUUUCAUGGAACUCGUCUCUUUAAGAGACGAGUUCCCUUGAGGAAUUUUUUUUUUUUUUUUAAUUUGGGAAUUUUUUUAAAAAAUAUAUAUAUAUAUUUUUUCCAUGGGGAAAAGACGAGUUCCCUUGAGGAAUUGUUUUUUUUUUUUAAAUAAUUUGGGAAUUGUUUUAAAAAAAAAAUUAAUGGAACUCGUCUCUUCAAGAGACGAGUUCCCUUGAGUAUUUUUUUUUUCUUUUUUUUUUUUAAUUUGGAAAUUUUUUUUUUAAAUAAUUUUUUUUCUAUGGGAACUCAUCUCUUGAUUCCCUUGAGAAAUUGUUUUUUUUUUUUUUUUUUUUAAUAAUUUGGGAAUUUUUUAAAAUAUAUAUAUAUAUAUUUCAUGGAACUCGUCUCUUGAAGAGACGAGUUCCCUUGAGGAAUUUCUUUUUUUUUUUAAUUUGAGAAUUUUUUUUUCUAUGGAAACUCGUCUAUUGAAGAGACGAGUUCCCUUGAUGAAUUGUUUUUUUUUUUUUUUUUUUGUUUAAUUUGGGAAUUCUUUUAAAAUAUAUAUAUAUAUAUUUCAUGGAACUCGUCUCUUCAAGAGACGAGUUUUCUUGAGGAAUUUUUUUUUUCUUUUUUUUUUGUUUUUUAUAAAUGGGGAAUUUAAAAAAAUAUAUAUUUUUUUUCAUGGAACUCGUCUCUUGAAGAGACGAUUUCCUUUUUGAAAUUUUUUUAAAAUCGUCUUUUGAAAAGACGAUUUCGUCUUUUGAAAUUUGAAAAGAUGAUUUUGGUAUAAAAGAAAUUUAUCUGUUCAUUCACUCUCCUCUCUCCUAAGUAGCAAAAACUACCAUAUAUUUGUAAUAACUUCUACUACUACUAUAAUUUAAGCAUAACUUUUUUAAAUUACCGUACUAUUGAAAAAAGUCUGUUCCAUCAAUAUCUAAAAGUACACUAAGACACUUAAACCCACAACUACCCAUCUCCAAAAAUUCAAUAUUCUUAAAAGAACACCAAAUGCAGUUCUCCAAGGGAUAUUGAAUGAAUCCCUAUUUCUUAAAAUAGGGUUUAUCCAUUCACAACCAAUCAUAUAGAAAUUAUCACAUUUGGAUUCAAAAUGAUCCUCACCGUUUUAAAACAUAUCUACUUGGCUGAAGAAAUUAUCACAAACACCUUCCGUAUUAACACAUUUUUGUUGUAUAACAUAGAAUUAUAGGACCUCAUAUGGGCAAACAAACCACCUCAAAACAUAUUUUUAAAAUAAUAUUUUUUUUUAUAAAAAAUAUAUUCUAACAUAUUCUUUGAAAUAAAAAACUGUUUUGAAUUUUAAAAAUUAAACGUUGUUUUCAAAAACCCAUUCCAAACAUGGCAUAAUUUUCCUUUUUAUAUAUAUUUAGUUUAUUUCUCAUUUCAUGCCUAGUGGGGCCGGGGCAAUAAAUGGAUAUGUUUUCUACUAAGGUGAGAACCAAUUUCGUGAGUGGAUAUUUAUUAAAUAUUAAGAAUGUGUUCGGUAGUAAUACAAGAAAUUGUUUAUAUAUUUUUUUAAUAUUUAAAUUUUUUUAUAUUUUAAGUAUUAAAAAUAUUUUUUAAAAUUAUUAUUAAAUAUAUUUUAAGAGUAAGUUUGAUAAUAAUUUUAGAAAGUAUUUCUAAUAUUUUUAAUGCUUAAAAGAUAAAAGAUUUUAAAUAUUAAAAAAACUAAAAACAUUUUAUAAAAUUACUAUCAAAUACGUUAUAAGUUAAAAUGUGUUUAAGAAUAAUUUUAUAAAGUAUUUAUAGUAUUUUUAAUAUUUGAAUGAUAAACAAACGACGUUUUAAUUCAGAAUUCAGAGCUACAGGGACUUUUCUUAUCAAGAAGUGUAUGCAGCAUGAAUGAAUAUCAUGGUCACUGAUGGAUCACUAUCACCUUUGCAACAAUUGACUCGGAAAAUGACCAAAACACAAUGAAGACAUAAGAUGAAUAAGAAGCCUAAUGCUACUUUAUCUAUAAAAUAAUUUUUUAUUUGCAUGUACUCUAUACAUCAUGGCGCUACCUAUUCCUAGUAGGGUUCGAAUUUGUUCAACUCAACACUUUAUAAUUCUAUCUCAAAUUUGUUGAUUUUGGACUGAGACGGAUACUCCGACCAACUACUUCAAUACUUUGUCCGCUUGAACCUAUAAAAAGGUGUGCUUGGAUGGUUUUAAACAGACCUCAAUUUUUUUUAAGAAAUCUUUUCCGAAAACCUCAAAGCUGAUUUAAACAUCGAAGAGGUCCGUCCAAAAUCAUUUAAACACACAUUUUUGUUGAUUCAAGGGAAUGAGGCAUUAGAGUGGCUUUCUGAGGGCUCGGUAGCAAUCCAAAAUCAACAAAGUUUACCUUUUAAAAACAUGAAUUUAGUAUACAGAAUAUUCUCUGAUUUUUUUUUUUUUUUAAGUAUAUUUUUAUCUUAUGGGUAAAGUCUCUUUAAGAGAAGGAUAAUGAUGUGUUUUUUAGAGUUUUGGGGUAAAAUAACCCUUUUAUGUAAAAAAAUAUAUAUAUAUAAAUUUUAGCCCAUUUACAAAACUUAUGUUCAAAUUAACCUCUUUAUUACCACAUAGGAGUCAUAUCAUAUAUUUUUUUUUUUUCAAAAUUUAAGUUGAAGUUUCAAUUGCCAACUGAGGUUUCAUUUUUUAACUAAAACCUCAAUUGACAAUUAAGGUUUCAGUUAAUUUUUUAUUUAUUUUAAAAUUUAAUUAAAAAAUUAAAUUAUAAAUUAUUAUUAAAAUUUUAAAAAAUAUUUUAAUAAUAAUAAUUUAUAUAUUUAAACUUAAAUUUCUAAUAUUACUUCAAUAAAGAUAAAUUGAUAAAUAUAAUAAUAAACAAAUAUUUUAUUUAUCAAUAAAUUAUUAAUUUUAAAAUAAUAAAGUUAUAUGAAAUCUAAAUAAGAUAUAAAAUUAUAUAAUUUAUUAAUUUAAGAUAUUUAAUUUGUUGUAUUUUUAAGAUAUUAAUUUAUUUGUAUUUUGACAAAUUUAUCUUUAUUAAAAUAAUAGUAUAUUCUUAACUUUCGUAUAUAGAUUUUAUUAUUAUUAUUUUAAAGCAUAUAUUUAUAGUUUAACGUAAAAAUAAAUAAAUAAAUAAAUAAAAACUAUUAUUUGUACACACAAUAUAUAUGGCUUGAAGAUACAUUUUGAAAUUAGUUAAUGAAAUUAAUUAGAAAAAGUCUACUACAAAAUGUAAUUUUUAGUAGUUUCAUCAUAGUCACAAAAAAUAUCCAUUAAACAUUCAUAUAAUAGAAAAAAAAUGUCUCUCCCUAAUAUUAUAUGUGAUAUAACUUAAAUUAAUAAAUUAUAUGAUUUUAUAUUUUAUUUAUAUUUCAUAUAAUUUUAUUAUUUUAAGAUUAUUAAUUAAUUGAUAAAUAAAAUAUUUAUUUAUUAUAUUUAUCAAAUUAUCUUUAUUGAAGUAAUAUUAGAUCUUUAAGUUUAAACAUAUAAAUUUUUAUUAUUAAAGUAUAUUUUUUUAAUUUCAAUAAUAAUAAUUUAAAAUUUAAUAUUUUUAAUUAAAUUUUAAAGUAAAAAUAAAAUAAAAUAACCGAAGCAAAUUGGCAUAUCUUAUUUAAAUUUCAUAUAACUUUAUUAUUUUAAGAUUAUUAAUUUAUUAAUAAAUAAAAUAUUUAUUUAUUAUUGUAUUUAUCAAUUUAUCUUUAUUGAAGUAAUAUUAGAUCUUAAAGUUUAAAUAUAUAAAUUUUUAUUAUUAAAAUAUAUAUUCUUAAUUUCAAUAAUAAUUUACAAUUUAAUUUUUUAAUUAAAUUUUAAAAUAAAAAAAAUUAACUGCAACUUCAAUUGUCAAUUGAGGCUUUAGUUAAAAAAUGAAGCAUCAGUUGACAACUGAGACUUCAGUUAAAAAAUGAAGCCUCGUUUGGCAACUGAGGCUUUAAUUAAAAAAUGAAGUCUCGAUUGGUAACUGAUGCUUUAAUUCAAAAUUGAAGCAUCAGUUGGCAACUGAGACUUCAACUUAAAUUUUGAAGAAAAAAAAUAUGACUUAACUCUUAUAUGAUAAUAAAUGGGCUAAUUUGAACAUAAGUUUUGUAAAGGAGUUAAAGCUUAAAUUUUUUUUUACAUAAAAGGGCUAUUUUGCCCCAAAACUUUGUUUUUUAGCCUAUACUCCUAUAUAUAUUCAUCUUAUUAUUAAUCAAACUUUGUACUUGAUAUUCACUUCUCAACCAUCCUUUUUUUUUCAAAAAUCUCUAACCCUUGAACUCUGCGAUCUUCAAUUCUAUAAUUUUGGUUGAUAAAGUUUUCUGAAUAAAGAAGACAAGAGGAAUAUCUAAUUUAUACUUAGAUUAUUAAUUGUAAAAUGACUCUUUUAGAGUUUAAUUAAUUAAUUAAUUACUUCUAGUUUACUAUUUUGCCCCUAAUGUAAAUUUUGGGGUGUUACAGAGUAGGUGUCAAGGUCACAUGCCUGGUGGUCAUGAGCAUGUUGGUGGCUUCGCCCAUGGCAGUCGAAGGGUUGUCCUGUCAUCAGGUAGCAACCUAUUUGGUCCCUUGCAUCUCCUACCUGAUCUGGGGUUGCUGGUCCAGUGCCCUCGGUGUGCUGCAACGGUGUUGGGAGCCUCAAAACAUCUGCCGAAACCCCAGAUGACCACAGGACCGCUUGCCGGUGCUUGAUAAAUGAUGUUGCUUCCAUCCCUGGUGUGGACAUGGAUGUCGCUGAUGACCUCCCGGUAAAAAUUAAUGCUCUUUGUUUUAAAGGCCCAACCACAUUGGAGACCAAACCCCAAUCUUGUUCAAAAUCUUAGGGUUGUUUGGUAGCAGAAAAAAGGCAUGGGUCUAUGAUUACGAUAAAUAAAUAAAAAUUAAAUGAACAGUUAGGUAAGCAUAGUAAUGGAGCCAUUUAAGGCGUUUUGAAGUUGUGUAUUUUUUUAAAUUAUUUUUUAAAACAACGUAACAUCAAAAAUAACUCUUUGAAAAGAUGAGUUGAAUAUAAAAAUGAACUCGUUUCUUCAAAAACGAUUUUAAUAUAAAAUAAAGUAAACUCGUUUUUUUGACAGACGAAGUCAACAUUAAAAAUUUUAAAGUAAGAAUAAAACUUAUCUUUUGAAAAAUAAAUUCAGCGGAAAAACAAGUUUAAUAUAAAAAAAUGCAUUUAGUUUUUGAAACCACGAGUUUAGUAUAAAAUUUUUUAAAAAAUGAUAAAAGAUAUUAUACUUUUAUAUUUAUUUUUUUAAAAUAACAUUUUUUGAAAAAAAAAAAUCCUGUCGUUUAUAAAUUUAUUUUUUAAAAACUUUAAUGUUAUUUUAAUUUAGAUUUUGUUACAUCUACCAUAUGGACUCAGAUUUGACACUGAGAAUCAUACAAUAGCUUGAGAUUUUCUUUCCCUGGUCGUAACAACCCCGCCACAUUGUCAAAUUUUGAAAUGAAGGGAAUAUUGGUAAAUAUUUUCGGAUUUUGGCCCGUGUGGACUUCAAAACACAACCAGAAAUUUUUUUGGGAUAUUUUUCUGGAUUUUAUCAUCUUUUCCUUGAAGGUGACAAAAUUUGAUACAAUUUAUCGAUACGACUCAAACUUAACAUGUUUUUCACGGAUUUUGAUAGAGUAUAAUUGAAUUUUAGUUAAAAUCAUGUUAAGUUACAUAAAUCAUUUAAUAAAUAAAUAGGUUUUGGAGGCAACACAUAAAUGUGAACAAAAUUGACUUAUUUAAUAAUUCUAUUGAUUAUCUAAUUAUAAUUUUGAAUUAUUUAAUAGUAUUAAAUUUAUUUUUAAAUAAAUAGGUCAAUUAAAUUAUAAACAUGUUUAAUUGAAACAUUAAUCCUAUAGACGUGUAUAAAACCUAACCCAAUUUAAUUAUUAAAUGAGUUAAAUAGGUUAUAUAAUGUGUUAUCCAUUUAAUAGUCAAGUGGUAUUUGGGCUUAUAUUUUUUCUAUAAUAAUAAUUAAUAUUGGGUUUGGAUUAACCUUUGCGGUAAAAUACUUAAGUUUUGAUAUGAUACGAACAUGAUCCAUUAAUAUAAAUUAUCAUCUCUAAUAUUUCUCUUAAUAUUUGACAAAUUUGGAAAAUUCAUUAAAGAUUCAAACUAGUAAAAUUGAAUUGUAAAUCGUUCAUUGACUUUGUUAUUAUAGUGGAUUUUUCCUAUAUUCACAUAUAUUUAAAUACAAAAAAAUUAUAAACUUAUAAAUAAAAUUAUCAAUAUUUUUAAAUAAAAAAUAAUUAUACAUAUAUUAUUAUAUUUUUUAUAUUCUUAAAUACAUAUAAGAAUAACAACAGGUGAGCUCGAGUGGAUCACCACGUUCCAACUUCAUCCCUUCAUUCAAAAUAAUUCUUAUUUUCGUUUUAUUUAAAAUUUAAAAUGAGAUGAGAGUAGUAUGAGGAAUUCCUUACCUCAUCUUAUUUAACUAUUUUUAUUAAAAAAAAAUUAAUUACAUUAAAAUAAAUAUAUUUUAUAAAUAAUUAAAAUAUUAUAAUUUUUUAUAAUUUAUUUUAUUUAAAAUAUUUUUAUUAUUAUAUAUUAAAACAGAGAAAUAAAAAUUAAAUUAAUUUUAUAUAUAAUGGAAAUAAAAAAUAUCUAAACUUGUUUCGAGUUUUUAAAAAAAAAGUCUCAAACACAUCCUUAAUCGUUUAUUUAAAUUUCAAAUAUAUAAACAAAUGUAUCCCAUUAAAAACAAGAUGAGAUGGAUACUCCAAAAAAAUCCGCCAUUUGUAACUUUAAAGACUUGAUUACCUCUUGCAUGGCACACGUAGCCUACGGGCCCAGGGCCGCUGGGCUUGAAAUUCAAGGAGUGUACACAUCAACCAAUUGGUGGAACAAUAUGUUGGCAAAUUGUACUUGUCCCUUUCAUUUUUCAAUCUCCAAAUUACACCUACAUUGUAUCUUUGUUAUACAAAGCCAAAGUGUUUUGGUGAAAAAAUAAUAAUAAUAAUAAAAGCUUCAGUAAAAAUAGAGUGAAUGUAAAUUAACAAGAAAAAGAAACCAACUUUCAUGAAAUAAAGAACAACAAAAACCGACGGUGUUGCAUUUAUUGAGGUAUCUUGGUUCGAAGACUUGUCACUGUGUUUGGUUGCCGACAAAAUUUGGAGUAAGUUUUUUGACCUUUUCUUUGGUUUCCUUUUUUCUUGUGCAAUAAAAUUACCAUACAAGAAGACUUUUCAACACAAGGGGCAGUGAUUAAAUUGCGGUGCGUAUGGCCGUAUGGGUGGAAAGUCGCCCAUCCCCAUUGGGUUUUAAUGUGGCCAACAUGUUGGGCCUCUCUCCAUUACUUCUAUUUCUCAGUCCGGCGUGCUUUUUGAGACGAGACAAAUGGUCAAAGAAUUCGUCUACCCACAUGUAAGACUUACGAUUCUGAUAAUUCACAUCCUUAUGUUAUUAUCCUAAACCAUUUAUAUGAACAGUAUUAAUCCCCAAAUUGAUGAUAAAUAUAUAUAUAUAUAUAUCGAGACAAAAUUAAAGGAAAAAACAAGGAUCAAGGGUUGUCUGGUUGCCCUAGGUUUAACACGUAUAAGUAGUUGAAAACGACCUAGAUUUGAAAUUUACACCGGCCACCCACCCUAAAUGGUAGUCUAUAAUCUUGAGCAUGGCAUUUGUGGUUGUAAGCUACGGAAUUGAAUGAUUCAUCUCUAAUAUAAACAUCUUCAAUUAAUACAUUAAUAGCAUAUAAUAAUUCCUUGAUGAGUGUGUCCUCUAAUAUUCAACAAGUAUAUAUUAAAAAAAUAAAAUAAAUUAAGGUUGUUUACUAGGGUUCAAGGGUAAAGUUAUAAAUUCUUUCAUCCAUCUUUUAAAAAAAUUCUUGUGAUAUGAUUUUUUCUUAAUCUCUUUCUAUUCAUUAUUUAUUGAGAUGAUGGAUUUCUACCUCAAGUAUUAAGAUAUAUUUAUAUAAGUUUUUAAAAUGAACAAAUAAAUAAGGAUUUGAUUAUUUGUAUACCAGUUUUAUUGAAGCCAAAAAAAUUUCUUUAUAAUUUUUUACCUUCAUUUGAAAGGUUUUUUCACCGUUAUAUUUAAUACACUUUUUUCUUGAAUAUUCUUAAAUUAUUAUUAUUCAAUUCUUGUUAAAUUGUUAUUAUUGUUAAAUAAUUAUUAUUAUUAUGAUGAAAUCUUUUAAGUUUGACAGGUGAAUAAUCUAAAUAUUUCUCCUUUUAACUUAUCAACAAAUUAAUAACUAUGUUUUUAAAAUACAUUUAAAACACAAAUUAAAAGAAGGGGAAGUUCUCAAAUAGACUUUUAUUUUUUAAAAUAUCAUACAACCGUUUUUAAAAAAUACUUCCAGCAACAAAAGCCUCGAUGUUUAAUAUUAAAUAAUAUUACUCUUUUAGUAUCGUAUUGAAUAUUUUCGUCCAAUUUCACUCAAACAUGAAUAAAAUGUGAAGUAUGCCACCAAGAAAUGGAAAACGCUGGAAGGAUUAAGAAAAAAAAAAAGGGCAAUGGUACAAAAUAUAUAAGGGGUAAUUGAUAUCAAAAGUUGGGUGUCGAUCCUCCAUGAUUAUCGCAUGUCAAACUACACAUUGAAAAGUAAGCAAGCGCAUUAAAUCACGGAAUUAAAUCCAACUGCCAACCAAUUCCUCCCCAUCUCUCAUGCAUGCCCCUUACUGAGUGGUGCCCAGACCCACCACUUUCUCUAUAUAAACACAUCCCUCGUUGAAACCUUUUCCAUCAUCACUCUCCAGACCUUCACUUUCUCUUCUCUCCUAGCCUUACUAAUUUUCUCAGACACUGAGUAGUCAUCAUGGGUAGCUCCGGAGCUGUGAAGCUAGCUUGUGUGAUGGUGAUAUGCAUGGUGGUGGCGGCACCGGCGGCGGUGGAAGCAACCAUAACAUGUGGUCAGGUGGCAUCUGCCGUGGGCCCGUGCGCUAGCUACUUGCAGAAAGGUGGUUCAGUGCCAGCUGGGUGCUGCAGUGGGAUUAAGAGCCUCAACAGCGCGGCUAAGACCACAGUUGAUCGCCAGGCCGCUUGUAAGUGCUUGAAAACCUUUUCUGGUUCCAUCCCUGGCAUCAAUUUCGGUCUUGCAAGUGGGCUUCCGGGCAAGUGUGGUGUCAGCGUUCCUUACAAGAUCAGCCCCUCCACUGACUGCUCCAAGUAUGCUCUAUUAAUCUCUCACUACUCAUGAUAUAUUUAUAUAGAAUUCAGCUUGAUUAACCAAUAAGAUUUCUGCGACUGAAUUUUUUUUUUUUGUGAAUGUGUUCAGGGUGACUUGAAGCAAAAGGUGGAGUAGGAUGAGCUAUGGUAGCAACUAGCAUAAGAAUAAAGAAGUGGAGGGUAGAGGCUCCACUUGGACCACUCAGCCUUUAGUAUUAGUAGUACUAGUACUGGCGUCAUAUUCCUCUCUGUGGUUGUAUGACAUCUACUGGAGCGGUUGCAUACUUGCAUGUAAUAAAUAUCCCUGCUGGUUGCUGGACCCUAUCAUAUUAUAUAACUUUUACCCUCUCUCUCUCUCUCUCUCUCUCUCUCUCUAGUGUCCAGGAAAGAGAAAAACACAGAAAAAAGAAAAGGAAACAAACAGGUCUCUGGAAUCAAAUUUAAGAUAACUAGAAAAAUAUGACCAUGAAACAAUAGGAAAGAAGGAUAAGAAAAAAAUAUUUUUCACAAAGUGGAUGUAUAGGCUUCUUUUAAUUAUAUAAAUACCUUUUAAAUCAUAAAAAUUCAUUAGACUCACCAUGGACAGUAUGCAUUAUGUGCAUGCUAUCAAAUAAUAUUGAAAAUGACUGAUGUCCAUGUGAGCUGACUAGCUUUAAUUAGUCAUAAUUAUAAUCUCAAAUCAAAGUAAAAAAAAAUUUAAUAUUUUAGAAGGGGCAUUGCACAAAUUAUGUUAAAUAUAAAAUGAUUUUCUAAACAAGCUUGAUUCUAGCCUUUAGAAGGUAACUCCCUCAUAAUUCAGCUUGGUGUGGUAAUUCCAAAGGGGGCUUUUACCAUGAGCCCAAUGUCGUGGCGAAGGUUAUACCUUAGAAAGUCAGUGAAGCUAAGGUUUCGUAUGUGUUAUAUCCUUUCGAUCGAGCGACAACUUCUAAGGAUCAUUCCCCUCCCCGGUGCUAGAAGGUCGGAAGGAGAAGUGUUAUAAGCUUUGAAUGGAAGCCCCGGUAAACGGCGGCAGUAACUCUACCUGUCCUAAGGUAGCGAAAUUCCUAGUAACUAGUUGUUUAUAUCGAACUCGAAAAUAUAACUUGACUAUUCGGGACAACUAGAGGAACAUUAUUGCCGGCACUAUCAAAGGCCGCUAUUCCAGACCAAAAGUAUGGAAUAGAGUAAGGCCUUUAUUAGAAAAGAUGCAUAAAAACAACUUAAAAAUACUUUUAAUUUAAGAUGGGGUUUAUUUUUUAAUUGAAUAGAAAAAAUCAAAAUAUUUAAUUUUUUCUAUUCAGUUAAAAAUAACAUAUUGAUAUCAAUCAAUAUAAAAAUAAAUUCAAUUUAGUUAUUGUUAAUAUCAACAUAUUACUUUUAACUUAAUAAAAAUAAUCAAAUAUUUCGAUUUUUUAUAUUCAACUAAAAAACAAACAUUACCUAAUACAAAUAUUGAAAUUAUGUAAUUAGAGACUAAGGAGACGAAAUUAAAAAGUGGCAAUACUUUUGUUAAUAAGUUUAUUUUAGUUAUAUUGAUUUAUAUUAUUACUUUUUUAAUAUAAAAAAAUCAAAUAUUUAAUAUAAAAAAAUCAAAUAUUUUAGUUUUUUUUUUAUUCAACCAAAAAACAAACACCUCAAAAUUGAAAUCAUAUAGUUAGAAACUAAAGACAUGAAGUUAGAAAGUGAUAAUUCUCUUAUCAACAAAUUACUUUAGUUAUAUUGAUAGAUAUUAGUAUAUUACUUUUAACUUAUCGGAAGAAAUAAAAUAUUUUAGUUUUUUCCAUCAUUUCAAAAAACAAACCCCAUGUAAGACAAGUAUCAAAAUCAUGUAGUUAGAGACUUGGGACGUGGGGUUAGAAAGUGACCAUACUCCUCUGUUAAGUUUGAAAAUAUGCAUUUGAAAAGAAUUUUGAAAAGAAAAAAAAAAAAAGUUAUGAAAGCAAGGUUAUCAGAAGGAUGCCUUGUUAAUUUUACUGUAAAUUCAGUCCUCGUAUUCAUCGGAGAUAAAAGCCUUUUUAGGUUAUAAUUUUACCUCCAAAUACAUUAAUAUUUGCUACCUCGUAGUGUGAUUGGGGGUCAACCAAAGAAUAGGAAUCAUGGGGAAUUUUGUGCCACACAUUUAUGUACGAAACUAAUAAAUGUAGCUCCCAAUUCGGGUGUAUACAUUUAUCAUUUCCAAGGUCUAGAUUAGCAUGCCUACCAAACAGUCUUUUCUUCAUUUUUGUGCAUUUUUCAAGGAAAUUGAUUUUUAUAUAAAAAUAAACAAGGUUGUGAAAUGAAAGUUCUUUUUGUAUAGCUUCUUGUGUUUAAUUUUAAGGGGAAGUUACACCUAAAACUAAUAUCAUAAUUUUUAAAGAAUAAUAUUGAUAUUAUAUAGUUUUAUUAAAUGUAAACCUUUUAACAUAAAUUAAAAUAAAGGUAAUGUGAAAAGUAAUAUUUUCUUAAUUUUCAUAUUUAAUUUUUUAAAAAUUAUAAAUUCCUUUAACAAAAUAAACCCAAUAAGUAUAAAAGUUCUUAUUGAGUUUAAAAAAAUAACUUAAAAAAGAUCAUCAAUUAAAAUUUCAUGUUUUGAUUCUUUUCAAUAGACAAGUUGAGACAUGUAAAAUUGAAUGCAUUAGCACGCUCUCAGCAAGUAAAGUAACAGAAUUUUCAUUAACUUCCUACUAUUUUUGAAACAAAUCUAAAUACCAUUUACUUCAAACAAAAACCAAGUUAAAAAUUAUCUAACAAUUUCAAAGAUUACACAAACAAAUUUUAGCUCAAAUUAUCUACUAAUCCACUUAUCAAAACAAAGUUAUUUUCUUAGUCAAGAUAAAUAUGGAAAAAUUAACUAAUAAAGAAAUAGAAAGAAUAAAGCAAUGACACCAAGAUUUAACAUAGAAGAUCUUUAAAGAAAUUAAAAACCAUGGAUCUAUAAAUGAUAAAAAAAACAUCCACUAUAAAUAGUAACAACUGUUAUAAGAUUUUACCUAACUCAAGUCCGUCAAUCCUUCUUGAAUCACUUGACUGAUACUUUUCCACUUCAUUUAUCUGUUUUUUUUUCCUUUCAAAACAUACUUAAAGUCCACAUUAAAUUUAAUCUUGACCUCUUCUUAAGUUCACACAAGACGAAAAUAGGAUUUACUUCAACCCAAUAACCCUAAAGAGAGAAUGGAUGAAAGAACCAAAAGAAUUAGUCCAUACUUUAAAAAAACCUCAAUCAAAAAUUGUUGUAAACUUCAAAAUGGAUAGGAGUUUCUUGGGAAACAAACACACUCAUACUCAGAAUGGGAGAGGAGUACAAUGGUUGUGUGUGACAACUAUUGGAGCCUCAACCCUAAAAUGAAGGUUUUGGAUUUAAAUAGGAAGGAAAACCUUAAUCUAAUGACUAAAAAAUAAUACAACAGUAGAUAGAUUGAUCCUGGAUCAAUCUUGGAACAAAGCACAAAAAUACGUAGUUAAAAAAAAACACAAAAGCUACCCAAGUCUCCUAAAACUUCUUUAAAGGAUUUUCACUAUUUUGAAAAUCCCGAUUGAUUUAAUUUUGCCCCUCCACUACCUUAACUACAUACCUUAGUCUCUAAAUACCUUCAACGCCUCAAAGUUCUUUAUUAGACAAAUAAUCGGAGGAAGGAUUUGAUAGACCCAAAUUAAGAGACCGCUCGUGAGCUCUUAGUUGCCCGAAAUUGCCAACUACGACACUCACAAUGGGGCACAACCACUUAGACUCACAACCCCACCUCAUUCCCAUGGCUGGCAGCAUAAUGCACUUAGAUUGCGCGCUCUCUACCACCAAAGCUUGUAGCAUUUUGUUACAUAAAUAUACUGAGCAACAGAGAAGGUAAUUGUUUUGAACUGCUUGGCAAAUUUGUUCUUUGAUAUUGGGUACAAAUGUCUCUUGUUUUUUAAAAAUUUAUAAAAAUAAUGCUAUUAAAUCUGUCAAUAAAAAAACAUUUGAUGGGUUGCUUCUAAAUAAAUGCGGAGCAACGUAAUACUUUUAGUUUUAUGACGUGAAGGCAUAUUAUCUGUCAAGGAAAUCCUACAAUACUCUGAUCAAUUUCGAAAGCAGGACUUCCACAAAGAGCUAACCGAUUUAUUUGCCUUUCUUUUCUCUCACUGCCACAUUGCUGAAUAAAUUAAAGCUUUGGAAAUGAAUAUUCAAUCAUAUAAGGCCUAUCAGGUUAGAUUGGACUUAGAACCAAUACAGCGCAAUGGGGUCUAAACCCAAUCUAAAACACUCAGAGAUCUGGAGUUUAUGGUUGAGUAAGCCCUGUUAUCAUUGGAAUUAACACACGUGAUUCAUUUUCUUCAAGCAGGAUCAACUGUUUGGCUCCUUUCCCAUUCAUCUCAGUUUCAGAUCAUAAUCAUUCCUCAUCUUAAAGAACUGCUUCUCUAUCCUAACCAUACGAGGUGUUUAUUUUGGGUUACUUGUCUGAUAUUUUUUAACUUAGAACAAUUCCUUAGUUUUGAUCAAGGAGUUGGACGUCAAUUUUUCUCACAAACGAAAACCAGCCAGAGAAAGAAAAACACAGAUCCGGGCACGGUAAAGAAGUAUCAGAGCAUUAAGCUAAGCAAUUGCAUACCCUCACACUUGCUCCUAUAGAAACAACCAAAGCUCACAGCAUUUUCAUCAGCAUCCAAACGUCUAAGCCUGCAUUUCUCUUUCGGUGCUAAAAGUUUUUGGGCAGAACAGCCAGUCACUCAUGAUGGCCAGUUCUAGAGCGCUUGAGUUGGCAGGGGCAAUGAUGUUUAUCUGCAUGGCGGUGGUUGCAGCACUGGCAGCUGAAUAAGCCCUAAUAUGUUAUCAGAUGAACAACACCUUCACCAAUGCAGUUCUUUCCUGAGGAACGGUGGUUCAGUCACAGCAGAAUGCUGCCAAGAAGUUAGGACCCUCAACAAUGGAGUUAAGAACACCAAAGACCGCCAGACCACCUGUGUGCUUGAAGAAGGGCGAUAUCCUCCAUUUAUGGAAUCAAAUUGAACUACCUCUCUGAGCUUCCAGGCAAAUGUGAAGUCAGCGUUCCAUACAAGAUUGACCCCUCCAUUGAAUGCCUGCAGGUAUUCAGGGCUCAUGGCUCUGUCUUCUGAGCAGUUGAGCAUUACUUUAAAAUUGAUGAUUUUUACUAUUGUUUUGUCAUUGUGUUGCAGGGUGAAGUAAGGUUGACAAGUUAACAUAUAUGGCACUCAGGAUAUAGUAGAUUGAGACAAAGAUGGACGGAGAGAGACCUAACGGGGACUCCUCUUCAUCCCAGAAAAAAAAAAAGAAAAAAGAAAAAAAGAGAAUGCCCAAAUAUUGCAUCUUUUGCACUACAAAUGUACUGGAUUUGCAUUCUAAUAAAAUAUAUCGUGCCUCAAGCACUUUUAAGUGUACUGGAUCUGGAUUGAAUGUGGUAAACUGUUCCAAUUGUAAUAUUAUCUGGAAUAUACUCAAAGACCACCAACAAAUCACAUCCAAAAAGAUGCAGACAGGUGAAAAUGAGUCAAGGGAUUUUUUUUCCUGUUCUUUUUGCCCCUCUUUUUCAUGACUACAGGCUUCUGAACCCUAGUCCUUGAGACACAGGACUAAUCUCAAUCAGGUAAUCACCCACAAACCCAAGAGAAGAAUUUCUCAUUUGCAUGGCAGGGCCAUGGUUUUUGGUUUAGAAGAUCAACUUAGCCAUCUAAAAGGAAGUAUAGAUUAGCUCAGGUAAUGUGUGGUAAAUAGCAGUUGACAAAUAGACAAACAAAAUCUAGAGAAGAUAAGGGAUUCUAGUUUCAGAGCUGAUUUUGCAAGUUUGCUAAUAGUGCUUAUAAGCUCAAGAAAUAUAAUAAUAUUAAUAUUUGAUCAUCCAAAAAGAACCUAGUGAAUUAUAAGAUGAUAAGAAGUUCAUGGGCAUCUAGCACAAAGAAAAAAAGAAGAAAUAAUAAUGGAGCACCAGUGCAGCACCAUACCUCUUCUUUAAAUUAAGCAUUGAAAUGGGAACCCUGCAAGAAAAGAACUUGCGACUCAUCAUACAACUAAAAAUAAGAAAUGGGAUUGGAGCUUCUCUUUUUGGAUUCAUACCUGCCAGAAAUUUAUUGACUAGAAUUUGUCCUUACAGGAUGUUUUACUCUUUCUAAAUCAGUCACUGUGCUCAAUUGUAAACAAAGUGCUCCACAGCAGGUUGUGGCUCUCGCAAGCAUGAAGCGAAUGCAGAGCUGAGAUAUUGUUGAUUAUCAUUCAACACAAAAGCUCAUGGCUUAAAUAAAACAUCUUUCAGGAAACUGUGUAUGUGUAUAUGAUUAUAUACAAAGGCAUUACUAAUUGUCAGCAAUUGGAAAUAUGGGAAGAAAUAGUUCUAAUGCUAAAAGAAAAGGAUAAGGUGCAUUUAAUUGGAUAUCAAUACAUUAUUUUACCUUUUGAUGGUAGUCUACAUUUCUCCUGUGGCAUUUACAUCUUCAUCAAGUAGAAGUCUCUCUAGCCGAGACACAAGGUUAUUUGAGGAGAAGCUUAAAAGUUCAUUAUCUCUUCUCAGGUCAUUCACUUCCUUAUUUAAAUCUACAAUCUGCCCUUCAAGCUGCUGGCUUGAUAAAAGCUGGUCUCCUAAUAUAUUAUUUUCUCUUCUCAGUUUGUCUAUCUCUUCCAUUAACUUCAUAUUUUGCUCUUCUAAUAACUGAUAUCUUGUUCUCAAGUCAUCCUCCUGAAACACGUAUUUCAAAUAAAUAACUGAUGGGAUGAAAAACAAAUAAAAAAAAGGCAAGAAAUAAAGAUAUACAUACAACACUAAUGGUAAAAUUCAUGGAAGAAUUCUUUGAGGUUGAUGGAUGCUGCAUUUGCUCUUUUGGUUCCUCUGAAACACAACAAGAUGCAGAUGGGCAUCCUGUUGCAUCUGUUAACACUUCUACUACAUUUUCUGGUGCCCUCAAAUGCUCCAGAUUGUUUUCUUGUAUCCUGUGCCCUUCUCUGACUAUUUCCCUUUCUGACCCAUUUUCAACUGCUUGUUUAUCCAUCAAGUGAGAUCUGAUUCUCAAGUUAUCAUCCUGUUAAAUGAAAGAAGUUCUGUCACAAAAACUCAAUAAAAUACUUCAAACAAGCAAGAAGAAUGUUUACAUUGGCAAGAGAAGCCCCCUCCUUUCUUACAUUUUCUUUUAAAAGAAAUAAAACUAAGGAAAAGAACUCACAUCAACAGUCAACAUAAUAGAUGAAGGAUAUUCAGGUUUAGAAACAUCCGUCCUGUCAUUUUGUGCAGCUAUUAACUCUUUGAUUAUAUCAAUUUCUAACUCCUCAGAAGUCAGUUGAAGUUCCCAAGUUAUCUGAUAACAAACAGAAGUUGUCAGCACCUACCUAACAAAAUUAAAACAAACAGCAGUUCAGUUGGAUACAUCAUGAGCUACCAUAUCAAAUGGGUGUCAUGUUAGAACACUAUGGCUAACUCAGUUAAAAGUUUUUGAGGUCUAAAAACAAGCAAAACACUUUUUUGUUGUUUCAAUCAAUAUGCAUAUGCAGGAGACCACAGGACCUAUACUACCACUACAUAAAUUAAUUGUGAAUAUAAAAUCAGUUUAGAUAGGUCUCAUUGCCUGAUUUUCCUGCAGUUCCUUAAACUUUGUAGUGAUCCAUUUUCUUUGAUGUGACCUACAAUUUUCCCAUCGGCAUGCACGGGGAAACGUCAAGUAGCAAUCUAGCAAACUAGGCCGGGCAAUGUCAAUAUGCUCAUAAGACCAUAUCUGUUCAGAACAAUAUAACCAAGGUCAAUAUUGUAAUGAUGCAUAAUAGUUACUUAAAAGAUAAAACAGCCCUUAUAAAUUUUUGCAUUAUACUUGGGCACACCUUAAAUCCUCUGGCACCAAUUCCCCAUGCUGUUUUGCAUAAAUAAUCAAGCAAAACACUGUGCUCCCUACUCAGCCUCUCUUGUGCUUUUAUUUCGCAAAAAUUUUAGGAAGAAAGAGAGAAGAUGGAGGGAGGAAAGAGUGUUGAGGUUGUGUAUGUAAUGUCAUAAAAAAGAUGCUCCAAAUAUUUAUGUGAAGACUAUAGGGAUAGCUCCUUGACUAAACAAGAAACAUAUGACAGAGAAUCAAGAAAUAUUAGAGAUAGAGUUGAAGAAACUUACUUGGAGAAAUAUAAGACAACUUCCUACAUAUUGUACAUUCAUUUCCUUUUUUUUGGACAACCACUUAAUUAUGUCCUCUAGAACAGCUGCACCCCAGGCCAGUUGAUGCACAUUAUCCAAGUCUUUGAGAACAGAAAGAUAUCGGGAAUCUACUUUUCCAUUUGCAUUUGGAAAAAGAAAUGUCCCAAAUGUAAAUAAUAAAAAAGCUCUGGCAAAAUCAUCAUUAGCUAUCUCACCAAUGGACUCAAGUUUAUUCUCAAUCGACGAAACCAUGAUUUUCCUAUUUGAAAUAGUAGCACCAUAUUCUUUUUCUAAAUCUGAAAAAGGUUCAUCUUCCUUUAAGACUACGGAAUCACCCAUUACACGUAGUCCCAGAAUGAGUGCAACAUCCAUGAGAGUAAUUGUAAUCUCCCCAGGAAGAAGUAUGAAAGCAUGCUUCUCACAACUCCACCUUUCCAUUAAUUCAACUAAAAGAUUCUUGUUAAGUGUCUGAAUAGGCAUCUCAAGGAGAUGCCCAAAUCCCAUCUUCUUUAUUGCAUUUCUUUGAUCAUCUGUUAGUUUCUCCACUCGCCUGACAAAUGAUGGCAAGGAAAACCUGGUACUGAAAUUCCCAACCUGCAUGCAUAUAUUAAGUGCACAUUUUUAUUGACAUAAGUGUGUGUUUUCCAUAAUCCUGCAUAUGUCAAUUAUAUGUGUGCUUUAUCUAAGGUUUUAUGUAUGUCACAAAACUAAAAAAGCAUAAGUUAAAAAUUUUUUCUCAUUGCCACUUGUCUUUUAGAGAAGUUCUAUUUACCUACCACCAAUUCUGUUUUUCUUUUUCUGAGUUUGUUUUUUCACUCUAUAACCAAAAUUCUCUUUCAGAUGUCAUCCACAAGUUCAAAAACACUGAAUAAACCAAAUCAACCAAACACUUUGUCCUAUCCUUAGUAACCAUGUCAUUCAAGCUUGAAAGAAGUAGAUAGCUUAGGAUACUGAGUUAUAUUCCAAAACACUUUGUCUAUUUACCCUUGUUGUAUUGAUCAUUUUUGCAUCUUAAGUAAUGAUAGCUUAGAUAGAAUCAGUAUUGAUUAAUACAAGACAAUCCAAUCAAAUACGCAAAAGACAACAUCCAACAAAGCUGAACAGCAAAAGAGGAUGCUUGUUUAGUGCAUAUUGUGAUAAUAUAUUAACAGAAGAGUGUGAGAUGGACAAGUGGAAAGAACCGAGGAAGUUAAGACAAAUAUCAAAUGCAUUUAAGAAGCAUCAAAACCAACACUGCUUGUGCUUUUAAAGUAUAUGAAGUUUGAUCACUAUGUUUUGAAAUGUUAUAUAUCCUUUCAAAAGUUUCACUCUUUUAUACAAAAGUAGACAGGUGAGAACCUCUUCAGAAAAUUUCAGCAAGCCAGAAGGGAGCAGGUUGCAAGUGCAAGACAGAGGUACUAGAGGGGCAGUAUGAAGCUAGGAAAUUGAUGACAUUCAGUAGAAAAACCUGCUAUGCUGAUGACCAAUUGGUGAGAUGAUGAAAAUUAUCUCAUCAAACACAAAUUCUUGACAAUGCAGAAAAUAGAACCAUGCAUAUAAAGGUAUAAUGCUGUUGAAUGAAUGAGUGUUGCAAAUGUUUUGCUUGAGUUUGGUUGUUUGAUUCCCAGAAAGUAUUAAGAAAAUUUUAAAAAAAAUAUUAAGGAAAAUGAUUUAUGCACAUUUUGUUUCACUAUGAAAAAUAGUGCAAGAAAAUCAAACACAAUUAAAAUUAGUUAAAAAAUAAUGCAUUUUCCCUCAAAUUUUCCGGAACCAAGAAUGGCUUAAGGUAUAUAAUUUCCAAGUCUUUGUUUACUGCUACUAUAGAACUAUAUUCCCUUCAAUUUUUUUUUAUUUUUUAAGUUUCAAUUGAAAAGAAUUCUACUUUAGGGUUAUGAACGUUCAAUAGGUCUUCUACAGCAAUUUUGUUGUUAGGUCAUGGCAAAAAUACAUGCUUUUUAUAAAAAUAAAAAUAUGGGGAAGACUAGGUACCAUGAGACCAUCCUGAAGUGCCAAUUCAUGACACCCAGGAUUCAAGUCCCUGUAUGGCCACUUCCACAAACUCAUCCCUUCCAGAAUCCCAGAAACAGGGCCACGAAGCAAUGGAUUUUAUGAGCCUUUCAAUCACAAAAAAUGCACUCAGAUCACAAUUUGCUCAAACAAAAAUUGAUACUCUCCACAUGUGUUUCUACGAAUCGCUACUCCCACAGACACAAAAUGACUAAUUUCUGUAAUUUCCAGGUCCAGGUCUCCACAUCAGCCAAGUGAAAUUUCUAAAUUUUUUUCCCAAAUUGAUAUCACAAAAUUUUAAAAAAUAAAAUAAAAUAAAAUAAAGAAAAGGGGGAAAGAAAGAACGAAAUACUUACCGAGCUCCGUUCUUCUUCUAAUCCUAUGGAAGAUUUCCUCGUCGCUCUCUUCAUCUCAACCCAAUCCUUUCACACUCCUACUGUGAACCCUAACUUUCUCAGGGCUUGAGAAGGAAAAGAACAACCAUUUGAAAAUCUUAAUAAAUCUUACUCGGAUAAUUUUUAUUUUUUUAUUUUAUUUUUGUGAAACUUGUGAUGGAAGCUUACAGGCAAAGUUAAAACUAAAAAGGGCGCGAAAAAAUGGCGGGACAUGAUUAGGUGCUUUGCGUUCACAUACGUGGCUUCUGGUGAUUGCAGUGCAGGUAAAAAUUUCGCUGACAAGGUUACCAUCCGUAAUUGGAUUUUGUGGUCCUUGUUGGAAGCUUUGAUUGAUUUUAAAUUUUAAAAUGAAAUUUUCAUGAUAAAUUUAAAAUGUAAAUUUUUUUUUUUUUACCACAAAUAAUAAAUAUUAAAAUUAGAUUUUUUUUUCCAUUUUUGGAUUCUUAAAGACAUUUUCUGUAAAUAAUAUUUUUUGAGUUUCAUUAAUAAUAUUAAAAAAUGUAUAUGCUUAGCGGUGUAAAAAAAUAUACAUAUUAAGUUCCCAAAAAGUAAAAGAUUGUAUUUUAAAAUCACUUUAUUGUUAUUAAUGAUAAUUAAUAAAGAUGAUUCACAAAAACAUGCUAUCAAAUAAUACAAUAUCUUAGAUUUGUCAUAUGUUUUGUGCCAAAAAAAUGUGUCUGAAAGUCCCAAAAAAAGGGUAAAAAAUGAAUUUUAAAAGCAUUUUCUUAUCAUUAACAAUAAUUAAUAAAAAUAAUACCACAAAAACAUGCUAUCAAAUAAUACAUUAUCUAGAUUUAGACAUAUCUCGAUAUUAGUGGUGAUGAUGUGCUUACAAUAUGGUUAAAAAUCCCAUAGAGGUGUACCCUACAUCUACAAUCUAAAAGUCCUCGUUCAAGACCUGGAGAAAGAAAAAGAAAUAAUAGCAUGUGUGUCUACGCAUAUGCACAUUUGUACUGUAAUGCCCGGCUAAAAUCAUAAUUUAGAAAUUAUUAAUUAAUUAAAAUAAUUUAAUAAGGGUAAAAAAGCAUUUUCGUAUUUAAAACACCUAUAUAUAUAUAUAUAUAUAUAUAUAUAUAUAUAUAUAUAUAUAUAUAUAUUAUAUCUUUCCUAUAUUUUCUAUUCAAAAAAUCCUUUUACACAUAGAUCAAAAAAAUCAGAGAGCAUAGGGUUGAAGGUUUGAAGGUUUAGGGUUUGAAGAUCAAUUUUUCAGGUAAGAUUUUUAAUCUUUAAAUUAAUAUUUUAUAUUCGUUAACUAGUUAUAAACACUUUAGAUAUUCUUUGAAAUAUCUUAAUUUUGAUUAGAGUUCAUUUAAUUAAUUUAUAGGUCAAAAAGAUUAAAAAUUUAUUAACAUAGUUUGAUUUAUUAAUGAAGAUCAAUAAAUUUUGAUUACUCAAAUGAAUAGAUUUAGAAAAAAAAAUUAAAAAAAUUAUAUAGUUUUGGAUGUGAAAAUUACAUAAAAUUGUGAGUAUAGAGGUUAAAAGUUUUGACUUUAGAGAGUGGAAAAAAAUGAUGAAAGAAGCGUAGGAAGGAUUUGACGUGUUGAAAAAAAAAAAAAAAGAAUUGCAUGAGGGAUUUGUUAAGUUUAAGUAGGAGAUUUAAAUAAUAGUAAUAAUAAUUUAAUGCAAAUAAAUAUUCUUAAAAGAUUUAUUUUAGAUAAGUUAGAAAAAAUGAAAUAAAUUAUUGUUUAGGAAGUUGAAAAUAAUAUUGGAUGGUAAUAAUAUUAAUAUGGGAAAUUAAUUAAGAUACCUAAUACUAAAUAAAAUAUUUUUGAGAUUGUCAAACUUACAUAUUUAGAUAAAUAAUCAAUAAUCAAUAUUGUGUAUGAUAUUAUGUUAGGUGAGGAGAAAAUUAUUCAGAGUUAAAUACUUCAAGAUUUUGAGUGCUUUUUCAAGGUAAUGGAAAUUAAUGUUAAAAAAAAUAAUUUUCUUUUUAUAUUGUAUUAUGAAAAGUGUAAAAAUAUUAUUUUUAUCUUUUUGUAUGGAUCAAAUAUGUGUUUUGUAUGGAAAGUAUAUUUGAGAAUCUUCUUUAUUUAUUUAUGAAAAGCGAAAAUUUUUUGAGAUAUGAUAUUUUGUUUUGCAAGUUUGAAUUAAUGAAAUAAGAGAAAAAAUUUGGAGAUAUGAUAUUUUGUUCUGCAUGUUUGAAUUAAUGAAAUAAAGUGUUUAACUCUAGUUCCUAUGGCCCUAGUCAACGGGUUAUAAUUGUUGACAUUUCUAUGGCCCUAAUCAACGGGUUAUAAUAGUUGAUAUUAUAUGACCCUAGUCAAUGGGUUAUAAUAGUUGACCUUAUAGCCCCUAGUCAACAGGUUAUAAUUGUUGACUUUUGGUGUUAUUCACCUUAAAUAGAACAAAUUUGAAACUAGUCACUUAUUUGUGAAGUCCCACCUAAUUGGGCACCAUUUGUUAUUUAAUAAUCAGAGUAAGAUAUUUUGAAUGCAUUUGAUUUGGUUUUGAUGAGAAAUUGUUUUGAAAUGGAUAUGAGAAAGUUUGUUGAAAAGUUUGAAUAUAUUAGUAUUUCGAACUCAAAAGUUUUUAUGAAAAUAAGUAUAUGUUAUAUCUCCUAUUUGCAAAUAUGAUUAAAAAUAUUUAAUCCAUGAAACUGCAUUGAUGUUCCUUAUUGAGUUUUAAGUUUAUGCCCCUUCGUUGAUAAUUUUUCAAGUACUUUUAGUUCGGGCGAGGAGUGAUGGCUAGGCUUAGGAAUUUUUCUUUGUUAGGUCUUUGGUUCAAACUUUUUUUUUGGACAUUGUUUAGAUCUUAAAAUUUAUUUUCCAUUUAAAUUAUUUGAAUUUGGAGUUAUUUGGACAAUAACACUCUGGUUGAUGUGUUAGUUUUUUUUAAGUUGAUACUUGGAGAUUUUAGAAUUUUGUUCUACUACUCUGAACAGGAAUUUGGUAAUUGGUAAAUUUCCAAUUACAAUACGAAUGUUUGUGUCGUUUCCACUUUGAGUCAUUGGGUUUGAGGUGUGAAAUGACCGUCAUAACCUUGUAGUGGGUUUUGGGGCGUGACAUGUACAUAGAUCUUCCAUUUAUUUUAAAUCUAGAGAAGAAAAGAGCCCUAUUUUUAAUAAAACACUUAGGGGGAAAGCUCGAUUGAUUAAGCCUAAACUAACAUCCCUUGUAUUUACUCCAUCAUAAUACAAACUAGAUAAAUCAAAUGAACCUAAUCACAAUUUAUUUUGUUUAAGUAGCCUAACAAUGGACUUAUAUGUUGUUAGUCCAAUGGUUUUCCUAAUCACAUUUUAAUGAUAACAAGCCAUGAUCACUAUACUAGUAAUUUAAAAUCAAGAUGAGUUUCAAGUUUUAUUUUGAGAAAUUCAAAUAAAAAUUCAAGAUAAUCAUCAAAGAAUCAAAGAAGUGCAAGUCCAAGGGUGCAUGAAGACUGUUCAAGCCUAGGAAUUCUUUGUAAGAUGAAUAAAUGGGUGCACUUAGGAUUUUCAUAUAAAAUCAUGCAUUUUUCAAUACUUGAUUUUUCAUUAAAACCCGAGUAUUCUCACAUGAUCCUUAGGCAAAUUAAUUUAAACUUGACUUACUAAAGUACCUAUAAACCUUGACUAAGUCUUAGAAGGAAAAAAAAAAUUAAAAAAUCUAAGUUUUUAGGUCAAAAUAGGUGAAUCAAAGAAAUUGCUCAUCAGGGAACCAAUCGAUCAAUUAAGCCUUCCUAGUAGAGGACCAACUGAGGAAUGCAAAAAAAAUUUCUCUCUCAUUCAAUAGUUAUGCAGUCCUAGUUGAUAGGAACCUUUCUCGGUCAAGGGAAAGCUCUUUCUAAUUGAGGUUUGGUCUAGGGUCCAAUAAUCACUUGUUGUGCAUUUGGUGCACAACAGUUAGUCAACUGAUUGAAUUAGAGCUCGACUAGACGAGGCUAGGUUAUGCCACUUUUGGUGUCCAAGCUAGAAACCUAUAAAUUGAGAGUUUCAUUUCAUUUACUACAUAGAAAACGUCUGUAAUUAUCUUCACAGCUACUUGUUUCUCAUUAAAAGUUUUUUCAUACUUUGUGCAUUGAUUCUUCAUUUGCAAACCACCUUAGCACCUUUGUCAUUCAUCCUAGCUUUCUUUUGUAUUUGUUCAUUUAUUAAGUUAGGGUAAUAUCUUAUUUCAUUGAUUAUUAAAGAGAGGUUGCGAGUAUUUAAAGUUUUAAGUUGAGGUAUACUUGAAGGGAUAUUGUUGCUAGGAACCCUAGAUUUAUCCAUUCCUUUACCCUGAAUUGUAUAGGUGCAUGCAAAACUACCAUAGGUCGCUAGAUCCUAUACAAGGAAAGCAAAAAAUAGAUUUUUACAAUUCUAGGAUCAAGAGGAAAGCCAUUAGAGAAAUUUACCUUUGAUUUGGAUGUUCCUAAAUCAAUUCCGCUUGGUGAAGAUGAAGAAUAAUGAAUCUAAAAGUCUCGUACACCCAAGAUCUUUCUCCUUAUGACUCGAACCAUGAUCCCAACACCCCAAAAUGUGGACUUUGGAAAUGAUGAUCUCUUGGCUCUCACUAUCUCUCUUUUUUUUUUGAGGUGGAAGACACUGUUUAUCUUAAAGUUGUGGAAACCCUAGCCCCUAUGGGGUAUUUAUAAGGUUCCCCUAUUGGGCUCACUAAUUUGAACUCACCAAGGCUUAGGUUACUUAAUUUAACCCAAAAUUGGUCUUAAUUGAUUAAUUAACCAUAUAAGGUCAUCUAAUUUAUCAAUUAGUCCAAUCCAGAGAACUUAUUCAGUAUCUCUUAUGCAACCUUGUGUAAUCACCAAAACACCCUUAUGCACAAGAAUGAACCAAGAGUCAAUUCAUCUUUCAUAAAUCAUGUCAUUAUGGUAUAUGAGCUUAAAGUGGAGACCAUUGGGACCCAUAGAAGUACUAUCUCUUUCAAAAUCCAAUUUUGAAAUUUAUUCAACAUUCCACCAAAGAGAAUCAAUUGCACUUCAGUAUCUUAAGUAAUUAAAAACAAGAAGAAGCUCGGGGUCCAUGACCUAUUAUACACCAUAUGCAAAUUUAUCAUGAAUUGAUGUUCGUAAUCUAACAAGGUAGUGCUAUCAUCUAUUAAGAUUAUCUCUUCAAUUAUUGAGUUAUAAAUUCCAUUUAUUAUGUGAUCAAUUGAGAUAUUAUAACUCUAAAGAGCAUAUAUCAAAUUUCCACUAAAUGAAAUGUUAUGACCAUAGUUUUCUAGAUCACAUGUCCUUUGAAUCACCCAAUGAGACACAUUGUCUCAAUCCAUGAGAUAUCAUGGUGUCUUUAUUGAGACUACCUAUUACCACCAACCUCCAUCAAAAGUGGCUCAAUCCAUAGGGAUAUAUAACCACUUUAGGAUCUCACUCAUAGGUUAAAACCUCUUGUUAACUUUGGCGCAUGCUCAAUAUCCUCUUAAGGUUGAGAGUUAAUGCAGUAUAGUAGUCUGGUGAAUCAUGAAAAUUGAUAGCCUUAUGUCAUGAUUCACCGUAGGUCCAAUCCAAUGCUCAUCAUAUGCGCUAGUACACUCAUUAUAGGAAAAUCAUCCUGACAACCAAGACAAAUUAUCCCACUAAUUAUGAGGUAGUAUACUACAGUCUCAGAUGGAUAGCCCAAAUCCAUGAACCUACUAUGAACAACUCAUCACUCUACAAGGAAUCCAUGACUUGAAUCUUCUGUGCAACUCCUAAUGCACCCAAGUCAUGUACAAUGUAAGUGAUGUAAGGUGUGUAUGUUCAAAUAACCUAUUAAUACAAAUGAGAUAUUUAAGGGAAACUAAGAAACAUAAAUAAAUAAAUUUAUAAAUGAAUUUCAAUCUGUUACAUCAUAUCAUGCUUUCCAAUGCUCAAUCCCAACAAUUGUAAUGUCCAUUGGAGCCAGAAACCAAGUGUAGAGCAUUGGAACCUUUGAAGCUUGAGGAGAGUGAACGUAUAUAAGAAGUAUCGAACCACUAUAAAAACUAUGUUUGCUUUCACUAUAGAUCUCUUUAUUUAUUCCUUUUUAAUUUGUUUAAAUUUGGUAUGUUUGGAAAAGAUUUUUAAAAACUCAAUUCACAUCAUCUUGGGUGAUUUUCUUAAUUGAUUAGCCUUAAAUCCACGUAUGUAAAUAAUAUUUUUUUUCAUUAUUGUUUGUGUUUCACAUAACUUUAUUAUUUAAUAAUGAUUUUUUUUCUUCAUGUAGGAAGGAGAUCAUAUUAUUAUCACCACUAGGAGUUGUUUAUGCUAAAGACACUAUAACUCAAAGCUUUUCUUCCAAUUUAUUAAUAUUUCAACAUUUGAUGUAUUGGGCAAUCAAGUUAAAUACUUUAAAAUUUUCAUGCUAUUUCUAUUUAUAUUUCAAACUAUAUAUAUUAUUGACAUAUAAAAAAUAGUUAAUUAAAGUUUAGAUGUAUAAUCAUAGUGAACAAAAUAAGUGUAGCAAAAAUCACAUGCACUUGCCAAUCACCCCCUCAAACUUUAAAUCUUACGUCCACCAUUCUCUUCAGGUUUUGGGCUAGUCAAAACAUGUCCUAAAUUCACUAUAGAAAUUGCAAAAAAUAUCAUUUCCUACCAUCUAUUAAAGAAUGUUUCAUUAAAAGAAUCGAUUUUAGAGGUAUCGGGACGAGUGUGAACUACGGAAGUUUUUUUUAACAAAAAAUAAAAUAAAAAUUGAUAUACUUUUAAGAUUAUUGAAAAAAUUAGGUCUAAAAAAAUUAUGCUAAACUAAAAUUAACCAAGCGCAAACAAAUAGGAAAAUAAAUUCUAAUUAGGGUAUCCAUCAUAUUUGCCUUAGGUGUGACAAACAUUAUCUUUAAAGUAGAUCUACACUCCUCGAGUAUCAAACUCGGUGCAAUAGAGAACUAACGUCUUACUUUCAUAAUUCAAUAACCAAAAUCCUUGCUUUAGGUGCACACCUUUAGCAAGGAAUAAUACAGCUCAAUCUUAUAGAAAUUCUUCUAAAUGAAAAGUUGAAAAUAUUGGAAUUAGGGUACAACAACGUUCAAGUAUUACAAUAGAGUAUGGUACUACACUAACAAAAGGAGACGUAGUGCUGAAAAAUGGCUACAGUAGAUAGUAGAUGUAAUAACGAUAGACAAUAUAACGAUAAUUUGGUUACUAGUUGUAGUCAAGGUUUGAAAUAUCAAUAAACACGAAUAUAUCGGUACUUGAAUUUUACGGAUAUAUUAAAAAUAUUGGUGGAUAUUUUGACAAAAAUAUCAAUGAGGCGAAAAUUAUUCAAAAUUUAUGAAAAUAUUUGGAAAAACUUCAAAAAAUAAUAAAAUUAAUUAAUUAAAAUAUGUAUGUUAAAAUUGUUUUCUAAGUGUAAUUAACAUAGAUAUGGUCAAAGAGAAAAAUAUUGGUAAGUAAGGAUAUAUUGGUCUUAAUAAUUUAUUAUUUACCUAAUAUAAUUAAAUUAAAUUUAUAAAAUAUUAGAACUUCAUUAUUAUUAUUAUUAUUAUUUAAUAUUUUAGUAUUUUAAAAUAAAUUUAUAUUUUUAAUAUUUUAAAAUAAAACAUUAAAAAUUAAAUAAAAUUAAAAGGAUAACUAUAAAAAAAUUUAAAAGUUAAGUGACGGUAUUUUUUUAAAAAUGGGAUUAAUGAGAUAAAUGAUGAUACAUUUAAUAUUAAAGCUAUAAUUUAUUUAAUUCAAAUGUAUUCAAUAAUGUAAAAUAAAUUAUGAUGUCUAUAUGAUUUUUUAAUUUUUAUAUUUUUAUAUUUAAUUAUCAUAUAAAUGAUAUUAAAAAAUACUUGUUAAGAAAAUUAUAAUGAUGGUUUUUAUACAUUUAUUAAUCAAUUAAAUAAAAUUUAAAUAAAAUAAUUAAAUUUUUUUUUUUUAAUAAUGAACUUUAACAUAUUUAUUAUUAACAUAUAUUAACAAAUGAGAACUUGGCCUAGUGGUAACCAGGCUUGAACUCAAUAAAAUUUGAAAUUUGAAGGGGCUUGACGUGUUGACCAUGUUUGACUUACCAAAAAAUCGGUAAAAAAAAAAAAACGUAGCCAAUUUAUAGAAGAAGGAUCCUAACAUUUUAAACCAUGGUUAUGAUGCAAAAGAAGUAGCUAAUUUAUAGGAGAAGGAGAUUACAGAGAGGAAAGGAGAAUGAAUAACUCUAAUGAGAAUGAGCCAAAUCAAUCUAAUAAAUUUCAAAUGUUAUAAAUGUUUAUAACAUUUAUUAAUCAAUUAAAUAAAAUUUAAAAUAAAAUGAUUAAAAUUAUUAUUAUUUUUUAAUAAUGAGCUUUAACAUAUUUAUUAUCAACAUAAAUUAACAAAUAAGAACUUGGCUUAAUAAUAACCAAGCUUGAACUCUAGAAAAUUUGAAAUUUGAAGGGGCUUGGCGUGUUGACCAUGUUUGACUUACCAAAAAAUCGAUAAAUGUCGAUGAAAUAUCGACGAUAUUUUAGCGAAAUAUCCAGACAUUCCAAACCAUGAUUACGAUGCAAAAGAAGUAGCCAAUUUGUAGGAGAGGGAGAUUACAGAGAGGAGAGGAGAAUGAAUAACUUUAAUGAGAAUGAGCCAAAUCAAUCUAAUAAAUUUCAAAUGUUAUAAAUGUGAGGGGCCCUCAUGUAGUAACCAAGCUUGAACUCAAGAAAAUUUGAAAUUUGAAGGGGCUUGAUGUGUUGACUGUGUUUGACUAACCAAAAAAUAAAAUAAAAAACAGAUAAAUGUCAAUGAAUAUCGAUGAUAUUUUAACGAAAUAUCCUGACAUUUCAAACCAUGAUUACGGUGCAAAAGAAGUAGUCAAUUUAUAGGAGAGAGAUAUUACAAAGAGGAGAGGAGAAUGAAUAACUCUAAUGAGAUGGAGCCAAAUCAAUCUAAUAAAUUUCAAAUGUCAUAAAUGUGAGGGCCCUCAUGUAGGAUGUGAGGGGCCCAAAUUCCCACUAUAAUGGGUUUGAGCCCCUUGGAUGUGCAAGGCUCCCACUCACCUCUCCACAAGCUCAUGAGGCUAAGUGAGGUAGAAUAUAUACCUAUAAAAGUACCUGUUCUUUUCCAAUAUGGGAUAGACACUUUUUAUAUUUUUUUUCAUUUUAAAGAACACUUAGACACAUUCUCUUCCAAAACUUGACACUAUAUAAAUGGUGAAAUCUUCAAAAUUGUGUGAACAAAUUUUAAAACUAUAAGAGUUUAUUACACUCAAAACAAACAAUAUCCAUAUGAAAAGGAUUGACUCAUUAUAAAUGGUAUAAAACUAUGUUCCCGACUUGGUAUAAGACUCUGUUGGAGUUGUAAGAAGCAUUUGUUUGUUUGAAUCCAUGAUCCCAUGGGAUAAGACAAGAAUGUCAUGUUUGCAUGAAAGGAAGAUUAUGAAAUAAAGUUAAUUUUAUUCACAUCUCUUGAGUAUUAAUUGAGUUAAAUACAUCUAGCUAUUAUUAAUUUGAAAUUUUAUCAAAUACUUCUCAUACCUUUUCUAUUUGUUAUUUUAAGGGGAUGUGAGUGAAAUUUACCUUUAGAAUAUAUUACAUUAGUUAAAAAGAAAAAGUUACCAAUACUAUAUAUGUAAUCAACUCAUCUUAACUUUAUAGAGAACUUUUGUAACCAUAAAACCUCUUAGCAGAAAAUGGGUGUUACCACCCGUGAUCAACAAAAGAAAAGGAAUAACAAUACUCUUUUUUGUUUACACUAAUAUCAAUAAAUAAAACCUCAUCCUAUAUCUAUAAAUAUAAUGGUAGAAUAAAAGGAAAGAGUACUCUAGUAUUGCCCUCUCCUUUACUCAUUGAUGCUUUAAUUUGGGAAAAGCCUUUCAAGAGUUGAAAACUUUUUCAGAAAAUUAAUGUUGAUGCAAAUUAUAGGCCAACAUCUAAAAAUCUCAUCCAUUGCCAUGAAAUUAUUUUGCACUCACUUUCUGAAACGAGCCCAUGACAUCCUGAAUCCUAUCCUUUAUAUGAGCAAGUCUCACAUGGGAAUUAUCCUCAUUUGUGGGCCAAUGGUUACAAAAGCAUAUCUGUUCACCACUCUACUGUGGUCUCCCAUGGCCCCCAACUCUGUAAAGCUUCUUGAAUUGGCUAAGCACAGAGGCCAUCGCUUGAUCAAUGCAGUGAAACCAUGUUUCACUGCUAUUUUACUAUACUACACCGAAGUGUUUUAAUGGCCAGCAACCAAGGCAGACCAUGACUGGUGGAGACUGGACAGCAGUUGAACCAUUUCCACCUAUUGGGUUGGUUGGGUCAAAACUCCCAUCGAAUGUUUGGUGACUCUUGGGCUUGACCCCAGCUCACCCAUCACCUAAGCUCAGAUAUUAGGUUAUCUUCUUCUGAUCCCAAUUGACAUUCACAUAAUAUAUAGAAAAAAUCAUAUUUUUUCCAACCCCCAACAGUUUCUCAUUCUAUCGUACCUAACUUCAUAAAUAAUCAAGUCCAGUACCCAUACGGCUGUGAUGAAAUCUGAAUGCAAAGGUGUUAACCAAGAAGGUCCAUGUGUUAGAUCUUGUCCAAUCAAGGGUCCACCCUCAAGGGACACAAGCUAAACCUACCAUAAUUAGCGGCUACACGUGCCACCGGUUCCACCGGCCAUUGCGGAUCGGGGCAUUUGCUGACCACAAGAUGGUCGAUCACUUGCUCACGUAUGAUAUGAGUGGCCCAGAAACAGACUUUAAGGUUUAGUCCCUCUCGGACUGGUGCAGAUCCAUUUAAAUCAGCACCGAUGUGUUUAGUAAAACUCUAUACAAAACAAGAUAAAAGUCCCUUUUCUAAUUUCCAAAUGAAAAGCGAAAUUAAUAUCACAUGAUCAACUUUUUAUAAACUUUUUUGUAAAAAAGUGAAAUGUUUCGUGUAACGCUUUGGGUGAAUGACAGUAACAUCAUGGAAAAGGGGAAACAUAAGUAGGGUUCACUUUGUGUGACCAUGCCUGCAGAGGGUAAAAGGGAAAAGAUGGAAAGAUUUUUUUUUUUUAUGGAUAGGUGUAUUUCUUUCACUUAAUUAUAGUUUUAUGAGCCUACCAUGACCUCAAAAGGUAUGUCCCAUCAAAUGAAACAAAGGCAGAUCAUAUCAUACAGGCAGACCAUCUAACCCAACGGUUGUGAUGAGUGGGGGAAUAGGUUUGAUAUUUACAAUUGUGAACUUGGGAUUUGGUACUGAGGAUUAUUAGGAUUUAUAAAGUUGCUGAUCAUGAUUAGGUGGGCAAAAAGGGAUCCCAAAUGUAUCUCGCUUUCACUAUGUAUCUUCUCGUUUGUGUCUUGUAUAUAUCUCUUGACCCCUUCAAAGCCUACAAUCAUCACUUCACAAGUCCUGUGCGCCACAAAGGUCAGUCCUCUGUAGUAUGUGGAUGUGGAUGAUAAGGAGAAGAGUAGAGGUCACCUGCAACUAGGAAUUAUGAAGCUCAGGUAAGGCUGUGAAAAGUUGUUUCUUGUUCCAAUUUCGAUCCUCUUUGUGGGUUUUCUUUUCCCCUUUUGCCUUCUUGUUGUUGGGUUUUGGUUCCAAGGAGAAACCAAGCUGGCUAGAGAGGACCAUCUCUGAUUGAGAAGCUGGAAUCGUGCAGCAAACGGUCCCUUAUUCGGAUAGCAAAUUACCAUUUCUUUUUCCCUUAUCCUAGAGACAAAGAAGAUGCUCUUUCUGUGUCCCUUUCUAGUUGGAAUCUCGACAACAUUACUGUAAGUCUGUAACUCGAAAGAACAGCCUUCGUCUUUUGCCAUAAUUGAAUCAAUAAGAGCGUAAGAGCAGAAAACAUAGGCCUGCACUUUUCCCUUUUUUUGCUUCUCUGCAGCUACUUCCUCUCUUGGGUAACUCCCUUUAAGUUUUCCAAGCCGUUAGUGGUUAGAUUAACCCUUCUGCUAUAGCCCCCCGAGUAAGCUCAGCUGGGUUUGUGAAGUUGUGGAGUGCGGAACCACUGAACCAAGCUAGAAAAUGGUGAAUCCGAUUCUUCAUCAUCUUCAUCAUCAUCAUCAUCGCCUCCUGCUCGAUACGCCGGAGCCGAGCACCAUGUCAAAUGGGAACAGUACUCAUGAGGCUUAUGUGAACGAGACCAACUUCGACACCAACAUGGUGAUCAUCCUAGCAGCCUUGCUAUGUGCUCUAAUAGGAGCACUUGGGCUCAACUCAAUCGUGCGCUGCGCCAUGCGCUGCAGCAGAAGGCUCUCCCCGGAGUCCCAGGGGCAAGCUGCUACUGGCCUCAAGAAGCGUGCUCUGCGCCAAAUUCCGGUAGCAGUUUAUGGGCCCGGAGUGGAGAUUCCGGCCACUGAAUGCCCAAUUUGCCUGGGCGAGUUUGUGCAGGGGGAGAAGGUUAGGGUGUUGCCCAAAUGCAAUCAUGGGUUCCAUGUGAGGUGCAUAGACACAUGGCUGGUGUCACACUCAUCCUGCCCAAAUUGUCGCCACUCAUUGCUUGAGCGCCCAACAACUUCAGACGCAGCUGGUGAGGUUGCCCCGGAACAGCCACAGCCAAAUGGGUCCACCCACCAAGGUAGCAUUGUCAUUGCUGUCCAUGAGACAAGUUAAUAAUGCUGGCCUUAAAAUUAAGCCUACUAGGCUACAUCUUUUGUUUCACCAGUACUGAACUACCCCAGAUUGCAAAUGCUAAAAGUUGUUUUUCAGAUGAUUCAAAAUCAUAGUAGACAUCAAACCAACAUGCUUCUGUUAUGGGCUUAUCCACAUUUCUCUUCAUUUCUAAACAAAUGGAUCAAUACUAGAGGAGAAGUUUCCGUGAUCUUUGUCCAUGUGCCUUACCAAAAUCCAAAGGUUUUUCAAUUGGGUGGUGCAUUAGACAAGCUUUCUUUUCUCCAUUUAAUAAUCUGUGUAACGGCCAAAACUGAUUUUGGCGAUGUAUUGGUGAGUGAAAGUGCCUGCAUACCACCCACUAAAGUGGGCUGAGAUUUCCAAAUUUCACAUACUCUGUUUGGUUGGGGAGAAAGUGGGUGAGAGAGAGGGAAAUUUUGGACUCUUUUCAACCGUAUGGGUUUGGAAUGGUUGAAAGGUUAUAAAAUCUGUUGCGUCUACGCUUCUUAGCAAUUAAUGGAGCAUUAAGGUCUCAACCUACAAUCGUUGAAAUAAAAAGAAAAAAGAAGAUAACUUCCUUGGGCUGGCUCAUCUUAGCUCUAACAUACUAAAAUCUCAUUUCAGAGCAAUGCCCCCAGUAAAUUUUCCUGCACCUCACACCUUCUGGGUAUGAGGUCCUCCAAUCAAUGACAUUAAUCAGUGGGCCAUCCACUAUCUACCUCAUUGAUUGAAUUGCUUCUAAAUCCUUCCUGUUCCUUCAACUGCAAAGGAAGCUUUGAAUUUUAACCAUCCACGGAACAUCAGAUAAUGACAGAUGGGGGGCUCGAUGAACUCUUUUGUUUCAUCUGCUCCUCCUUAGAUGACCCAUCAUUCCAUGCCAUAUCAUAAACUGUUUUAUUCCCAAAUAAACAACCCUUGUUGAUUAUAUCUUCUGAAAGAGCAAUCAAUCCAAUGGCAGUAGUUAGUACUUAAUCAGAACCAUCAAGUUGGACACCAUUUUUAAAGCUCUUUUUGACAGUUCCAGAAAAAGUAUUACAUAAUAUUUUAUCACCAAUCAGAGCACUUUGGUACGGAUUUUGCGUAUGAUAUUGAAGUUUUUGAACUAAACUUAGGAGUGAUGUAUUUUUUGACAAUACCUUUCAAGGAAAAAGUUCUAAAACUAUGGCCAUGAUUCCUAAAAAGAACUAAGAUUUUUUUCCAUAUUAAUUCCAUCAGUUAGAAACACAGCUUUGUGGGUCUAAGAUUUGUAAGUUGGGCUAAUUUUGAUUCCAUUUCAAGUUAAGGGAUUUUGAAAUGGGGAUCCCCACCAUGGCCAACCUAAUGUUGGAUUUGAAUCCUGAGAAAAGUUGCUUAAUGAGGGAAUUAGGGGUUUGGCCCCAACAAAUUGGCAUCACUUCCCACAAGACCUUGUAUCAAACCAAUAUUUGAGAAGAAUACUAAAUUUUUAAUAUAUGCUAAUAAAAGAAAAUUAAUUAAUCUGUAAAUAGCAAAUACAAAAAAAUGGAAAAUUAAAAUUUGGCAAAAAUGAUAAAUUAGUCUCCUAAAACCGCUGUACCUUUUCACUAAAAACCCUACUCACCAAUCAUCAUUUGGGCCUUGACCUCCAAAAGCCCACUUUCCAAGUCCAUGGUUUUCAUGGUCCAGCACGAACCCCAAACCCAAAUGGUGGUGAGUACUGAGGAGUGAGGAUGAGAGCAAUCAAAAUUUAAAAUCAAGGAAAAUUCAGGGGUUCAACGGCUAGUAAACAGUACACCAUUGAAUUCUCGUCUGAGAGCACCAAAUGCAGGCAAAUCAAGAGCAGCAGAAGCAGCCAUGGAGUCUCCAAGUUCAUGCCAAGGCCAAGAACUUCAAUUUCAAACUCAAGGCCACCCAAAUCAUACCCUCUCACAAGUUCUUUCGCCUCUCAGUCUUCCUCAAGGUCUGCUCUUUUUCCCUUAAAGCUAGAUCUGAACGCGGACCUCCAGCGUCUAGGCAACACCGGACGCCACUCAGAUCCAAAUUCGCCAGGAUUCUCGAGAAAAUUCGGUCCCGAGGCACCAAGAAACCAGCCAUUUCUGCUGUGAAAACCUCGAGUCGUCGACGCCCAGAAGCUAAACUUCCCCAAAAUCAGCGACCGAAACGAUUCGCUUACGAGGUAAUGCGAAAUUACACAUGUUUGUUUUGAUGUUGAUCCAAAUUCUAAUCAAAAUUUUGAUGGGUUUUAUGUGUUCACAGGAACCUAUCUACGUGGGUUCGAUAAUGAUGAGAGGCCUGGCUUUUCUUUCUCGCUCGGUCUCGGUGAAGGACCACAGUGGAAUCAUCAUCCACACCUCAAUAAUCUUGCUGUACCUUGCUUUAUUGUUUAAGAAAUACACGACAAGAGAAACUAGUAAUCUAUUGGCAACUUUGAUUGCUGCAAUAGUGGGUUGUUCGCUUGUGUUUGAUAUGAGCAGUGGCCUGAAUUAUAAUGGCGGCCUUGUUUCAGAAUGUGUUUGGACGAUCUGCAACUUGGCAGCCUCUUCUGGGUGUUUGUAUGUAUUUUCCCAGGUAAAUUUUGCUCCGUUCUAGCUCUUUAUUUUGCUCUCUCACACUUGAAGUUAAGAUUGAAAGCUUCAUCAGUAAUCAGAGGCCACUUGCUCUUAAAUUUCAGGUAAUUUUCUCAAGGUUUUUUCAAUAUAUGAAAGCACUCAGAUGAUUGGGGUCUUCUGGCGAUGAUACUGGUAAGGCUUCUUGUUUGUUCCAUUGGUGUUUUCUGCAAUGGUUCAAGCCAGAUACUUGAGGAGUAAAUAUUUUACAAAGUUUGAAUAAAUUUCUUUAUUGUCCAUUUUUAAGACACUUAAAAGUUUGUGAAGCCAGAAAUCAAAUGUAAAGCUAAAGGUCACAGGCCAGUAGACAAAGUGUAAUAAGAAUUGGUGUCACAAAAAUUUGAAAAUUUUAAUUUUAUAUACUGCCUUCAUGCUUUAAUUUAUUGUUUGUAAAGUAUCUUUCUCAACUUCACCUUACAGUGAGUGAAGUCCCAACCCUUUGAAGAAGGUGGGGGGGAUGGGAGGGUGAAGGGGGAGUGGGGAUCAUCACGGUAGGCAGGGGCAAAGCUAGGAAUAGGAUACGGGAGCAAUAGAAUAGAGGCUAAUUUCAAGAGGGGCAAAUAUAAGCCAAGAAGCAAUGUUUGGCUCAUCUCUCUUAAAACUGAGGUAUUUUUAUUUUCCCCCUUUUGGGCCUUAGGUGGGAAAAAAAGAUUGUGGAAUUCUAAAUUUUAGAUAUAAAUUGUUGAAAAUGAGUUUGGAAUUGGAAUGUGUUUUUCUUUUUUCUUUUUUAACUUCUUUUUGUUUAAUUAAUCAUCCCAUGAUUUUUAUUUUUUUUUAAAUCAAUGUUUCCCUUGAGAUUUAAAAAAAAACAAAUUAGGUUAGCUAUAUAUUUCAUCUUUUUUUAAAAAAAAUUAGUUGUUAAAAAAUAUCAAACUUUUAAGACUCGAGGAAAAUUAAAAAUCAGGAAAAAUUGACAUUUACCAUUGAGCGAUUUUAUAAAAUUGAUAGAAUUUUAGCUAAAAUUCCAUUAUUUUCAUAAAAACAAAAAUAUAAUGUGGUUCAUCAAUUGAAGAGGCUUUUGCAUUUAAGGUAGGCUAUAACUAUUGAUCGAGGAAAAAACCUUAAUCGAUCGAGCAUUGGUCGACAAGUCACUUAACCAAUCAAGAUUUUUGUCUUACAAUGAUUGUUUGUUAUACUUUUGUUCUUCUAACAAUUAAUAACUUAAUUAACCAUCAAUUGAUUGGUUUAGUUUAAAUUGUUCCUAAAUGUCAAAUAAUUCACAUUUUUAACAUAAUUUUUCCAAAAUAAAAAAAUAAAAAAUUGUUGCAUGACACCAUAUGGAAAUCUCAACCCACCAAAUGUUUGACAAAUAAACAAGAAGACCAUUCCUUCAAACAAAGAAAACGAACAAAUAAAGAAGCUUCCACCCACUACAUGUCAAAAUACUAAUAUUAUAAACAAGCAUGAUGACUAUUAGUCUAUUAGAAUAAUGAUUAUUGGUCCAACUCAAUUGAAAAAAUAUAUCUCAGGCAAUAAUAAAGAAUAUAACAACAAAUAAUAAUAUAUUAAUCUUGUCACCCUCAACCAUCCUCCCUUCAUUCUAUCUAAUUUAUUUAACCAAGAUUGAGAGAAUAUUUUUUUAGAUGCCUUAAAAAAACCAUUAAUUAAAGGUUAUAAAAACUAGGGGUGACAAAAUUUAACAUGAUUGGUUAAUAUGACACAACCCUAACACGUUUUUUGCGGGUUUGAGUUAAGUAUAAAUAGUUUAGAUCAAAUACGCAUUAAUUUAGAUCAUUAACCCACAUAACAUGAAUUUGACCCCAUAUUGAACCAUUUAAUAAUCUCGUUAUUAAUCUAAUUAUAUUUUCAAACUACUUAGUUAAUAUUUGACUUAUUUUAAAAUUUUCUUUUAAAUAAAUAGGUCAAUUGAUUCAUAAACAUUAAUCAUAUAAAUAUAUACAAUUCUUUAACUCAAUUCGAUUAUUAAAUAAGAGGACUUGAUUAUUAAAUGUAUUAAAUGGAUUACACAACGUGUUACCUAUUUAAUAAUGAGGUAGUAUUGGGGUUUAUGUUUUCUAUACGAUUAUUAUUCAUGUCGAGUUUAGGUUUAUGUAGUAAAAUACCUAAAAUUUGACAUGACACAAACAUGAUUCACUACUGUGAAUUGCCAUCCCUUUACCAAUAGAAGAUUAAGAAUAAAAUAAUAUAUAAAUUUCAAAUAUCGUUCGGUCAUGGGUUGUCUAUGGCUCCUUAAGAAAAGUAGUGGUUGCAUCAUCAUUAGAAGUAAUUGCAUCCUUAUUUGAAGUGUGACUCCAUUGUAGUUAUUUUGAAUUCUUCGAUAAGAGUAUGGUAAGAAAACUUUUGAAUGAAUGGAAUAGUCAAUCUUGAUCGAAAAAAGACUUACUUUUGAAGUCAUUGUUUAUAUAAAUUAAAAGUCGUUGAAAGUUGCAUACCUCAAUAUUUUUAAAUCCAUAAAUUAUGACAACUAAGGUAGUUAAAUGUGUUUAAUGUACGUUUAGUCAUAUUUUUAUUUUGUUUUUUAUUUAUAUUUUAUAUUUUGUUUUUAAAAUAAAAAAUUUUACAUAUAAAAAUGAAAAUUCUUUUAUAAAAAGUAUAGAUUCGUCUUAUAUCUUUAAAAGUAAUUUUAAAACCUUCUAAAAUUUAAGGUAAUAUUUUUUUUUACAUCAAUUAUUUUGAAAUAAUUUUUAAAAGUAUUAUUUUUUAACAUAAAUCUCUAAGAAUUCUUGUACUUUAUAUAAAAUGUAAUAUCAUUUUAUAAUUUUAAAAAUAAAAAAGAGAAAGUAAAGGUAAUUGUUUUUCAAAAUAAUUUUAUAUUAUCUAAAUAAAGAAAAAAAAAACAUGUUUGGUAAAUAGAAAAGAGAUUUCUGAUAUUAAAAACAAAAAACAUGAUAGGGUUUAUUUGGUAACUAUUUUAAAAAAUAAUUAUAAAAAAUAGUUUUUUAAAGCUAUUUUUAAUUUUUGUAAACAGAAAUAUAUUUGAAAACUUAAAAUGUUUUUAAUAUGUUUUAAAAAUAUUCUUUUAUAUAUAAUAUUUUAUUUUUAAUAAUCUUACAUUUUGUAUAAUUAUUUUUUAAAACAACCUUACAACAAGAAGUGAAAAUCAUAAUUGUUUUUUAAAAUAGCCUUUAAAAAACAAGUGAAAAUAACAUAAAAUAACCAAAAGAUGUUUUCUAAAAAAUACACCAUAUUAAAUAGAAUACAAUUUUUGAUGGUCAAAUGUGUUUUUUUAUUAUAGAGAACAUAAAAUUGUUUUAAAAAAUAGUUCACAAUGCUCGUGAUUUUAGAUAAUAUUUUUUAAUUAUAUUUAGUUAUUUUCUAAAGAGUUAUUUUUAAAAAUAAUUAGAAAAAUAUAAAUAAGGAUUAAAAACUUAUAUAUAAAAAUAUAAAAAACAUGUUAAGAAUAUUUUAGUUUUCAAAUAGAAUUUUAUUUUAUAAAAUAUUAGAAAAUGGUUUAAAAAAAUUGUUCUAAAAAUGGUUUUAAAAAAUUCUUAUGAAAUAUUGUUUUAAAACAUAUUAAAAACAUAAAAAUCAUGUGAAGAACAUUUUAGUUUUUUUUUUUUUAAAGCACUAAGUAUAAAAUUUAUUUUCAAAACAUAAAAAAUAUGUUAAGAUUAUUUUAAUUUUUUAAAUAAAUUUUAUUUUAUAAAACAUUAAAAAAUAAUAUUUAAAAAUUGUUAUUGAAAACGGUUUUAAUAAUUCCAAAAUUUUCAUUUCAACAUGCAAAAUUGUCAACAUUUUAUCGAGCGGCAAAGCAGGCCCUUCACCAAUGCUUCAUCCUGAAAACCGAAAGUAGGCCCGUGAACCAGGCCCAGGCCCAGGAGACAGCGGUGGGCCCGAAUUCAGCCACGGGAGCAGGGCGCGUGGGAAAAGGCACCAAAGAGGAAGAGAAACAAAUAAAAAAAUGAAAAAGACAAAAAGGGGGGGGGAGGGGGUGAUGUUGAGUAGUGGGUUUGAAUGGGAAAACGGGGACCGUAGAUCUACGGGAGGCAAGAGCAGAUCUGACGGGACAGGUUGAGAGUCAAAGAGCUAUCUUGAUGGGUCUCUUUGACCACACCCUCCCUCUUUCUAUUUUAAUAUUUAUUUUAUUAAUUAAUAAAUGACUCAAGUUUUCCAACUUUGACUGCCUUGUCACUUCAUUCCAGGCCCCUCUUCCUUGAAUCUCCAGCCACUCUGCUCCUUCACCCCCAUUUUUAUCAUCUUGCCCCUCCCCCUCCCCGGCCAUCCCCCUAGGAAACCAAACUCAAGGGGGCAUUCAGGUAAACUCACAGUGAGAAAGCCACUUCUGUUGUUUUACUGUAACAAUAAUAAUAAUGAGACUUAAUAAUUAAAAAUAAAAAUAUUUGAAUUUUUAUUAAUUAAGUAUAAAAAAGGAAGGGGGGUUUUGGGUAGGUUUGACUAGUGCUUCAUUGGGGGCUCCAUUCCAAUAUUCUUAUCAUUUUUUUAUUUUUAUUUUUAUUUUUUUUUCUGUCAUACUUUUUCUCUCUCACAAGUCACAAGAAAAAUCUUUCUCUUCCUUUUCCUCAUUUUCCUUUCUUUGACUUGCUCAGGGUUUCGUUUUUAUAGUAUCAAAUCUCCCUCUCUUCUCUGUUUAUCUCUUCCAAGAUCGAAACUUUACUGCACCCAGGGCGCAAUCGAGAUCAGUGGCUGUUGCAGAGACGACUUGUUUUGGGUUCGGUUCGUGUUUUUUUUUUUCUUUUUUUCUUUUAUAUUUUGGGGCCUUGUGUGUUCUUGUUUAUGUUCUGUCUGGUUGCUGGGAAAUCCUAGGAGAAGAAAUGAAUUCUUUAUGGAGGUUUUGUGGUUGAAUUGGCUGUUGUAGGAUUGUAAGGAUUAUUAUUAUUUUUUUUUAAUUUUCUUUUUUUUCUUUGGACAAUUUCUCGGCAUCUAAACGAAGAAUUUCAUUGUAGAGAAUUUUGGAAUUGUAUUAUUGGGAAAAUUUGGAGUGUUUUUUUAGCUUGAUUUUUUUUUUGGAGCUAUGAUGUUCUUGUUUUGAUGCUUGACUUGGUUUCAUCAUGCUAAUGGGGAUGUUCAGUUGAGGUAUUCCGACUGCUUUGAUGGCCUUAACGUCCAUCUUAGGAAAAUUCAACCAGCUAAUUAGUUUUUUUCCCCUCUCUAAUCGCGUGAACCUUGGUAUCUUUUGGUGUUUUUUUUGGGGGGGUUGAGAUUUGGAGUAGUUUUGGAUCUGAGUUGAUUUUGAUGCAGAUGAUUGGGUGCUGAGUUUAUGGGCUUCUUCUCAUCUCUUUUUCUUUCAUGAAGUAUUAAUGGAUUUGCCGUGGGCAGGGGUUUUUAGGUGCUAUUUACUUUUGAUGUUGGCUUACUGUUUGUUUUUAUUUCAUAUUUCUGUAUCGUCUAAAGGUGAAUUAAGAUUGGCCCUGGAGAUUGCAAUAGUAUAUUGCCUUAUCCACAUGCCAUGUUGCCACUCUGUAUGUCUUUAGGGUUUUUGCUGAAAAAUCAUUGGAGGUUUGUAACUUUGUAGGUAAACAUGAUUUGAAAGAUUGUAUCAAUGUGGAGGACAUACAUUGGACCGUCUCUCAUCGCUGGCCUAGCAGAGUUGAGAAAUUCUUUUAAGGUUUGGGGUCAGGCCAUGUAUGGAUCAAUUAGAAAGACAGAAAUCAAAACAUUCUGGACCUUUUUUUUUUCUAGGUUAAUUGAUAAAACCUUAUUCUAAUAAAAUUUCUUGGUGAAUCUUAUUGUAUUAAAUGCUUCUAGUUUAGUCUUUGUUUCUUCAUAGUAAGAAUUGCUAACUUAAUUAAAUAACAAACAAAAAUUUUCUUGCUGGGUGUCAUAGGAAAAGAUUUUGAGGCUCCUAUUUUGUUUUUCAUGAUUUUGGUAUUGUUGAAAUUCUCAAGUUUGAAGCUUGCAAUGACAUGUCAUUUCCUCAUUUCAUCUGGCAGGAGCAUACAAAACCUUGUCACUGGUGAAGACAUUGAAGAUAAAAUGGGCUGUUUCAAGGUUUUGAAGAGUAAGAAGAAAAAGGCUGAGCGCACUGCUUACAUUAAAAGGAUCAAUCCUCAGGAGCUAACACCCACUACACUGCCUGAACCUAAACUUCAGAGCCGCACACUUCAAUCUGCACCCCCAAGUUUUAGAACCCUAGUUAAACCUGUUCAACCAGUUAAAAGAAUCAUUAACAGUAGAACACGAGCAUUGUCCGCCCCAUCAAGCCUCAAUACAACUGAACAAGAUGCGCUUGCAUCAAAUGAAUGUGAAGAACAAGAAGAGUUGAAGAGUCGUGUUGGAUUAACAAAGGAACAGCGAUCGCCAAACCCUCAGCCUCUUCCUCUCCCAUCACCUCAAGGCACUGUUGUACUGAAAGCUACAGGAAGUUUUAAAGCAGGGAAUGCGAGUGGCCCUCUCUAUGCUUCUGGCCCACUGCCAUUGCCUCCUUUAGGAGCACUCCGGAACUUUGGCUAUGAAGAAUUAUCAAACGCCUGCCUCAAUUUCUCUUCAGAUCGAUGUGUGUCGGAAGGACUUUCAUCCAUAAUUUACAAGGCUUCCUUUGGGGAUGAUGCUUCAGGUUCAAAAAAGCUGGAAGCCACUGUUACCCGGCUUCACCCAUCCACCCAGGUAUCACGACUUUCUGGUUUUUUAUUUGAAUGCAGGCCCUGGAUUGAUUAUUAUGUCAUGUCUUUAUUCCUAAACUUCCUGCAGUUCUCAAACUGUUGCAAAUUAUAUAUGAGCAUGCUAACAUGACUAAUGUAAUUGAACUUUGGUGCACCCCCUUUUAGGCAUCUCUUAGUAUACACUCUUAUUUGCUUAUCAAUAAAAAAGCAUGACUAAUGUAAUCGAGUAUAUGAGCUAUAUCUCAUUGAUGAAGCAACUUUUAUGUUUCAACAUUCUAAUGAUUUAGUUUUAGGGCAAAUGUUUAUAGAAGUUUGAAACCGAGAUAAAUUUUCACCUGCCUGUUUGUAUUUUUCAUUUUUAUCUCACUUUUCUUUCUUUAUUCCCCUCUAUAAUACAAAAUAUCGCUAACGCAAAUAGAUUGAUUUGAAGCAUAAGUCUUUUACAAUGUAUAAUAAAUUCUGCCAAUUUUGUAAUAUUUAACCAUGGCUUUAGAUUUGCUAGGAAUUUCUAUGAUUCUACUUUUUUAUUCUUUUUGAUUUUUUUUUUUCUUUUGAAAUGUUUUACAACCCUCAGUACACUGAGAUAUAACCCAUCCUGUUUGUGCUCAUCUAGGGUUUAAAGGAAUUCAUAAACGAGGUAAACACGCUUGCAUCAUUGCAACAUCCCCACCUCUGUAAGUUGCUUGGUUUCCAUGCGCGUGAGGGAUCUGACCAGAGGAUGUUGGUUUAUGAGAGGCUCUACCAUGGAAGCUUAGACCGUCUUCUAUAUGGGAGAUCGGAUGGGCCAUCCAUUGAUUGGAACACAAGAAUGAAAGUUGCUUUAUGUGCUGCACAGGGUCUCACUUUCUUGCAUGAAGAAGGGCCUUUCCAGGUAAGCUGAAAUCCUGUCUCUGUUCUUUUGAAGGAUUAAAAUUGAAAUAGAUGGUACAUGAUCCCCCACAUGGUCAACUAGUAACACUUCUCAGUUUAUGUUGCAUUUUUCUUUUUCUCUUUUUGGUAUAUUGCCCUUUCUUCGUUUGAUGGAAAUGCACAUGGGAGAUGAUAAAUUUCAAUAUGCCUUAUCAUGUUCUAUCAUUAUUUUGGCUUGAGCUUCUAUCCUUUUAGCUUGCUUGCCCAGAGUUGCAUUUUUUUUGGUAGUCAUAAUAAAAACUUUAAUUCUGUAUUUCAUGCUUGUCCAAUCCAUCAGUUCUGUAGAUUUGGUUGAAAUCCCAUCCAGUAGGUCCUACGUUGUGAAUGUUCCAGGACAGUAUGGCAAUUUUCAUGAUUGGUGUAAUAUUUAUUGAAUGUGACCUUUUGGUGGGAGAUUGCUUGAAAUGCAAAUAUUUCAAUUCCUGUUUUUCUGUUUCCCUCAGAUCACUGUCCCAAUUCUGUAUAUUAGGAUUUUUUUUUUCCAGUGGUUGUUGUUCUUGUUGUGUACUGAGAACUUCCCUGUGUGUUUACAGGCUAUGUACAAUGAAUUUUCAACUGCCAAUAUACAGAUUGACAAGGAUUUUAGUGCAAAGCUUUCGGGAUAUGGUUGCGUUGGCCACAUUCCAGAAGCAGAUGUUUGCAGUAGUUCAGUUGUAAGUGCUUUAACUCAUAUGAGGAUAAUUCUAUCAUUGUUUUGGUUUCCGACUGCGAGAUACUACUUUUCCCAUGCAUAGAGAUGGAAUAGUACAAUCAUGACAAAUAAGACACUUAUUAUUUCUGCAACUACUUCCAUCAAGUAAGACUAAAUCCUAAUACAACAAUGAAGUAUUUACUUCUCUGAAACUGUCAUAACAUGACAGCAUGGUGAUUUCUGGUCUUUUUUACACGAGUUCCUUUUGUUCUGGGUGCUUUUCUUUUCUCUGAUUUGUUUUUGAUCCUGGGGAAUUAAUUAUCUUUUGUGCCAUGUCCAUUUAUUCAGGCAGUAGCAAAUCUAUCAGUGGAGACAUUAGAGAGAGGAUUACUAACUCCCAAAAGCAAUGUUUGGAGUUUUGGAAUAGUUCUUCUUGAGCUACUCACUGGGCACAAGAACCUUGACAGCCGCCAUCCGAAGGAAGAGAGGAACUUAGUUAAGUGGAGCCGACCUUAUCUGGCCGAUGAUUGUCGACUCUCAUUGAUAAUGGAUCCUCACCUAAAAGGCCGCUUCCCUGCCAAAGCAGCCCGAACAGUGGCAGAUAUUGCCCAAAGAUGUCUUCAGAUGGACCCCUUAGAAAGACCCACCAUGAGAACCAUUGUGGAGCAUCUCAAAAUCAUUCAAGACAUGAAGUAUUCCUGCCGGUUUCCUCUGCAAGAGCCGGCAGCAGUUGCUGGAAAACAGAUGUCAAGAUCGCCUAGUCUCAAUGGGAUCAUUACCCCAGCGCCCAGGCUAAGUUUCUCCCCUUCUCCGCCAUCAAGAACCCACCUCUCCGUUUCUCCAACAAGACCGCCUGUAGUACCCGUGUCUCUUCCUCCCCGAGCCUGUUCCUCCACUCUCUCUUUGGAGGACCUUGAACGGCAGGAAAGCAGGAAAUCUUCAUCAUCAACAUCCACCUUUCGGAGGCCCAGUGUUGAAGGUUUUUGAUUGUCAAUAGUAUGCAAUUUUUUCAUUUUCAUUUUUUUUUUUGUUUUUUUCUUUCCCCUUUUGUGAUUCAACACAAUAUAUAGAAGAUAAAAAAAAUGUGGUUCUUCCACCUUUCCAUCCCUCAAGAAGAUGCAACAGAGGAGGAUGCUAUUUUGUAGAUAAAAAAGAAAAAAAAAGAAAAAAAAAGAAAAAAAAAAGUGUGAGCCUCUCUUCUUAUUGGGUUCAGUUAGUUUCCUCCUCUCCACAAUUUGAUUUUGCUUUUUCUCCUUCCCUCUGGCAAAUGUUGUUGUGAUGUCUUCAUUGAAAUGAAAAACUGAUUUGUUUGCAAUUUGGGUAGAAAAUAUUGGAAAGGUUCAGAGAAUCUGAAAUUGGUCAAAAUUUGGCUACUUGAACAAAUCAAAUUUCGGCUUGACAAUGACACCUCAUUAAUAAUAUACCAAUCCAAACUCUCUUCAUUUCUUCCAGAAAGGAAAGCUGGAGUUGCCUUUCCCAUCUAUUUUCCUCUAAAUUGAAAAGUCUUUAGAGAUAAUGUAUUGAAUGGCUCUUGAAAAAUAAUUACUAGUUGAUAUUUUCAACCAUUCUUCAAAAUUUGUCAGCAUUUAGAAAAGAUUGCACAUUAAUUUAGUUUGAAUUCAACAAAAUUUUCCUCCUUCCGCUUUCUUGGAUAUCUGGGUUUAUUCUUUAGAAUCUUUGCCAUCUUUUUCCACAAGAAAUCUUUUAAUUAAUUAAUUAAAAUCAGUCUUCCUCUGUAUUUCCGGGUCUUGAAACUAAGACCAGAUCAAGGGCAUUUCUUUUUCCUCCCCUUGACAUUAAUGUAAUUAAUUUAAAAUAUAGUGAUGCAUGUGAUAGCAUGUUAAAAAGGAUAAAAUAUUUUUUUUUCUAAAAUUAAAAAUAAUAUAAUGAAUUAAUUUACUUAUUUUUUUAGUUAAAAUGAUAUUAAAUCAGUGAGAGGUAAAUUAAUAAAUAAUAUUUUGUAUUUUUUUAUUUUUUUAUGUAAAUAUUAACAAACAUUUAUAAAAUUAUUGUAAAAAAGAUGUCUGAUUAAGUUUAAAUCUCAUAAUAUUGAAAUAAAAAUAUUUAAAAGAAUAAUAUUAAUAUUUUUUAAAGUUUUAAUUAAAUACAUCUUAUCACCAAUCUUUAAUUUGGAGUGUCCCAACUCCCAAGUGGUGAAAUCGAGAGAGAGAGAGUAUUUUUUAAGGUUUUAAUUAAAUACACCUGAUAAAUCCUUAACUUGGAGUGUCCCAACUCACAAGUGGUGAAAGUUGAUAGUCUGACAGUCCCAAGUGGUGAAAGUCGAUUACCCCAAAACAUGAUUGGCGUGCGUAGACGGUAGACGCUACACGUUACAGUCUGAGGGGAGUAGAAUCCAAUGUGGAUCCACAAGAAUGACUUUGUAGGGUUCAGUACUUGUGGGUGGCUGACAUCAAAGCAGUACUGUAGGUUUUGAACAUUGAGCCAAUUACCCAGGUAAAUAGUAAAUUAAAAACACCUUGUCAGAGUUGUAGUUGAAAAUGGAUGACUCGAAGGUUCAAUUAUGAUAUUUUCCAUUUUUAAAAUUAUUAACUCAAAUAAUCAAAUUCUAUCACAUCAUAAAGCAUUCAAAUUCAAAUUUUAUAGAUGGUCGAUCACAAAAGUCAAUGUAGUUUGAAAUUUUGUGUAUAAUUGAUGAUUAUUUAGUUACAAUACAUUUUUUUAGUUCAUAUUUAUUUUAAGACAAUUUUGAUGUAAGUAAGCAUAUUUGUUACGAUAAAACCCUUAAGGAUGUUGUCUUAGGGAUGUAAAAAAGGUGUAUCAUUUUCUUAUGGUUAGUAGAUUAUUUGAUGAUCAAGAGAUCAAGUAAUUUUUCCAUGUUGUUUAAUAUAAUUGGAUCAUUUACUUUUGCAUAGGUUCUUUUGUGCAAUUGGAAUAUUUAAUUUUACACAAGAUUAUAAUGCUCUCGCUAUAAAAUUAAUCCAAAGGGAUAAAACCAGAAAUUAGAAAUGAAGUAUUAGUUUAAAUCACCCCUCCCUUUAGGUAGUUUUAUCCUAUUAAUUCUUUCAAUCUCAAAGUAGCUUCAAAUUCACCAUAAAAUCAUAUCACAUAGCAACAGAAGACCUUUUUUGAGCAUAUGACCCCAUCACUUCUGUCGAAAAGGAUCCUGUAAGGGACCUUUGAACUAAACCAAGGCAGGGUGCUAUUUUCUAGGAUAAGUCAAGCUGAUAGGGGAAAUGGAUACUUCAAAUGGAGCAUAGAAAGAAAGAGGCAAUAAACGGAUACUGAAUUAGAAAAGAGAAUAAACUGUUGACCUAAACAUUAUGAAAAGCAAAUCCAAUUUCUUUGUUACAAAUGAUGAUUUCUGGCAUGUUAAGAGUCUAAAAUCCAUGCAUACAUCCUCUUUUAAGAAGAAAUAAUUUUCUAUGACGCAUAUUAUAUGACAAAUAAAAACCUCAAGCACCCUCUCCAACCAUUGGUACAAGCAAUACCAGGCCACAAGAGAAAAACGGAGAGAUAAGUAUGUAAUUUAUAGAGAAAGGAGUUGUUCUUACCAGGAGAGUGAAAAAGGUGGAAAGGGAAGAGGAGCUCACGAAUUAAGCAUCAUUUUUGCUUUGAUCUUGUCCAGAGUGCUCCUCAUCUCCCCCAUUCUCUCGCUCUGAAACUGCAGGAGCAGUAAUACAAUGAUCCUCAUUUAGUGGUCCUUCACUCUCUCCAGUAGCUUGUGGUGGUGGCACAUGUGAUCCUGAGCUGCCUUGUUGCUCGGCCAAGCUUUUGAGACCAUUCUGCUUCAGAUAUGUUUCCAAAGGAAGACUUGCCACUUGUAGAAGACUCAUCAUGCUCACUCGGUUUGAUCCCACUUGCAAGUCCUCCUCACGGUCAGGAUGGCAAUUCAAGUCUAUUUUUCCCUUGCCAGUUUCACUCAACUUGGUGGACAGAUUGUUGCUUUGGCUCCUAGAUUCUGACUCGUUUGCCAACCCAGCUUCACUCUCCGAAGGGUCAGGAUUUGGAGUGGCAAGUCUUGAGGUGCUGUCCACUUCUGCUUCAUCCUUAGCGCCCCAGAUAUUGUGAUUUAUCUGGGCAAUCUCUGCUUCACGCUCUGAUUGGCGCUUUUUUUUCCGCAUCAUUAGUGUUUUAAAACGACGUUUAACUGUCAUACAUACAUUGCAUGUGCAGGUGGGCUUGUGCUUGCCCUUCCCACUGGGGGGCUGGAUACACACAAUGCAUGAGCAGCCUGGGCGAUGCCUCGGGUGUUUGGUUGUGGUUGCAACUGAUGUAGCGGCUGGGUCGCUCAUGUCAUCUCCAAGGGCUGCAGCAUUGGCCAGAGCAUCUAGGCCGGAAGGUUCAUGCUCCUGUGCAGGCCUAUGAACUGCUGCAAUUCGACGUUUUCUGAAAUCUAUUAACCAGGAACAGAAGAAGUGUCACAAAUAUUUUUGGAUUCAAAGUAGACAAUACUCCACAGAGAGAGAAACGGACAUCAUUUCAUAAUAUGAAACACGUGUACACAUGCAUACACAAUGACUUCCCUAUUCCAACCCUGACACUAGUUGCCCAGACGUGUGCUUUCAUUCCAAAAUCAUGGUUUUAAAUUUUCAAAGAUUGAAAUUUAUUCAGUAAGUCCAAGUUUAAAACUCCAACCCCAAUGGGGAAAUACAUUAAUAAAAGAACAGUAGUGUGCAAACGUGACCCUUGGAAGGGUGUAUGUAUUAGUAGGCUUUUCAAGGAGACUACAAACCCCACUGUAUGGCAGCUUCAAGACAAAACCUGAUUGGGACAAACAUCUCCCCCGUUGGGUGUUCAAUGUAUCUGAUGUAAUGUCAUGCACCCAUUAAUAAAGGUGCUAUUAUUCAUUAAAAUUUUAACUACCAGUUGCAACUCUUCAAGACCAUACUGGGUUCUGUGGCCAAUAGCAUUAUAUCAGUAAUGUCUCCACAAUCCUCCCUGGCCACCCCCACCGACAAAUUUAUGAAAUACCCUCAUGCAAAAUACAAAUAUUAUAUAUAAAAGGAAACCAUUUCUCAAAGAAUGUUUCAGGCUGCAGCAAUUAUUUAUUUAGAUAAAAUACAAGUACAGAUGCUGGCAUCAUACCCUUAUAUUGUCUGAGAAUAUGUUCGAGUUCCCUAGGGCUCAACUCAUCUGGGGCAGAACAUGAACACCUGGAUUACAAUAACAGAAGGUCAAGGAUUUAAAGUUUCUCUAGUGGAAAAACACUUGCAUGGAAACACUUAUAACUGACCUGCUUUGAUCCCACAAAUUUUCAGCACACGUCCACUGACAUGGAACAAGAUAAUCAUGGGGCACCUUUCGCCAUUUAGAGCAACUAUCACACUGAACCCAUUGCUCCUCUCCCCUGGAUGAUCAAGCUUAGCAAAUUAGAUGGAUUCACCUAACAGAAGUCUCAAGACAGAAAUCUAGGUAUCAAAAUAGCAGACACAGAAUUUCUCAGGAUAAAAAGUGACUCCUCUUCCAUGUGAGGUACACGUGGCACCAUAAUAAAUGGGCACUAAUUGGUGCCAAAUUGUGUCUUGAUCCAGGGUUCAGACAACUGGAUAAAUUUUUUACUUAAGAACCUGGUAUUAUGUAUCAGUAGAUCCCUAUCACUGGAUGAAUGCUGCAUAAAAACAUAAGAUCAUGACAAGUUUGACACAUUUUACUUAGGAAAACAAAUUUUUGGAACUGCAUCAUUAGAAUUGGAGAUCCUUGGCAUCCAAGGAGGAAGGAGAACUUGGUGGUAGGGAUGGAGGUAGUAUUGCUGAAGGACCUUGGAAGAGUUCAUUUUCGGAGGCAGAAGUAAAACUUGUACAAAUUAAUCAAGACACUCUUUCUCCUAGAUGGGAAGUUAAAUCUAGUGAUCUCACAAGUACUGAUUUCAUAUUUUUUCUUCUUUUGAUUUCUUAGGCUUGGGGCCACCCAGUAAUUGUCACUAGACAAAACAUGGGAAAUGGAAGCAGAAAGGGCAAUUCAAAAAGAAAGAAAACAUGACAUUAGGAAAAUAAAGCAUUAAAGAAGUUUGUAAAUGAAAAAUAAAGGUGCUGAGAGUAGGUAACACUCAUGAAACCUAUUUUCCAGAUGUUUUAGCAACAUUUCCCAUGGGAAACAAAGGUUGAACAUUUUCAAAGAUGGAAAGCACUUAUGAGAAAUAAGUUACCUUAAAAUUUUUUAAACAAGUUUCCCACCAGCUUUAGAAAUGGGUUUCUGGGAAACUGAGUAGAGUUUCCAUCAUGGGGAAAGUAUUUGUAAUUAUGAUCCAGAUAGCUUCACUUUGCAUGUGGGGUUCAGUCAUUGGUGUUCAAAAAUGCUACUUCACAUGCAAAAAUGUAUUAGAAUAAGUUACCAGAAAUCCUUACCCAGAUGGGAGGGUUGUGAAAAUACUCCUCUUUCCAAAAACAGGGGGUUCCUGUAUGACAAAUAAAUAACAUGAUAAGUAAUUAUUAGUAACCUAUAUAUAUAUGUAUGUAUGAAAAAGAAACAGCAAUCACAUAGCUUGUAUGAACAAACAAGGUAGUAUUUAUGUUUAAGACUGAAACAAGGAGCCUCAGCAAAUAAUUUGUACUUUUUUCUUUUUAUUUUUGGCAAACUGCCGUUGUCAAAAUAAAGUCUGUAAGUGGCAUUUGGAUGCUUUACGAGUGUGAGCUAGCAGCAAGACAAUUUAUAAAAGCUAAUUGCAUUACUAUUUUGAGAAUUGUGGAAAGUUUGCUUACAGUGUAUGCCUCAAAUUCGUAGUCCUCAAUCACGUCAAUGACUGGCUUGACACUUGGGGGUGGGCGGAGCAAAGACUGUGCCUCUUCCCAUGUAAGCCUCAGCUCCAGAGCAUCUUGGCCAUCGAUUAGCAAUCUCUUACUUUUAGACCCAAUUGUUCGAGUUCUCUUCUUCUCUGGUACCAGCAUUGAUGGAAGCAGCAAGCCCUCUCUUGUCUUGCCUCCAUGCUUCUCUGUUUUAUGCCAGCCAAUAUCCCCACUAGCUGAAUUCAAAUGUUUUGACAAUGCAUUUAGAUGGGGAUCUGUGCUUCCCUUCAGCGACUGAAGAAUGCCAGAGUAACCACUUAUUAUAGGUUGGUUCUCAAUAACACCCGAAAAGAAAGUUUCACUUGAAUGAGCGCCAUUAGGAAUGGCAGAUAGUUGGGUGUCCUGUUUAGUUAAUAAUUUAUAUAUUAAUAUUAUAUGAUCCAGGUUUGCUAACAUGAAAACUCACUUUGUUUUCCAAGUGUGUGGAUGCAAAUAUAAGAGUUAGUUACAUCAAUGAAGUUGACUACCUGCAUGGAAACGGAGUUAGAUGCUUUCCGGAACCCCAUAACAAGUUUUCCUUCUGGAUCCAUACGGCUGAAUGUUACUGCAGCAAAAAUAUUAAAUGGAUAAAAAUGGAAUACCAAAUGUAUCUUAGCUUCUGGAAAAGAAAAAAGGAAACAGAAAAGGAAGAAAGAAAAACGAAGGGGGAAAAAGGAAAAACCACACCAUAUAUAGGAAGUGACAAAGACAGAAGAUCAUCAGGCAUAAGACAGUCAUUGAUAAUGUUAGAGCAAGUAAUUUGAUAACAUUCUCUAAAAAAUUAUCAAAUAGAAAUUUCUGUCAGAGAAUGGAAUGACAGGAUGUGACAGCAUAAUCAUUAUUGUGAGAAUCCUAAUUAAAGUCUCAUAGUUAGGACCCAAAACACAACAAAACAAAAAAAUUAAUAAGGUCUUGUUUGAAAUGGUUUCUUCAAAGCUAAAAGCUCUUUUUUAAGCUCAAUAGAGCUUCUCUAGAUGUGUUUGGAUAAUUUUAAUAAAACUUCAAAAAGCUAAUUGCCUUAAAAGAAAAAAUGAAAAAAAAAGUUCAACAGGAAAGUUAGGACAAUAUUGUUUACUGUGGAAGCCCUCUUUUUGGCUUAUUGCAGGAAAUUGUUUCAUGUUUAAUGAAACUUUUGUAGUACCAAGAUUGUCCCUCUAAAAUUAUAGACUUAGCUUCAACUUCUACCAAAAGCCAAAACGAUAUCCCAAACAAGGCCUAAGAGAAGAGUAAAGAUUAAUACAAACUAAAAUAUGCUUAGAAAUUUAGUGCCUCUGGCAUUCUUCAAGUAGAGAAAAUAGCUGAGACAUGUUUAUAUCAUGACAGUUGAAAAUUUUUCCUCUUGUAUAGCAAUACAAAUCAAAAGAAUGACGAAUGACUUCACAACCAUUAGUUUUUGUUGAUUAUUAAAUAUGCUAAAAUUGUUGUGGCAUGCCUACAUAAAAUACGAAGCAGGCAAUAGAAGUUACCAGUAUCUCCAGCUUGUAACUGCAUUGACUGUAUGCAUGGGGUCACACCCUCUAAAACAUACAUCCUGCUGUUAUUAUUGGGCCAAAACCUGAAUUGGAACACCCAUUCUUUCCCCUUCACAUCCUGAAUCCUUAAAGGAAGGCCCUCUGGUUGAGAGAUAGGAGGAAAAUAUGCCUGCAAAAUGGUUUAGUUUCAAUUGAUAUACAGAUAAGGUUCAACAAAAAUAAGCUUAACAGUUAAAUUUGGGAAGAACGAAAAAAAAUGAAAAAUGCAAAAGACAACCAAUAAAUAUUAUUUUGUCAAAUGAAAGCCAGACUAAGCACACAAUGGAAAGCUUACUUCAGCACAUGCUUUUGGGAGCACUAAACGACCAAUACGACCAGCAUCACUGGCACUUAGCAUCUUUUCAAAUAAUGGUACGAUGGUGGAAUUUGAGCUUCAAGAAAGCAUGAUUAAAGAAAUCGCUGAUCGAGUUGGUGAAUAAGCAUGAAAAUUAAAAAAAAAUUAACAGCGAAGCAAUCUAUGAACUUCAAAAUAAAAAUGACAUAGUCAAGGAUACUCUCCAGAUAUUUGCUGCAAUUCCUGGUCUGUGAUCCUCGGCCAAUAACGAGGAAGCAACUGAUUCCGACCCCGUCCCUCUGCAGGUGGCCUUGCAACACGUAUUUGUGGAACUAUACCUGUAUUUGUUUCCAAAACAGGAGAAAGUGCUGACCUUGGGGGCUUGGGCAAAAGAUGGCGAGACCUAGGCCCCUGUUGGAUGGGAGUGGAUGUUUUGUGUUGUUCCCUUUCUUCAACGACUGCACUAGGAAACACAUUUGGAUUUCCUGAAGGAGCACCCAAGGUGAUACUCAAAUUUGUCUGAACCAGAGACUCAUGUAUAUCUUUGACCAUCAUGUUUGCUUUACAAAUAUCUAGUUUGGCAUGUAUGGAAGAUCCGAUGGAUGCUUGAUUUAAAUUUGACAAACAUGUACUACCAGUUUCUCCCUGAGGUGGCAAAACUUCCUCCUGUUUCAUUUGGCCAAGAGACCCAUUUAUGUUGUCAUUUCCAGAUUGAAGAAAGUUUUUCAGUCCAUCACCCGAUGUAUCAUUCCCCAACUGUGUAAGCUUCAUCUUCUCAACACUACCACCAUCUAAUUGAUUGUCCACAGAAGUGCAACGAAUUUCACCCACAUUAUCCACUGUCAUUGCACCACUUUCAUUAGCCUUUUCAUCACCUGUCAUCUGUAUGACAAUUUAGAAGUAUCAUAAAUCCCUGAAGGUUGAAAGGAAGUGAUUAAAUUGUAAUAUUCAAUCACUUUCAAGUGAUUAAAAAAAUCUGAUGUAUGCUGCAAAGAACAAACUGAAAUGCACACCUUAUCAAAUACCAUCAUAAACAUCAGAUAAGAAAGUUGUCUGAAAUUAGAGGUAAAUUCUUACUCUUUUCUUACUAAUCCUUUUGUCACCUUCAUUAAUUGAAAGAUACAUAAAUCUACAACACCAGAUCAUCUUAAACCAUAAUUGGAAAUUGGAACUUGUUAAUAAACCAUUUGUUAUUUGUUUCAUUAAUUGGGAAGUGUUUAUAUAGUUGAACGAAACAGAUGAUAAAGAAUCAUACAAACUAAUCAACGAAUUGAUUUUGGCAGUUUGUAACUGAUAUGAUAGUAGGAUGGAACUACAGAAUUAUUAAAUGCAUCCAACCAAAAAUUAUAAAGGAGUAUGUUUGUGUAACUUUUCCAAAAGAAGUCAUAGACAUGUAAAUGAGUUGAUCUUACAGGGUGAGGUCCUGAACUUCUUAUGCAGUUAAUACAAUUUACGCCACCACUAUCAAGUAGCUCAAGCAGAGACCUGGAAGCAAUGCAUCCACAAUGGAGACGCUGGAAACACCAAUUGAAUCAUACUUUUCAACAAUAGCAUGAGUUGAAGAAAAAAAGUGAUGUGAGUUGGGAAGAAGGAACAAGAUACGAGUUACUGGACUACCAACUGACCUUGCCACAUGCAGUACAUUUCCUCCAACCAGAGUCCUUUGAGUGAAACAUGUCACAGAAAACUAGUUGCUCAAAAGCAGACCUGGAGAGAAUUCAGUUGCAAAUAGAAAGUAUCAUCUAAUAAGUCAUAUGGAGAAACCUAAUGUUUUCUUUUCCCAAUAAAUAUAGAUAAAAAAUUGCAGCUCAUCAUGUAAAAUUGUCAUAAAAUGGUGACUAUUAAGUCCCAGCAGUCAGGUUCCAGUCACAUACCUAGUUUCUCAAAAACAAUAAAUGCCAAAUAUUAUUAUUCAUAGGGCAAAAAGAUAAUUGUAAAUAAAAUUGUGUAGUAUUUCUAAAAAACAAGGGAAAGAAAACCAACCAUUAAAGGUCAAGUUCAAGCCAUAAAUUGCUAUGCACUCUAGGCAUCUCCAUGUUUCCACCUUCUAAGGUUCUCAGCAUUUAGAUAGUCGUAUCUAGGCCAAACAAGCUGGUGGAUCAAAAGUUCCUAGUCAUUUAGAAGAAAUUGUUGUCUUCAUGGGUGUCAGCCCAUCAUCAUUAGUGAGGUUUCACCGUUUAACCAGAAAUUGUUAAAUCAUCCAAAUCCAGACAUAAUUAGGAUGAUCCAGUACCAAAAUUUUUUCAGCCUCUUACAAAUCUCAAUGCAUCUUUAAAACAUAUUUAGGAUGUAGGAUGGACCAGAAACAAAUUGCAUGUGGAUACUCAAACCAAAUGAUAAAAUAUCCUUAUUUUUAUUUGCAUGUAAUAUGGAACACAUAAUAUGAUAAAAUUAAAUUUAAAAAUUUUACAUAGGGAGAAAUUAGAUUCAAAAUUUUGCUUCAUCACUGUAUGAGGGUAAAUUGUUCUGUCAUUCACAGAUUGCAAUGACUUGAUUAGUUUACUUACGGACAAGACAAAGAUGAUGAGAUGUGAAAGGCAAUGCAGAUAGCAAGUCAAAUCACAUGCCCUUAAUUUCUUACAAAUAGAAUCCUGCCAAUAGUCAUUUAAAAGCAAACAAUAGGAAGACAAAUAUUUAUUCAACCAAAUAUGGCAUGUAUUUCAAAAAGAAUAAUAAGCUCUUAAAUAAUUUGUAUUUAAUUUUAUCGGGAUAGAUUAAACUAAGGUAACUUAUCAAAUAUAUUUAUCCCCACAAAAGAUACAUCAAGGGAUAAUCAUUAAUGAAGAUGUUUAUCAAGAAACUCUAUUAUCAACCUCUAUUGAUAGCCUAAGCUCAAAAGUGUCAUCAGCACAACUUGGAAGAGAGAUAAUUGAAGCUUCAUCCCUGAAGAACUUUCUUCAAUCCAAUGGACUAACAAUCCCAAAGCUCUACAAGAUUUUGUCACUCAAACCUAUGCUCAUCAUUUACGCCCACAAACUACAAGCCAAUGAGCAUAGUAAAGCUCUUUUAAAUUAUAGAUAUAAAGCUAUACAAACAUCAUUCCUUCAGCAUUUAAGAUCUCAAAGGCUACAUUCAUGGUGAAGCUUUAUUCUUCUCUUAUAUGCUGUAAGCCUCUGCAACUGUGUCAACACAUCCCAACCUUCUGCAGCUGAAUUCACUUUGUCUGGGAACCAGCUCUUCGAGUCUUUGACUGAAGCAACUUUGAGAAAAAGAAUCAGAGGAUAUUUUCUUUAUUGAAGAAUUUUCAGAGUUUGCAUUUCAAUUUUCUUAAACUAAUAAAUCUGAGAUGGUCAACACUUUUCUCAUUUUUUUUUCAGGUUUAAGAUUUGUGUUCACAAAUUUCUAGAAAACCCAGCUAAAUAAUCUCCACCUAAUUCCUAUUUUCAAGUGAAUAAGUUGUGAUCAUGUGACUAGCAACAACAGCAAAUGAAAUAUUAACAUGCACACUUAAUGUGACAUUAGGGUAAAGGACGUGCACCAAUUUUCUUUAAAAAUAGCUACUUUAAAAUUUGUCUUGGGCUUGUGAAUUUAAAAAACACCUGGACAAUUAUCCUUGGUGGAGGUGAAGAAUAGUACCAUUGUUGUGGCAAAGAAGCUAUUGGCUCACUUGCUAAAUCACAAAAUUCAAGUUUGGGUUCUACACUAAGUCAGCAUGGGACAUGGAUUACACCAAUUAUCAAGUCUACAAAUUAUAUUUUUCAUGCCACUCAUGGUGAUUGAAGCAACUUUAAGUGGUUUAAGGCUUUAAGCAAUGAAACAAAUUGGAAGAAUAGUCGAUGCUAUCAAAGAGCAUUCACAACAUAAUCAAGAGCAAGAUGCUCACAGAAAUAAAACUUCAACACAAGCUUGGUUGAUGAUAGCAUGUUGCUAAGAUCCUUCUUGAUUCACACCAUAAGAUACUUCAAAAACCUUCUUUAAAAGAAAAGGUAUUGCUACAAAUCAGCUAAAACAUUUUAUCCUAGAAAAUUUUGUUGCAAAUCAGCUGAAGGAUUUUACCUUGGAGAAAACUCCUAAAACAUGUGACAAUGAAUCUCAAUCCCCUCUCCCACAAACCAAAGUUUUAAAAGAUGCAAGGCACACUUAUGACAUAAAGGCAACCCAACACACAUGUCUAAGUGAAAAUCGGGUGCACUCCAAGUCUAUGUGUAAUUUUAUAUCAUGUAACAAAUAUUAACGCGCAAACAUUUAUAAUAUUUUCAUAUAUCAUUAAAUAGUACUAAAAAUUUCAAUUCAAGCAAUUAAAGACAUCAAAAUUUCACACAUUUUACAUAAAAUCCAACAAAAAUAAUGCUAAAAAAAUCAGUUAUCAUUUAUUUGUGUACUAUACAUAAAAUCACAAAAUAAAUAAAUAAAUAGAUAAAAAUAAUUCAAUUAGUACUAAAAAAAGCAAAUAAAUUUGUGAACUACAUAUAUAUACUGAGCGCCGCAUCAAUGGAUAAUCGUCCUUUAUUAAGAAAUAAUUAUCACUUAUAAGUAGAUAACUGACAAACAAAAACCAUAAAGCUAUUAUAGUUAAUGAUUCGCAAAAUGGCUAAUAAAUCAAAGAAAAUAAAAAUGCCUAAAAUAUUGGGAUCAUAGGAGUUGUGCGUGUUAUGGACAACCUACACAUACAUUUUUCCUUUUCUUCUUCUUCUUCUUCUUCUUCUCCUCUUUUACUCUUCUUCUUUUCAAUCUCUUUCUUGGAAUCAAGCCUUCAAAUCUUCUUUUUUCAAAUGGUAGGGUGAAAAGGUAUUGUUUUGUCUGUUGUUUUAAAAAUACUUAGGCUCAAAAUGACCUUUUUUUUUUCUUUUCUUACUAUGGUAGAAAAAAAAAAUAACUGCAAUUAGGUGCACUUUUUAUUGGCCUUGUGCCUUGCUCUAAGGGUGUGCCUUUUACACCUAAGUUGUGCCUUGUUGAAUGCACCUCUCCUUGUUCUAAACGAGAUGCUAGAGGAGCCAUGUCAUGUCACCUUACCACUGAGAGCAUCUUCGAAAACCAUGCCAUACACACCAAGAAGAGUUGAUAAGGACACCAAUCAGCUACCAAUCAUUAAAAUUUCAACAUUUUGAUAGGACAAGGAAAUCCAAGGCAACACAAGGGUCAAUUUAUGGGGACAUGCAACAAUCUCAAUCUUUUUCCGUUUUUUUUUUUUUUUAAGGCAAAUUUUUGUCCCCAUAAGGGACUUGAACCUGGAACUUGUGUUUAACUCUUCAUUCAUGUACAAGAUCCCUAAUAAUUCAUUGAAACUAGCUUCACUCACAUAACCAUCAUUUUACAUAUGAAGCGGUAAACCCUAUAGCAAAUCCUAAGAGAUCACCCAUUUUAUUUUUUAUUUUUUAUUUAUAAUGAGGAAUGCACCCUGCCAAUAAGGCAUUUAUCCCAACUGUUGAUAAAGCAAACCCUGGAUAACAUAGGUCCACUUCUUUAUCCUACACACUUAAAUUGAAGGAAAGCAUGAAGCAAACCUAGAUGAAAUGGGUCUAACUCCCCUACACCACUUAAAUACAAGGGAGGCUUAAACUAGAUUAAGAAAGAUCAGCCCAUUUUAGAUUUGUUCUCAUAGGUGAUAGAUUAUGAAGUAGUUAUUAAAUUUAAUUUAUUGCUUUUUAAAGUAAUAAUACAUGUAUGGCAUGCCCUAAAAUGAGACUACCUCAAAUAAAUUCCAAAUAAUGUGUGAAUAAAUUAUAAUAAUAUUACACAAAAACUAUCAGCAAAUAUUAAGAAAAAUAUCAUUGUCUUCAAGACCCUAGUUUUUGCGUUUUUCUUUUGUAGGUAAAUUAUAUACAAAUACAAAUAUAGUAGGAAAAUCAUUUAAUAAACAAGGUUGUAAUAGUAUAUAAAAUGUAUGCAAGGCGCACCAAGGCCAAAAGAAAAGAAAAUAUAAAAGGAAAUUGACCCACCUAAGACAACCCCAGAUUACCAAUUAAGUUCAAAAAGGAAAAAUUAGCAUCUUCCACUCAACAUUGGGCUGACUAAAAGAGACACUUAACAAAUCAGUUUAUUGCAACGAAGUCCAGAUGUUCUACUUUUUCAAAUAUUAUAUUUUUACAUAACUCAUAAUUAUUUUUUUUAAAUCUAGGUUUUGCAACCAAGUUCAACACGUUUUCCAACAACAUUAAGUUCCCAGUGAUGUUUCCAUACUAUUUAAGUUUUCAUAGUCCACAAUAAGCAUCUAAAACAUAAUUUAGUUCAAAUGGAAAUUUAACUUUAUUACAAAACAAAAUUCAAUUGAGAACAUUAACGUUUAGGUUUAUUCUAGGUGAAAGGCCUAGCCAUGCCCAUUGACAGCUAGGGUCAGGGGCCGAUUAGGCUCAAAAAGUAGUCUCAAGCCCAAUCAGAAACUGUAUGGGCCGAGCCUGAACUCAAGAUAAAUGCCUAUGAUCCAUUGGGCAAGCCUAAAUGAGUCCACAAUUGCCUUAACAACAAAAAUAUUGUCAUGACUGUUAGUGAUUGCCAGUCAUGGCUAAAUUUUAACUACCAUGGGCAACUACUGUUCAGAAAAGGCACUGUUAUCUUCAAUCUUAAUAUAAAUUAAGCAUAUGAUGACAUUAAAAAGGUCAUUUUAUCCUGAGCAUCAUACUGCAACUUUCUUUUCCAUUUCUCUCUUCGAAUCACUAACUUGACCAUUGGAGAAGGUGUUCUAUAACCAUCCCGAACAUUUUUUGUUUGCAUGUUGUUGGAUUCAGGCUGCUCACUCCAUUGAGGUUAAUCUACAUGAAAGUUGUUGAUGUUAGCUGAUUGUGGAAAUUGACAGCUUGACUGAUUGUGAUUGACUAAAAUAUAAAACUUAUACAAGCUGUAAAUUAAGGUUAUAAAUCAGUGAUAAAAUUAGGAUUAUAAAUUAAGGAUUCCUAGCUUGUUUGUAUAGUUGACUAAUAGUGACUACAUUCAAUGUAUUCUUGGAUUAUUUUCCUUUAUUGUUUUACCUGUAACCUUAUAUAUAUUAAUUGUAAAUUCCUCCAUUAAUACAAGAAUGCAAUUCCAUGAUUGUUUACAUGGUAUCCAGCAAAGUACUAUUAAAAUUGCUUCUCGUUUCUUUGGCCUAUAUUGGUGAAGCCAAGUGCAUUCUUCUUUGCUACAGCUUUAACAUUUCGUGGCCUUCAUUGCUGAAAUCGACAUAGAGAAAUACAAUCUUCAUUGUUGGUUCUCCCACAUUCUCUCUGCUUUUAUUCUCUUUCUCAAUAUGUCUGAAAUAUCUAGUAAUGUCCAAAUCUCUUCCUCCAUAAAAAAUUUCGAUCAAGUUGUAAUCCACUCUUCCUCUAGUGAAUACCAAAAUCUCCAAGCGUCAUUUAGGCUUAAUAGCCGGAGUUAUCUGGUUUGGUCUCCACAUGUGAAGGCAUCCCUUGAACGAAAGGGGAACCAAACAAUUUAGUUAGAUCGGUACCAAGCUCAAAAGACCCACAGUUUGUACCGACAAAACCCACCCCAUUGCCAUCCCUCUCUAUGGUGAUCUAUUGAUUUAUCAUCUAUUGUUAGAUAUAAAGAGUAGAUCAUUAAUUUUGCAAACUUAUCUAUUAAUCUAUUUAUUGAACAUAAGAAUAAGGAUGCAACAUAAAAUGGUUCCUUGUGGUGCAGGAAUAAAUAAUCCCAAAAUGUUGAAAGUGUUGCCAAAAUUCAAGAGUAAGGUUUCUUUUUUAUCACCUUAUUUUCCCUAUUGUCAAGUUCGUUUAGAAGCAACGGAAAUCAUUUGUCCCAUAUUGAUUCACAAACAAAUGCUUUGAGAUUAUUUGUUAAGGAUCAAUGAUGAAUUUUUAUACGAUGUAAGUAGUAUCAUGCAAACACUACACUGAAAUAAGAACAACAAAAAUUUAAGGUGACCUACUUAAGAACAAUUUAACCUUUUUGAGGGUUUUCUUUUUUUUCUUUUCUUGCAAACAAGAAGUACAACUGAAAUUUCCUUUCUUGCAAACAAGAAGCAUACAACUGAAAUCCCAAUAUAUAACUAAAACACCAUAGGGUAAGGAUGGGCAUUGUUCUCUUGAACAAAAAGCACAAGCAAUCCUCCAAGAAAGAAAAUCCUCUAGGAUCAUAGUAAAUAAAUCUGUGUUAACAAUGCUUCCUAGACGUUUAUUGGAAAAUAAACAUCCACAAGUACCAAAUACAACUGAAAUCCCAAUAUACAACUAAAACACCAUCGAACAAGGACUACUAUAACACCAAAAAAUAAAAUAAAUAAAAUAACGGAAGAAAGCUCAUGGAGGUAAAAACUCCUAAAAAAACACCUUGAAAAGAGAAGCACUACACUUUGCUGACCAGUCUGUUGGUUGGCCAAGUGAAGGAUCCACCAAACUAGAUUUGGAGAUGGAAAAUUUUAGGUAAUUAGUCAUCUCACUUUUGAGGGUCUCAUAAGACACCAAGAAGAUAACUAAACCAAGUCACCUCCCACUAGGAAGUGAUUAAAACCUAUAGGAAAAGCUAAGGUGAAAUCUUUAAGUAAUGCCAACUCCAUAGCCAAUCUCUCCUCAAUGGGCUUAGAAAAAGAUUUACCCACCUCUCCUUAAUGAUCCUGGAAGACUCUGCCAAUACCCAUUUACCUUGGGUUUCCCAAAAUGACUCUAAGGGUUCUUUUAUUUGCCUUUUACAUCACUUUUCAAUCUAACAACAAGUUCAAUCAAGACCAAGGGAAGGCAAUAGAAAUUUGAGGCAACUAACUUGGGGAUAAGUCAAUCAAUUUCUUUUCUCACUUUUUCAAUGUGCAACACUAACCAAGAGAAAGGUGAUGUCACUAGAAAUUUGAAGUUACCAACUUGGAAAUAAAUUAACCAACAGAGGUGUGGCUGAUAGGAAUUUGAGGCAAUCAAUUUGCAUAUUCUUAUGAAGUUUUAUUUCUUUUGCUCUUACACUACUCUAUUUCUUUCCUAUUUCUUUGCCACGUCAAAAUAUAUGAAUUUCAUCUCCUCUUAGACCAAUCUUAAAAAGAGUAUAGGAACCUUUACUUAUUAAUUGACUCCUUUCCAUUGUAUACCUUCUGCCACGUCUAAAUACCCUCUUCUCUUACAAAAAAGGUCAACUGAGACCAUGGCAAGGCUACAAGAAACUUAAAGGAGACUAAGUUGGAAACAUUUUUUGUUCCUUCAAAAUAUUUGUCACUUCCCUCUUUUGUUACCUCUAAUGUCCUCUUCUGUGAAAUUGAUCCAGAAUCAAGUUAACCAAAGCCGAGCAAGGCUUAUAGAAACUUGAGGAUUUGAAUCCAGGAAUGAGUUGAUCAAGACUGAGGCUAAGCUAAUAGAAAUUUUGUGGUUACUGAGGCCAGAAAAUUCCUAAGAACGAACAUUUCUUAUUCCUAUGCUGCAUCAGAACGCCUCUACUUCACUCUAUUCCUUUGCUGCUUAUUUCCUUUUCCACUAUGACUCAGAAUAUAGAAUAUCCCCCUCUUCUUUCAAUUUCUUUUCAUCCUUUUCUUUUCUCUGUUUUUUGCGGCUUCCCUCCUCUUCUGCUACUUCAGAAUAUUCUUUUAUCCAUUCUGUUUGGUUGCUGCAUUUCUUUUUAGCUACAUAGGGAAUAUCUUCUUCGUCUUCUCUGCUCAAUUUCUUUGUUGCUUAUUUUUUCUCUUCGGCGACUCCUUAUACACAGCCACAAAAUUAUACCAAGAAAAUCACCAAAAAUGCAACAGAAUACAGAGCAUCCUCUUCCUCUGCUAAGAAUAAAAAAAUAAAAAAUCUUCCCCUUGUCUAUUUGGCGAAAUCCUUCCUCUCUGCUACUCUCCAUCUAUAAACAGCCAUAUAAUUGUACUAUCAGAAACACAUACAAUAAGAAAAUAACUUCUUCCUCUUCUUGGUUCAUUUCUUUGCUGCUUCCCUACUGUUCUUCACCAACAUUCAUUCAGAGCUAUUCUUUGGGUUGUUGUAUUGAGUGUACAUCUAAUACAGUUGGUUGUAUUAUAUCCUGGAAACAGGACAUUGUUAACGCAUGACACCAAGCCAUUGUCUCAGAGAAACAGAGUUCAGACACAUCAACUGAUAAGUCCACCUCAAUUCCAUUAUUUAAUUACUGAAGUUCAUAUUCUUUGUAGCAUCUGAGCUCUAAGUUUAUACUCCGGUCACAUGAGCUACAGAAAAAAGAAAAUAAGAAAAUAGACAGAGCACAGAACACCAUCUGUUCCCUCCUCUCUGCUAAAUUUCUUUGCUACUUAUGGUUCACCAACAUCACUAUAGCUGCUCUUCAGACCCAGAGUCAUUUCUGUAUUCUGGGAAUUGUACUGGGCCCUAUCACCUGUUAUUCUUGACCAUAUCUUAAAGAAACAGAUCACACAGCUCAAUUGAUUAGUCCAUUUAAUUUUCAUAGUUCGCUUCGGCUUAUUUUCGUGAUAUCCAAGUUAUUAGUUCUUCACUACACUAAAAAGAUACCCAAUAUGCCAUUAAUUGCAAUCAACAAACAUGCUAAGAAAAAGCAAGCUGACAAACUCAAAACAGAAAAGGAAACAAACGUAGCAAAACAAAACACCCAGUAAUUAAACCUCCAAUAAACCCAUAAAUCCCAUAAGUAGUCCACCAAAAGUCCACAUGUACUAAAUUAAAACCUCCAUUAAACCCAUAUAUCCAGUACACAGUCCAUAAGUAUUUAGUGCAUUAAAUUAGCAAAUAACAACAAGGAAGAAGAGAUCCAUCUGGAUUACCCGCACUUAUCGCAGAGAAUGGCGAAAUCACCAGAUCGCAAAGCCCAACCUUUUCUCCACUCGAUCGUCGACCCCGACGACGCCCCGGGGCACGACACGUUCGCGCAAGUUUUCGAUGCCAUUCAUAAACUCAAUAACGCCUGCAAAACUCACAAAAACAAAAUCCAAUCAAACAAACAAAAACCCUAACUCACCAACCCGGCUCCCCGAAUUCAAUCAACACCACAACCGAACGACAAAAUUGAUCAACCCAGACAAAACAACACGAACACGAAAAACCGUAGAAGCGAAGCUAACCCCACAGCUAUAUCCCGAACCACUCCCUCCGUCUGUAAAUCAGAGCACGAACACGCCACUACAAACUUUCACUCCAUCUUCCGAGUCCUCGAACUCCCGAGAUUUGAUCGAAGAAUGGCGGCGGGGCAGAAAUCCUCGGAUCAGCAAGGCGUCGAACACCGCCGGCCACCGGCGAGUCCAAUCGGCGAUCGAGUUUUGGGAAGAAGCGUGUGCAUGCAAAGCCUCAGAGAGAAAUAUAAAUAUAUGGAGAAAUGGAGAGAGAAAGAGCGAUGUAGAGAGAGAAAGUGAAAGAUGCAAAAAUGCAUGCACGACACUUCAAGACUCGGCGAACUCUCCCCACUUACCCCCCACUGUUUAUCUUUUUAUUUUUCAUUUUAAAUUUUAAAACCUCUCCAAAAAAUGGAAAAUUACCCCAAAAAAAUACUCCCCACUCUCACACCUUCUCAUAUCUAAUCACUCGCGCUUUGAUUCGAGGUCUUCUGAGUUUAAUAACGAGAAUGAGUCCAACUGCCAUCCGGGGUGGCGAGUGACGUACUGGCGAGUGCGGAGAGCGUGAGGAAGAUACCCAUUUUUUCAGGUUUUGAAAUAAUUUUCGAAUUAGGGCGUCAGGACACCACCGAAAAAUGCGCCACUAGCCGGUUUUUAAUCCAAUAGCAUAUUUCGCAUGCAAUGGAGUCGGGCGUUGAAUUACGGAAAUACCCCCCGAAAUACGUGGAUUUGACGGCCGAGCCUUCGUGGAUACGGCGGUGUUGGUGUUCCAAUGGUGCAGACUGGAGAGUACGCUUACCCGGGUCCUCCACUUCAACGGUCUCAUGAGUAAACGCGUGACCGCCGUGGGUUUGUUCUUCUUUUAGGAGUCAACGCCAGGGUGCUACAUCCGACGGUGAAUAUGCUCUGUGACGUCAUUCCAUUAGGUGAUUAUGAUGCCCGGUGGGCCCCAGAACCACGGUACCUACCGCUGUGAAAGAGAAAUGCUAACGCACGCGCCGGGGGUGGACCGUUAAGCUCUGCACGAUGUUUUACCAUAAAUAAAAUAAUUAAUUUGUUGAAAAAAAAACUAUAUUAUAAAAAAAAUGUGACUUCAACGAAAUAAUUAGAUUUUGGUGAUUAACAUUUUUCCAUUUUUAUUACUGGGUCAUAAUUACAAAAUUAUAAAAUAUGUAACAUUUAAGGCAUGAUCAAAUAUUGGGUUGUAGCUUUUUCCAAUUUUGAUUAAUGGGUCAUAAUUGCACAUGCAUUCAGUAUGGUGGUAAAUUGCUGGUGUGAAUAUGUAUAUUUAUUAAUCUAACAAUUCAUAUUUAUAAAUAACUGUCAAUCUUAUACCCUAUUUGUAUUAAUCCAUAAUAUUAUCUUUUAAUAUAAUAGAAUUAUUUCACUAAAAUGAAGGGAAUAAAAAAAAUGAAACAUAUUGCAAAUAUUUUUUGAAUGACUCAUUCCCGGGCUUAAGAGUUGUAUUGUUACACCCCGAUGCUAUCUAUAUUUAUUAAUUAUUAUAUAAAACAUUUGUAUUACUCUCUUCUAUAGCAUAUUAUGAUUCACCUCCAUUUUCAUUAUAUUUUCCAUUUUCAUUAUAUUUUCAAUACUCUUCUCACGUACCAAAUUCAGCUUAUUAUUUAUUUUUUUAACUUAUUUUUCAUACUAUCUAUAUUUAUUAAUUAUUAGAUAAUACAAUUAUAUUAUAUAACAUAUUUAUUAUAAUAACCAUGUUACUAUCAUAUUUAUAGUUUUUAUAUUGGUCCACACCAUGAAUAUAUAUGUUAUACUUAAAAUAGUACACAUCAAAUCAAUAAUUUGUUGAAAAAUAAAUAAAUUAUAAACAUGUAAUAUUUGGGGAAUGAUUAAAUUUUGGUGACUAACAUUUUCCAAUUAUGAUUGUAACGACAUGUACCCAAUUGUGUAGGACUUAAAACGAAUAAUAUCCACUUAGUUUGGAACAAAUCGUUAUAAAUGAUAUUAAAGUCGAUUCUUCAUCUCGUAUAGGGGUUUAUUUGGUCUCAUAGGAAGUGUUUGUUUGUUUGGUUCCUCAAUUUCAUGAGACACAAUUAUGACAUAAUGUCUACAUUAAGGAUGUUUAUGAUAUCCUAUAUCAAAUAGAUAAGAAAGUUUUUAGUGUUAUAUAAGCAUGAACCUAUUUUAACCAUAUAUAUGCGUUUUAAAUUUAUAAGAGCCAAUUUGGACUUAGAGCAAACAAUAUUUAUACAAUUGAGAUCAAAUUAUUACAAAUUGUAUAAAGUUGACCGAUUUCAAUGUGAGGGUUUGUUUGACCCCAUAUGGGUAUUUGUCUCUUUGACCUUGAUACAACGGCGACGUUGUGUCUAUAUAAAAAGCCAUUUGUGAUAUUCCACAUCGGAUAUGAAAAAUAUUAAUAUGAAUCAUUCUUAACAUUGUAGACAUGUUUUAAGGUUACGAGGAUUUAAAGGGUCACGAAGUAGACAAUAUCUACGUAAAUAAAAGUAGGUUGGAUUGUUACAAUAAGUAUCAUAAAUACAUAUUUAUAUUUAUUUAUCUAACUAUUCAUGAAUAUUGAUAUAUUUUUGUAUCUUUUUUUUAUUAUUAUUAUUCUUUUAAAAAUGUUAUUUUUCCAUAAAUUAAUGCAUAAAAAUCCACAUGGGAUAUAAGAGUGUAAUCAUCAUCAAUUACCAUAUAUAAAACUAAUAUAUGUGUAAUAAUGAUGACUUCAUUAUUAUUUCACUAAUUUGCUUUCUUUAAGAAAAUCUUUUACAUUGGUUCAAAAAUAAAUCGAUACACAAAUUAUUUAUUAUUAUUUUUUUUAAAAAUAACACCUAUGACAAAAAUUAUUAUGAUCACGUUAUUGCCAAAUAACACGUAUGAUAUAAUAAUUGUAUUAAAAUUACACUCAAAGGGUUCAUAAUGGUUGGUAGGCUAUUUUAUGCUAGUAGUCCUAUUUUCCCACUCCACUCAUCAAUCAUCUAUCCUCCACUCAAUUCGUUUUCUCAUACUAUUCCCUGCUAUUCCUCUUUCCUAUCUUACCCCUCUUCACAAACAAUUUCGUCUUCUACUUUCUUCACACCUUCACUUAAACCCUAAUUACCUAGUCAUUCAUAUUGCUAAAAGAAAAUGUUAGUGUAUGUAAAGAAAUAUAGAACAUUACCUCCAUGAAUUUCACUGAUAUGGGCUCUGCCAAAUUUACCUACUUUUCAAUCAUUUUCUACUCUCAAAUUAAGCCCUAAUUUCAGUAGAAAACCCCAAUUCUUUACUCAUUUGAAAUACCACAUAACCAAGGGGGAAACUUAUCUUUAUCUUUCAUUCUUCUGUCUUCUCCCGAAGGCCCAGAAAGUACGAGAAAAUAAAGAGCAAGCGUGGAAAAUUUUCUCAACACAGCAGCAGAGUAGAGAAAGUUGCUCCAGGUUGUUUUCCACACAAAAUCAAUGGCAGCCUUCAACAUCUCUUCAGCUACAAUCUACCGUACAUCGUCUUCAUCUUCAUCUUCAUCAUCUUUGUCUUUGUCAUCAAAGCUGUCGGUUCUCCCAAUGCGGUGUGCUCCUCCAAGGCCUUACCGUUCUAGAUUCUCAAGUAAGGCUUUUGCUUUUUUCAAGAGAUUUUUUUUUCUUUCGGUUUUUACUGUUUUGGUUAAUUUAUGGAACAAUUUGCAGAGAUACUUGCGUUUACGAGCAAUGAUAUCAAGGUGGGUUCCAGCAUUGAGGUAGAUGGAGCUCCAUGGAAAGUUUUAGGUACUGUUCUUUGAUUUUCUCUCUGUUGCUUUUUAAUGAAAUAGUUGGGUUUUGGAGGUAAUUUGUGUGUUAUUCCAAUGCUCAUGAGGAAGAAACACGAGACACUGAAUGCUGUAAUUGAUUCAGUUUCUAACAACCACAUUGUGGGAAUUUGUAUGUGUUGUUGUAUUGAAGUUGCUGCAAUCUGAGAUAACGUAUUGGCUAAAUGGUGGCAUCUCAGUGAAAAGUUUAUUACUUUUCAAGAAAUUAUCGGGUUUUAAAUUCCCAAAAAAACAUCAAACACUGAUGUUGAAUAUCUCUUCUUCUUCUUUUUUUCCCUAGGUAAUGUGACCUAAUGGAUGUGUUGCAAUUUGCACUAUUAGAUUCUGAGUCCUGUAUGCACUGAGACCCUGUGAAAGGAAUUUGGUAGGAAAUCAUGAAUGUGCAUAUUCUUUUUGCAUGCUUGUCCGGGACUAUAUCUAUUGUGAUUAUUUAUUAAUUGUGUCACUUCCCUAUAUGCAGAGUUUCUUCAUGUGAAGCCUGGGAAAGGGGCAGCAUUUGUAAGGACCAAAAUGCGCAAUUAUGUAACGGGAAACACUGUUGACAAAACUUUUCGAGCUGGUUGUUCGGUAAUAUUUUUUUUUUUUUUUUACUAAAACUGGUUUAUUCAUUAUCUUGGUGCUAAUAUGUUGUAGGUUUUAUUUAGUUUGCAAUGAACAUGAUCUUAAAGACUGUCCUUUGGCAAUCGUAAUGUAGUUGUUGCAACAUUAGGUUUCUCUUUUUCAAUGCACCAGAAAAGACUUGAAAGAUGGAAGUGCUUUUCCUGUUUCCAUUGGAAACCUAUUAAGUCAUUAUAGUUUAGGAUUCUGUCAUAGAUUUUGCAUUUUCUUCUCCAAGUUAUUAUAAUUUGGGAUUCUAUUUUAAAUUUCCCAUUUUCUUCUCUGAGAUUUUUUUUCUUAAUUAACAUUAUAAUACUAUCUUGGCAAGGUUUAAUUUGGAUUCAUGGUGAUGUAGCUCCAAAGUGAAUGAACUAUGCAAUCUCUCAUAAUGUGAUUGUGGGUUUGACUACGUAAUUUCUCUCUAAUUUCAUUAGUUAUUCUUCCACCUCUUUCCUGAUUUUCUAUUGGCCUGUGGAUUAAGAAACUAAAUAGUUUGGGUUCUUAAUUUGAGCAACCUAAAGUUGUGUGGCUCUCCCUACAAUAGUUUAUCCAUGUUGGAUAUCGUACUUGUGCCAGGGUCUUUGUUAGAACAAUGUAAAUGUAAAGUAUUUAUAAAUUGCAUUUCAAACCCUUAGUCACAAAGCCAUAGGGCAGGAUUUAUGAUUGCUGAGGUGGGAACUGUUCUUGAGGACAACAUUGUAAUGGCUGGCACAAAAUGGUUGAAUUGCAUCAUGAAAUAAAGCUUCUACUCAUUUGUCAGCGGCACAACUAGGCAUGUUUAAUGCCUGCGCAGCCCUUGUGCGCCUUUGUUGGCCAUUCAAAGCCCAUAAGUCAAGCAUGAUUGGCUUAGGUUCCAUGAAACUUAGUUUUUUGUUUGAGUCUAUGGACCAUAAAAACAAUUUUUUUAAGGUUCUUGAAAGUUUAAUGCUGGAAACUCCAAUUCCUCUUAUGCUUGCAGCCCAAAAAUUUAGAUACUUUUCUCCAUUUUUUCCAAUGUUAAGAAUAAGAAUAUAAAAUUAAAGAGUGCCUAACAAGAAAACCAAUGUACAAAGGACACAUAUGAAGAGCAUUGAAGACAACAAGAACUAUAAACAACACCUUAACCCCUCCCGUAUAAACAAGUGAAGAAUCAAGAAUUGAAUAAAGUUACAAUCCAAAAAAAUAUUUGACCACAAGAAGAUAUUUUCAAAUGGGUCACUCAAUGGCAUUUUCAAGCUCUCUAUGCCCUCAAAAUAUCUUUUAUUUCACUCCCUUCAAAUGGAUCAAAGAGGAAAAAGGGAACUAAUCUCAUGCUAAUAUGAUUGACCAACUCCUUAUCCUGCUUGCUGAGGACUUUAAAGGCCAUUCCUGUUUCAUCAACUAAAAAUGUAGGUACUAUGUUGAUACAAGUCCUAAGUUGCUUCAAAACAAUGAAAAAUGCUGUUCAAUUUCAUCUUUGGGAUGCACUUUCUUAUAAAUAAGCCAGAAGAAUCUACCUUAUUCAUCUCAUGUUAGCAAAAUUUUCAACUAUUACAUACCUUAACGUAUCCUAGUAUUAUAGUCAUAAUGAUAUCAGGUCUCAUGCAACAAUUUAGGCACAUGUCUUUUCCUAAUUACAUUUUUCAAAGCCUUAAAUAAUUCUCAUGCUAUUAGAUGCCUUACUAACUUCUUAUAUUCCUUCUAUUAUCUUCUUGCAUCUCUAGAUAGAUGAGGCCAAUGUGUACAAGGAGACCAAGCAAUACACAUAUAAAGAUGGUGCACAGUUUGUCUUCAUGGACCUGGUAUUGCUCAUUUUCCUUUUCAUAUAAUUUAUUACUCACUUCAAACCUAUCAGCUUAACUAAACCUUGUGCCAGCUGCUUCAGUUAUUCUGAUUCAUUUUUCACUUAUCAAUAUGUGAAAAAUAUUUCUUCUUAUCAAUAUGUGAAAAAUAUUUCUUCUCAUAUGAUUGCAAGAUGCUGGCUCUUAUUACUGCUUUCCACAGAGUACAUUUGAAGAAAUUCGACUUAAUGAGUCUGAUGUUGGAGAGAGGACAAAGUGGCUGAAAGAGGGCAUGGACUGCAAUGUGCUAUUUUGGAAUGGAAAGGUACCAAAGAUUUUGAAUAUUUAAGUAUUUAAACUUUUCUCAUGAUCUUUUCAUUCAAGUUUUCUGUCACGUGUAAAGAGAGAAUAUGUGUUGAAUGUGUUUAGGAGAUUGUGUUUUAUGGCGAUUUAAUGCACAAGAGUGUGAGUUUGCAUGGAUAACUAAGUUCUUGGAAUAGCACUCUUCAAAUGGCUUACAAUAAUGAAUCAUAAUCUGAUGAACAUUAAGCAUCACAGAUUCAAGGAUGUACAUGGAAUUCACAUGUUACAUGCAUUAGCAAACUUGUGCAUGGUUACCAUUCAUUUUAUGAGAGGCGAAACAGCUGAUUGAUUUUUUCCCCUGGUAAUCAAAUUAACUAUUUAUAUGGUUGCAGAUUAUUGAUUUUGAACUCCCCAUUACAAUCAAGCUGACUGUUGUUGAUGUUGAUCCUGGCAUUAAAGGUGACACUGCACAAGGUAAUGCGAUUUGGUUUCUAUUGAAGUCAUGACACAAUGGCCUACUGAGUUUACAUGCCCAUCAAUCCAUGCCUUGGGGAUUACCAGUGGAUGGAUUUGGUCUUUAAUCCAUGUCCUGGGGAUUACCAGUGGAUGGAUUUGGUCCCACGCAAGAAUCUGAUCUUGGAAAUGAUAAAACAUAUGAUCAUUCUACCAUUGCUCUGAUCUGCCACAAACAGAUCAGAUGUCCUAAUCGGGUUAUGCAGGGCCUAAUUCAUCUGCUGUAUGACCAUAGUCUUGGAUUGGAAUGGUUUUAAUUAGGUUUGAAAAGUGCUUCACCUAUCAAUCAAAAUAUCGACAACUUUGUUUUCUUCAUCCAAGUAGCAGCAACUUAAUAUUUGGGCAGCGAUGUGACAAUCAUAGAAAUCAGUUUUUUUGAAGUAAUAAUAUGCCGUCAUUGGUUCACCCAUUGUGUGUUUGGCAAUGUUUCUUCAAUUUUCUUUUUUGCUUUUUUUUUUUCCAAUUCUUGACAUUCCUAAUCGCAGCUCACCUCUUUUUACUCUGGGAAUGCUCAGUUUUCCCCCCGCAAUACUGGUUUAGUAGCCCAAAGUGUCUGUAUGUGGUUGGUGAUUGUAAGAAUUUGUGGGGAGGGAAACAGUUUGUUAGACAGCUUUUGCUUCUAAUUUGGCAAACAAUAUUUUCUGGCAGGUGGAUCGAAGCCAGCAACUCUCGAUACAGGUGCUGUUGUCAAUGUCCCUCUGUUUGUAAAUAUAGGCGAUCAAAUAUUGGUGGAUACAAGAACUGGGGAGUACAGGAGUCGCGCAUAGCCAUAGAGAUCCCUUAUCUCUCGUCAUCUCCACAAGAUUCUACCCUUAUAUGUUUUUGUUAACUACCAAUGCACUGUACCCAUUGAAUGCAAGGAAAAUAAAUCAGAGAGGCUAGAUAGUAAAACAGUUGUAAUCUUAAUUUUUCUACUUUACAUUGUCGAUUGACAUGAUGAACUCUUUUUUUAUGUCAGAAGGGAAAUUCACAUUCAUUUCAUAAGACAUUUCUGUUUAGAGAAGGUUAUGAACAUGCUCGCUCAUUCGUCCUAAGCAUUAGAACUCAGCAAAAGUUUCCGGAAACGCUAGUGUGAAUUUUUGACACUAUCAAAUUCAUUGAAGGCAUGAGCAUUUUUGAAACCACAUGCAGCUGAAAGAAGUAUACAAUACAAAUAGGAAUGUACAAACCAUUGAUCUGUCAAGUCUACCAUUUGGUAUGAAUGCUCACAAGCAACAGUAGAACCUACAACUAACCAACAAUUGCAUUCUUGCGGCUUGAAGACUUGCCUGGCCUCUUGUGAGGGAUCACACCUCUCUUCAGAGCUGCACCAUAUACAGUACAAGCACUCAACCAUCUCCCCUGUUGAUUGAACUCAUCAAUCAAAAGGUUAUAACAAAUCCUACUGGGAAUUCUCCUCCCUUCGCACAUGAGAACCAAGAUCGACAGUGCCUCAUCAACCCUUCCCUCACUGCAAAGUGCGCGAAUGACACUGUUGAAGGUGAUCAUCCUGGGAGGAAAAUAUCCAAACCCUACCAUCUCAUUUAAAUACAUCAAAGCCUUGUCUACCUCCUUGGCAACACAAAGGGUUUGGAUCACUAGGCCAUAUGUAUUGGGGUAAAUGGCACAGCCCGCGUUAAUCAUUUUCUCAAACACUUCAUGGGCAUUUUUCAACAGCCCUUCUUCUUUCCAUGAUCUCCUGCACAAUCCCCUCAACAUGGUGUUCAUCAUCCUCUCUUCCACUUUGAAACCGGCCUCCACCAUCUCCCUGUAAAUUCGCAGCGCAGAAUGAAUUUUGCCCCACUUCAAUAGUCCAUUCAACAAAGUGCUAUAACUGAUAUAAUCAGGCAUGCAGUUUCUUUCUUUCAUGUUCUUCAAUAGAUGAAUCCCCUCUAAUGGCCUUCCUUCCUUGCAAUACCCAUUGAACAGGGUAUUGAAAGUGACCACAUUUGGGGUCAUUCCCAUUUCCAGAGCUUCAACAAGCAACUCCAUUGCCUCAUCCGACCUACCCACUUUGCAAAACCCAUCCAUAACAGCUGUAUAUGAAUAUAGGUCUGGUUUUACUGAAGAUUUCUUGAUUUUCAUCAAGAAUUCAUACGCAUCCUCCACCCUCCCCACAUAGCACAACCCCUUUAACAGGCAGUUAUAUGUCUGAACAUUACCUUUGCAUCCAAUUCGACCCAUGAACUCCAAAAUCUCCACAGCUUUCUGCAAUUUACCCCUUCUGCAGAAUGAAUUGAUCAGAAUAGUGAAUGUUACUACACUUGGUUGAAACCCAAUUUCCACCAUGUGCUCAAGAACUCGUUUUGCUUCACUCGGGUCAUUUUUCUUGCAGUGGCACUUGAUAAUAAUGGAAAAAGUCCAAGAAUCUGGCACCAUCCCAUAGGAUGAUAUAUCACAGUAGAGUUUCAGCGCAAGGUCAGGCUCAUCUGCUAUGAAUAAAGCCAGGAGCACAUCAUUGAAGACAGAAAGGUUCUGAAAUGCCCGUUCUCUCUCAAACACAUGGAUAAUUUGGAUUCUUUCAGAAGUGGGUAAGGCUCUAAUCCUAUCAACAAAGUUAUGGACUUGUAAUCUAGUAUUUCUCCUAUCAAAGUCCAUGCUAUGUGGUUCUUCCUUGAUGGGUCUGUCAAUGGAGACUCCAUUUGGACAAAUCCUAUCAGUUGCAUUGGCGAUACUGAGAGUGCUUUCUGAUGAAUUCCUAACAGAGAAUGAGAGAGUGGUGGCAUGGAGAAGCAACUUACCUUGUUGGGUUUUGUUGUGGUUGUUUCUGAAGAAGCAAGGGCUACUAAAAAUCAAAGAAUGAAUGGGUGAAGGAUGUGGAGAAAACAAUAGUUGAGAAGGCAUGUAUGCGGGAUUCGUGAAUUGGGGAAGAAGGCUAUUGCAAAUCAUGAUGUACACUGCUCACCAAAGAGGGUAGUGGGAGGGGCAUUUUGAGGCAAAUGAGCUGUUUGAAACUACAAUUCAUCCCUGGAGAUAUUCUCUACGCCUUCACAAGGUUGAAGCAACACCAUUAAUUCAGGUCAAAAACAAGUGUUAAAUACCCCUCGAAAAUCUGUCGACACCCACAUAUUAAUUUAUUCUUUAAAAAAUAGAACUUAAAUAUGGAAGGGCAAAAUGACCUUCUCUUCAUCCUUCUUCCUAUCAAAUUUGAUAAAUUGAUGAUGAAAGCUAUAUUUUGUAUUAUUUCUUUUUGAACUUUAUACAAAAAUGUAAAUGAAUUGUAUAAGGAAAGAAAUGAAUAAUAUUCCUAAGAUAUUGGAAAGUAUCCUAAAAUGAAGAGAAUCAAAUAUUAUUAAUAUUUUAAUUUUGUGAGAAUUAAAUAUUUCUAUAUUUUGUGAGAAUCAAAUAUUAUUAAUACUUGAUUUUCUCUAGAUUUAUGGAAAUAUUGAUGGAAGUGUCUUCUUACCCUUUAUGUGCUUGAUUAUGUGUAUUUCCUCAAGUUAGAGUGAGAACAAACAUGGACGUCUAAUUUGUUCAAAGAUUUGGUAAAAAUAUCAGCAAGUUGAGAAUGUGUAAAAACAUAGUGAGUAACAAGAGUGCGCAUAGUUACCUUAUCUCAUACAAAAUGAUAAUCAAACUCAAUAUGUUUAGACCAAACAUGAAACAUGGGAUUAACAAACAUGUAAAGAGCACUAACAUUAUUACAAAAUAAUUGUGGUGAUUUAGAGAGGGACACACUAAUAACUCGUAAAAAAUAAGUAAUCUAAAUUAACUAUGCUAUGGAGAAAGCCAAAGAGCGAUGCUCAACCUCAAUGCUUGAGCAAGCAACAACUAGUUGUUUCUUUGAACACCAAGAGAUACAAUUUGCUCCAAGAAAAACACAAUAACCCAUGGUGCUCCGUCUUGCAGCAGGACAACCUGCUCAAUUAGCAUCACUAAACCAAUAAAAGAGAUAUUGGAUUGGUGGAUAGGUAACGUAAACCAAAGUAUUGGGUUCCUUUAAGAUAUCUUAAGAUACCCUUUAUAGUUGUCAAGUAAGCCAUAAUGGGGUUACUAAAAUAUUGACAUACCUGAUUAAUUGUCAUAUGAAAGUUAAGUAUUAAACGGGUUCAACAAUAAUUUAGAAAGUAGUAACAUCAUUUAAUACAUUGUUUGAAAGAGAAGACUCGUUAGUAAGAACCUGAGGUGGGGCAACAUGAUUACUAUUAAACAUCUUAGUUCUUGAAAGUAGGUCACGUAUAUACUUUUGUUGAGAAAGAAAAACUCCUUCAUCAAAAUAUUUAAUCUCUACAAUAAGAAAGUAACGUAGAAGGCCAAGAUUUUUAUUUGCAAAUUCAUGGCUGAGUUGUGCAAGGAGACUUGUAAUAAGAAGACUUGUAAUAAAUUGGUUAUUGUUACAUACAAGAAGAACAUCAUCCACAAAAAUGAGGAGAAUUGUAGUUAUGUCAUGAGUGCAAUAAAUAAACAAUGACGAGUUCACUUUAUUGCAAUAGAAACCAAAUCGGAGCAAAAAUUGUGAAAAGUGAUUGAACCAAGCACAAGAUGCUUAUUUCAAACCAUAUAAUGAUUUCUUUAAUAAAUACACAUAAUCAGGAAAAAGAAAAUUAAUAAAGCCUGAAGGCUACUCCAUGUAGAUUGUUUCCUUUAGUUGCCCAUGCAAGAAUAAUUUUUUUAUGUCCAAUUGGUGCAUGCUCCAAUUUAAAGAAAGAGAUAGAGCUAUGACAAGACACAUGGUGGUUGGUUUAACCACAAGGUUGAAAGUUUCAUUUAGUCCACUUUUGAUACUUGUAUGAAACAUUUUGCAACCAAGUGAGUCUUAAAACAAUCGAUAAAACCAUUUUCUUUAUACUUAAUAUGAUUUACCCAUUUGGAGCUAACAACAUUGAUUCCAGAUGGUGAGAAACAAACUCCUACAUGUUAUUAUCAUGAAAUGCUUGAAGUUUAUCUUUCAUGACAUCAGUCCAACUUAAAUCCUUGAGAGCGGUCUUUAAGGUCUUUGACUCAAAUGAAAUGAGAUCAUAUACACGAGAAGAGGUUGGUGAUGAAAUGGGAAGAACAAUAUAGUCACUGAGGUAAAAAGGUGGCGUUCUAACUCAAACAAGUUUAGUUUAUGGCACUAACUCAAUUGGAGAGACUCAUGAAAUGUCAUCAUAUUCAAAUUUAGCUUCAGUUGAAGGAGAAGAAUGUGUAAGACCUUCAUCCACAGUUGGAAUCAAAUUCUCUAAAGUUGAAGUAUAUGGAACCAUUGGAAUAAAGGUAGAAUUUGCAAAAAAAAAUUGAGGUAGUUGCACUGUUCAAGCUAAGUUGAUUUUCUUUGUUAUUUCCUACAAUAUUUGGAAUAAAAUCUACAAUAAAAUUAGGGUUACAAAAAUAAAAGGAAUCAUUUGACAAGGUAGUUUCCUUAUUAGUUGAAUCGAACCAUUCAUCCAAAUAAGGGAAGUCAAACAUUUCCAAAUUUGUAAAAUUAGAGACCACAUGUAAGGACUUGUAAAUAAUGGUGCCUUCAUCAAAGACAACAUGUCUAGAAAUACAAACCUACCUUGUUUGAGGCUCCAAGCAUCUAUAAUCCUUAUGAAUCGGGUUAUAUCUGAGAAAGACACAUAGAUAAGUCUUGUUGGUAAAUUUUGAACCAUAUUGAUAAUGUAAUGAUGAAAAACAUUGACAUCCUAGUACUCGUAAGCCAUUGUAAUCAGGAUGCUUUUUGUAGAGCUUAAAGUAAGGGAUAACAUUGUUAAUAGUUGAGGAGGGCAACUUGUUUAUAAGAUACACAGUUGUAAGAAAGACUUCAACCCAAGGAGAUAAUGACAAGGUGGCAUGAAAAAACAUGGUCAAUAAGGUUUCAACAAUAUGUCAAUGUUUUCACUCGACCAUUUCGUUUUGUUCAAAAGGUCCAAUACAUGAACAGGUAGCUCCAUUCCAUUAUUCUAAAGAUGCUUAAGAAAAAUAUUAGAGCUAAAUUUCCUCCACUUUCACAUAUGAAAUGCUUUAAUUCUUUGAUUAAAUUGAUAUUCUACCAAAUUUUGAAACUUAUGAAAACAAACAGAAAAUUCAAAUUUCCAUUUCAAAGAAUAAAACCAUGUGAAUCAUGAAUAAUCAUUGACAAAUAUUGCAUAAAAAUGAAAAUGUUGAUUUAUAGUCACAGGAGCUGAGCCCCAAAGAUCACAAUUAUCAAGAGGAAUUUUAGAAAAUUUAUUUGAAUAAUAGAGAGACAAUUUGCAACUCUACCCCAUUUGACAACUAAUAUAAAUAGAAGGUUUAGUUGCUCAAUGGGUUAUAUCAAUAAAUUUCUAUUCCUUUAAUAAGGAAAGAAUUUUUUAGUUUGGAUGUCUAGGUUGUUGAUGCCAAAUUGAUAAAGAACCAUAUUUCUUUAUUGCACUAAAUGCCUCUUAAUUGUUUCCAUUUAACAUAUAUAGUUGUCUUUUCUUAUGCCUCCUUGUUAUUGUCCUUUAAUUUUAGUCCUUAACAACAAAGUCAGAUGAGGUGAAUUCAAAAGUACGUAAAUUAUUUGCAGUAAAUUUUUUAAUAGAUAACAGAUUUUUCUUUAAAUAAGAAACUUCUAACACGUCUUUUAAAUCCAAUUUUCCUCCAUUAUUCCAAUAUGAGAAAUAUGUAGACUAUUUUCAUUUCCAACAUAAAUAACAACAUUCCCAUCAUAUGAUUUAAUAUGAAAAAUUUUACUUGCAUUGUUGGUCAUCUGUGAGGUAGCACCGGAAUCAACAAUAAAUAACUAAUCAUUUGAGUCAUUCAUGGCAAGAGUAGCAAUAACUUGUGGAAAAUCUUUAGAUUGGUAGGAAUAAUCUAAUCUAUACCAACAAUCAAUAGCAAGAUGAUUUGGUUUUCCACAUAUUUGACAAGUUACUUUACUAUUAUUAUUUGAGCUAGUAGGACGUUGUUGUUGAUGCCUUUUUUUUGGUUGAAUUGUAUUGUUAUUUGACCAUUUAGGAAUGUUGACAUUGCUUUGAGGAUUAUGGUUGCCAUUAUAGUGCUUAAUAGGUGUGAAUCCUCUUCCCUUUGAGUUGAAAUUUCUUUUACCCACUCGGCCAUUUUGAUCACGACCUUGUUGUCCAAAGAAAAAUUGUGCAUGCUUUAAUAAUAUUUUCUCUUCCUCUUUUUGGGUGGUGAGUGAUUGUUUAUGUCCUUGAAGAGCUAGCAUAAACUAGUUAAAGAAAUGAUAAGGUGGUUUAAUAAGCAUAACAAGUAAAAAAAUUUCAUUCCUUGUCCUAAACCAUGAGCUAAUUGAAAAACUUUAUCUUGGUUUGAAAUUGGCUUUUUGACUAUAACAAGAUUGUCACAUAUAUUUUUGAAGUUUCUUAAAUAUUCUUCAAAAAACAAUGACCUCUUGUUGAGAGUCAUCAACAUAUUUUUCAAAUUCUUUUCUUUUUUUACUAUAAUACAAAACAAUUGCUCUUCAAAAGACGUCCAAACUUCAUAUGUUAUUUCAACACCAAAGAUCAUGCUCAAAACAUCUUCUUUCAUAAUUCCAAGAAGCCAUGAAAUAAGAAGUCUAUCGUUAUUGAUCCAUAGUUGGUAUUGUGGGUUAGGACUUUUGAUUUUUUCAUCAUCUUUAAUUUUUUCAGUAUGUUUUUCUCCAUUUAAUAGAUGAUGGAGAACAUCGAGGCUACGAACAAAGGCAGUGAUUUGACUUUGCCACCGUAAGAAAUUUGUGGUGUUUAACUUCAUAGAGAUGAAACUAGAACAUUGGUGAAAUGACUAAGUAUUGAGUCCAAGUUCUAUGUUUAGGAAAGAGGAAAAGAAUGAAGAAGAAGAUAUAUAUAUUCCAAGCUUGAUUUUCAUAAUACCAAUUCUUGGGUUUGUUAUGAUACUUGGGUAUUACAUUUUUGGGCUUUGUUUUCCGCAUGCUUAUUUAGGCCUAAUUAAGUUUGUUCAACAUUGGAUUGGGCCUAUUUACUAAUUAUAUUGGGGCUGUAUUUCCUUACUAAUCCAUUUUUUUUAUUAAAUAAAAAGUUCAAAAUCAAUUUUUUUUCUAAAAAAAUAUUUUAAUGAAAUAACAAUUUAGAAAAUAUUCCUUUUAAUAAAAGUCUGGACAGUUCUCUUAAUAAAAAGUUCAGAAAAAAAUGUUUUUAGACGAAUUUUAAAAACUAUUUUUAAUAAAAACUUGGAAAUUUAUUUGUUUAAUAAAAUUGUCAAGACAGUUAAUUUUUAAAUAACAUUAUUCAAAAGGUUAAUUUUUAAUAAAACAGUUCAAAUUUUUUAUUUUUAAAUAAAACUCCAUAAUUUUUAUAAAUUAAAAUUAUAGAAUCAUUUUCUUAAUAAAAUUGGAUUGAAAAUAUUUUUGUAUAUGAAAAAAAUCAAUUCAUUUGUAAAUAAAAUCAAAUUGGAACAUUCUUUGUUAUUAAAUUUGUAAUUUUUUUUUUUAAUAAUUGGUGUAAAUCUUGUUUCUAAAUGAAAUCCAAAAUCUUUUAAAUAAGAAUAUAAUUUAACGAAUUUUAAUGUGAAAAAAAAAAUUCUUAAUAAAAUUGGGAUCUUGGAAACAAAUUUGUGAAAUUUCUUUCCCUAAAUAAAUAAAUUGAUAAUAAAAAAUAUAUUUUAAAAAAAUUAAAUCCAAAAAUAAUCUUUUUAAUAAAAUUGGGCUGAAAGUCCAUUUUAUAAACUUAUAUAUAUCUUUCUUUAAGUAAGUAGAAAAUCAUUUUUUAAAAAACAAAAUAUGAAUCAAAACACUUUUGAAAAUAAAUUUAUAAAAAUACAUUCUAGAAAAGCAAACAGAAUCAUUUUUUUAUAAAUAAAAUCAAAUUGAACCUUUUUUUUUUUUUGUGAAAUUGUAUUCAAUAAAUUCUUUUUAUAAAAGAUAAGAGAAAUUCUUUCAAAAUAAAUUUGAAUGUGAAUAAUAGUUAAGUCUUUUGCAAAUAAAUAAAUUAAAAUCAUUGAAAUUGUUUUUAAUGUAAAUAUAUUCUUUCAAAAUUCUUUUAAAUUAUGUUGUGAUUUUUUGAACAAUAAAACUUUUUUUUUUCUAAUUAAUUUAAUAAAUCAAUUUAUAUAAUUCUCCAAAUUAGUUUUGUCGUAUAUUUACAUCUUACUUUUCUUGAUAUUUGUAUUUAAUUAAUCAAUUGUCACAAUUCCCUCAAUUUGUUUAAUAAAAAUAAUAUGUAUAGAAGAUUAAAGAGUUGUUACGGUUUAUCAUUGCAUCUUCCAGAUGGUAACCUGACUUCCAAUUUUAUUUAUUUUUAUUUCACAAACUUAUCUUUUCCAAAUAAAGUCAUAUAGAAUUUUAUUUCUUAUUUUGUUUCCCUUAUAAAAAUAUACUAAAAUAAGUAAUAACUCCGAGUUUUUUAAAAAUGUAAUUUUUAACAAAUAAAAACAAAUCUCUUCAUAUAAUGAAUUUAAUGAUAUAUUAUGACAUGAUGGUGGGUCAAUGGAUAAUAUCUAAAUGUAGAUAACAAGUUGUUAUAGAAUUAUGAUAUCUUUCAUAAGAUAGGGGGAAAACCUUCUUUAAUUUAUCUUAAUUGUGUAUAUGUGUUUUAAAGUGGUAAAAUUUCAUUGAGGUUGAGUACCAAUAUCUACAUGAAAAGGAUGAGUAUUACAAAUGAUAUCAAAAUUUAUCAUUGACUUUGACUUUGACUUAGACUUAGAACUGUAAGUUAAUGUUUUGAAAGGAUGUUACGAGAGAAUGCCAUAACAAAUGGUAUUAAAGACUUUGGUAGCAUAUUACGAGGUUUAAUGUUUAUUGCAAUAAAAUUAGGGAAUUAUGAUACUUGUUACUUUCUUUAUUUGAAGCUUUUUGGCCCUUCUAUGUUUUAUUAGGGUGAAAGAUGAUUCAUUCAUAAGAAGAAAACAAAAGAAAAUCUAGAGAGCUACCCUUUUUUUUUUUUUUUUGGAUUUUACAACAGAAAAGAAUCUAAAUAACCUUUAAAAAUAUAGAGCAACAAAUUUAAUCAUUGAAGAACUCUUUUAUUAAAAAUUUAUCUAGAUGGGUUAAAAUGUGCAUAAUGGAAGGAGUAUCUUUAAUUGAUCUUGUAGGUUGGGCGUGAUCUAGACCAUGGAGGGAAGGCUUUUUUGUUUUUUUGUUUUUAUAUUCAUACCUUUUGUUAUCCUUUGUAUAUAGGACUUGGUGUAUAGUUAUUUAUAAUUUUAGUGAUAUAUACUCUCCAUUUUCUUAUAUAGUUACUUCUUCUUUCAAGUGGAAGAUAACCCCGAGCAAUUGUCGAUUUUUUUCUAUCAAUUAUGGCUCUCCCCUCACUACCCCGUGGGAUGAGUUCACGCUUACCUAGUCAAUACUUAAAUUGGAUUCUACCUCAAUUUUUCUAAUUUACCCCAACAUUUUUCACUUAUUUGUGGGCAAUUUUUGGAUAUCAAACGCUUCGCUAACUAUACAUUUAAAACCCACCUCAAAAAGCACGUCGUUUUAUGAAUCAUGUUUCAUUAAUUUUCAUUGAUUUUGUCUUCAUAAAAAAUGGGUCUCAAAUCCUCUACCCAAAAAGAAAAAGAAAAAAAAAGGAUAGGCAAUAUAUGCGGACAACAUGAAUCAUUGAAGAACUCUUUUAUUAAAAAUUUAUCCAGAUGGGUUAAAAUGUGCAUAAUGGAAGGAGUAUCUUUAAUUGAUCUUGUAGGUUGGGCGUGAUCUAGACCAUGGAGGGAAGGCUUUUUUGUUUUCUUUUUUUAUAUUCAUACCUUUUGUUAUCCUUUGUAUAUGGGACUUGGUGUAUAGUUAUUUAUAAUUUUAGUGAUAUAUACUCUCUCUUUUCUUAUAUAGUUACUUCUUCUUUCAAGUGUAAGAUAAUCCCGAGCAAUUAUCGGUUUUUUUCUAUCGAUUAUGACUCUCCCCUCACUACCCCGUGGGGAUGAGUUCACGCUUACCUAACCAAUACUUAAAUUGGAUUCUACCUCAAUUUUUCUAAUUUCCCCCAAUAUUUUUCACUUAUUUGUGGGCAAUUUUUGGAUAUCAAACGCAACUCCAAAAAGGAAAAAAAAAAAAGAAAAGGAAAGGAUAGGCAAUAUAUGCGGACAACAUGAUAUGAAAAACUCGAAAAAUAAUAAAAUUCAACGACGCAGAGAUCUACUAAAUGCCUUCCAAGACACGAGGUCCUUAUGAUCCGGUACCCCUCUCCUUCCUCCCUUUUUCCCAAAAACUGGACUCAGCAACUUCUUCAGCACCCUCUUGAACCCGGACCCACGACGCCCACGUCGCACCUCCGCCCCCACCGCAGGCGGCUGAGGCAGGGGCGCAAAUGACCGAGCCGCCCCUGGCUCCGACAGGCUCCGACCCAGCAUCGCCCGCGUCAGCUGCAACUCAAAUGACAGCCUCUCGAACUGGUCCAACAGUGUGCUCUGCUCGUCUCCAAAUUUCCCAACAACAGCCGCUAUUUCUUCCAUUCUCUUCAUAUCGACCAUUAAGCUUCAAUCACAUUCACAUCAAACUCCUUCUGAUGGGUUCACAAAGUAUUUAUUGGAUGGACAAAGGUACAUGAAUAUAGAACAGUUUGCUCUCUACUUUUAUAUGCUGACAGCAGCUGGUUGCAUUUAUUUGACAGUCCUUGGAAAUUGAAAAUAUUCAAAUAUCGGUUUAUUUGAAUGCUUUCCAAGGAUAAUUCUUAUUAGAGUUUCAAUCACAACCUUAAACCCCAUGGCAAGAAUUCCUUGGGCAAAACCGGGCCAAACACUUUAUUCUUUCUUGCAUCACACAAGUUAUGUUUUGUUCCUACAAGCUUCUUCCACACAAAAGCAUUAUAGAUUGUAAAAAUAUAAAAAUGCAGUCCUAAUAUUCUAAUUCCAACAAAGAAAUGUCACAAAUAAAAAGAGUCAAUUUGGUAACUAUUUUUUAAAACAGUUUUGAAAAAUAGUUUUUAAAAACAGUGUUUAAAAACGGUUUUUUAAUGUUUAUAAAAUAAAAGUUUGAGUGCAUUUCAUAAUGAUUUUAGAAAGUGUUUUUAAACUUUCUUAUACUUCAAAAUUUUUAUCUUUCAAGUAUUAAAAAAGAUAAAAACACUUUUUAAAAUCGUUAUCAAAUGCACAAAUUACUUGAAAACCGAAAUUAUUUUUAAAUUAUAAAUAUUUUAUUUUUAAUCAUUCUACAUGUUUAUAUAAUUAUUUUUUAAUACAACUAUUAGAAAACAAGUGAAAAUAAUAUAAAACAAUUUUAAAAAGUUCUUUAAAAAUACCAUAUUUUUUGUUUUUAAAUAGAAAACAGUUUUUUGUUACAAAACAUGUUUUUUUUUAUUUUUUAUUAAGAAUAAUACAAAAAAUUGCUCCCGAAAACAAUUGUCAGACAAGUCCAAAGUAUCCACUUUAUUUUUCCUUGCGAUAACAAUAUAACCACCUUUAGUCAAGCCUAAGCCAACUGAUUAGCCUAAGAAUUUAAUAGGUAUAUUAUCUUUGUUGUUAAUAAAUACAAUUACAAAGUUUUUAAAAAUAUAUAUAUAAUUAAUUUUAAAAAAUAAUUAAAAUUUGUUUUUUUAGAUAAGUUUUAAGGGAGAUAAAUUAUGUAUAUUUAUUUUAUGUGUGCUAACUACACGUAAUUAAAAAGCGGCCCAAGCUUGGAGCCCAGUAGUAUAUUUUGGAUGGGUUUCGUUGAUAUCGUGGACCAUUUCUCGGGGUUAAAUGAUUGGGCCAGACCAUGGGCUGGGCUCGAAUUAAAAAAGUCUGUUCAAGGCCCAGUCUAGACGGAUCAGGCUCGGCCUAGGGGGGAAAUGGGUUUGGCUUGAGGUUUGUAAAUGAGUCCGACAUAUAGGAAUUGGAAUGAAGGCCCAUUCGGCCCAUAAAACCCGAACUGUCGAUUCUCGCUGAUUCACCCACUCAAUUGCGUCAUGGUGAGCUGGUGGUUCUCCACUUCCACUGGUUUUGAAUCGAAAACAAAAACCUAAACUUCGAUCUCCUUAUACCCUCAAUAACUCCUUCCUUUAUUUAAUGCGUGAAGUCUAAGCUCAGUGAUUCGAUUUCAGUUGCUAUUGGCUAAGGACUUGUAAUUUUCCAGGAAAAGGAGGUUGUUUUCAUGAUCACAAGUCUGUUUGGAUGGAUAGAAAUGAAUUUCUUCCUGUGAUUUUCUUGCUUUUUCUGGUUGUAAAUGUUUCUGGUGGUUCAGUAGCUGGUAAGUUCCGAAAAUUGGCUGAUGCUGAGCCAAAGGAGGAUUCCACUGCAACCAAGGUAGUACUGAAAACAAUUCUCUGAUUAGAAUUGCUUAUUUUGAAGUGAAAUAAUGAUUGCGAUUCUGAGACGUAAACCAUUGUUUUUAGAUUGAUCCGCCGCCGUCUCCAGUUUCUGUUGGCAAUCAAUCGGAGCCAAAGCCGAUUGAUCCAGGCAAACUCGGGAAGGAGAAAUCUAAGGAUGCCCCAGUACCCACCACCAACUCUUCAAAAGCAGAUUCAAAAGGGAAGCAAAAAGAGAAAAAUGAUGAUAAAGCCAGUUCAGAACUGGGAACAUAUGGGACUUGUGAUGGGUUACUUGAGAAGUGCACGGACCCCAAGAAAAAGAUGAUUGCUUGCAUUCAAAGUUUUGAAAAUGGUAUUUUCUCAUGGAUUAUGGUUUUGUUGCAAUGUGGUGUUGCUUUAGGUAGAAUGAUUCUGUACUUGCAUUUAGUAUCAGUUUUAGUGAAUGGGGUCUGCAAGUCUCAUUUUGGAAAACUACUAAGAGCAAUAUCAAAUUAAAUGAACUAAAUUUUUAUUGACAAGAUUUGUUGGGUAUCAUACUGAGUUGUUAUCUAAAUACUAUUGUCUUGUCAAAACUUUUGAUAUAGAAGUAUUUCAGAUAUAGGGCUCAAGUAUUUUGUUAUAUUAGUAUGAGAAUAUGAUGGCUUAAACGCAUUGAGAAUUGAGAUAAAUGGCAGAUUCAGGGCUAGACAACUGUGGAACAUCCAUGCUGGAAUUUUAGAGCUAGCAGCUCAUUAACACUUGUACAACUUAGAGACUUUACUAUUUCAAAUGUUGAGUAUAAAGUUUGGCAGGCAUGUGUAGGAGUCUAAAUGAUGUCAGUAAAACUGUUACUGCUUCUGGUAGAACAAUUUUGGACUUCUUGGAGGUGCAUUUGCUUGGUAGCAAGCACCAUAUCUGAAAUUACUUAUUGGGUCGAAAGGUGGCAGUCAGGAAGUGCAAUUUAAAUAGAACAGCAAUUGGAUUGCAAUGUUGACAACAAAAUAAAUGGUUUAGCUUCAAGCUUUUCUAUUACAUAAUAUGGAGGAAAUCAGGAAUUCAAAAUUCCACUCUUAUUAGUGAGCGGUAACCUGGUUACUGUGGUUACCAUUCUCCCUUGUGUAUCAUUUCCACUUUUCUGCUUGUGGAGUUAGAUGCAGCAUUCUCCUGUAGUCUGAAUAGUUUCAAUGGGGAUACCGAAACAAAUGCAUUUUUAGCUAUUUUCUUUGUACUUCAUAGUUUUUUUUAUAAGCAAAAUAUUGGAAGUGGACUAUAAUUUAAAGCAUUUCAUGGUUCCUGUUUUAGAACAAUCACAGUGGAUUCUAAUCUUUAGGUGUCUAUGUUACAGCUGUCAAACAGAACUUAAUAUAUUAGUUAAAAGCACGGAUUCCUUUUUGAGAUAUUGAAUUGUGUUGAUGUUUAUUCUAUGAUAUGUUGGAUACUCCUCUAUCAACAUUUAUUGGCAUGUCAAUCACUAGUUAAAGUGUAAAUCUGUCUAUGAGGGUAAAGAGCAACUAAAGUGUAACUUUGAACACAAGUGUCUGCUUUUGGUUCGGAAACUUCAACGGGUCUACAUUUGUUUAUUUCAGAAUUGUGUGGAAGGAUAUGUGAUUGUCCUGCUUAUGUUUUGGAAGCUAUUGAUAUUUGUUUUUUGUAUUGGCCUUGAGUCCUAUCUAAAGUGCAAGAUGAUGGAGAAGGUUCCAGGUUUUAUUCCCAUUUAAAGGCCAAAUAGAAAAAACUAUAAAAAAAUUAUAUUUUUAGAUUGAUUUCUAUUGUUAUUUCACAUGCACAGCCUUAGAGGCAUGCUGAAUAUAUUCUUGUUCAUAUAAAUUUGUUCAAAUCCAUACUCAAGACUCAAACCAAUGUGAAUAUUUUUAUUUAUAUAGAUUCAUGAGUGCACAUAUGCACAAACAUAUCCUCAUCUCAAUGUUUUGAGGAGUUCUUAUCUCUGUGCUCCAAGUCCACAUGAGUGUGUGAUAGUUGUCCAUGCCUGCAUUCUUGGCUUUUAUUUCUUUCUGAGUGUUUAAGAUGUGUUAUUGGACACAUUCUUUAAUAACAUUUUGUUUCUUAUAAAGGAUUGAUGUCUCACUGGGCAUUGACUUUCUACUAAGCUAUAUCUGAUUAGGAUGGUUUCUGCAGUUCUACGUAGGAUGAGUUAGUACUUCUGAUGCUAUAUUAUUCUGUGUGGGUGCUUUUUUUGUUGUGAUAAGCUUUAGGCAUGUUUAGUCACUCAAAUUAUCUAUCUCAAAUGGCCUCAAAUAUAACCUCCUGUAUCCAUUUUUGCUACCCUUUAGUGGGCCUUGGGUUCUUUUGCCAUCUUUCGAGUAACUUGUUAUUAAGGAUUCAAGGAAGCUAAUAAAACAUCAUUUAAUGUCUUCUGCAAAUUUGGAAUGCUGUCUGAGUGUUUGUCGGUUAACUUAUUUUCUGUUAUAUUUGUUGUUUAUUGACAUGGAUUCAAUUCCCCACAGAAUAUUGUGUUGAUAUACCAUUAGUUUUACAUAUUUCUUGUCAAGGAGAGAGUUCUUCAUUGCCUUCCAUUUUCCUUUGUAACAGGAUCCAAAGCCCUCAUUGUCCAAAAUGAAGGAGAGAACACUUUGAAAGUGAAUCUUACUGUCUCGGAUUCUGUGAAAGAUGCUUUGGAGGUUCUAGUAAUACCAAAACAUCAAACUAGAAGUGUAUGGGUCCUUUCUCUUCUGCUACUUUGUCUUUUUCUUUUGAUCGUUAUGAAAGCCAUUGGAAAAAGAAUGAUGGCAUGAACCUGAAAUACAAGCCUUUCUGAUGGAACACUACUGAACUACUGUUCAUAUGAUGGUUUUUAAUCUUAGUGUAGUAUCAAAAGUGUCACCAGUUUCUAUUGCAUGCAUUAAAUAGAAACAUUGUCAAGUAAUAAUGACGAGGAAAAAUAAGCUUACAAAAAUAGUCUAUUUUUGGGUGGUUUUAUAGGAAAUCGCAUGAGAUGACAUGGUGGGGUAGUGGAGUGGGGUAUGAUUUCUUUUUUUGCUGUUUCUUGGAUGAAAUGAUAAAGCAAGGUUGAUUCAUGUGUUCAAUUUUUCAGCUUAGAUGAGAUUCAUGUUCUAGAAUUUUAACAAAUUCACUUAUUUGUGUCUUUACUGUAUUGGUGUUAGAACCAGAGAAUUGGAAAGAGGUAAUAUCUCUGAUAAGAGAAUAAAAAACACUAGGGACUUCAAUGCGCAGCUUGGUAGGGCACAAUGGAGGGGUGGUUUUGCAUAAAUCAUUGUCUGAUCCUUUUCAGUGUUCUGUUCUCAAAUAUGAGUAUUCUUGCUUUCUGUUAAUAUGGCAUAUCUAUUCCACUCCUUUUCUAGAUCAAAAUCCUCCUCUAAAAUAACCAAAUUGUUUUUAUAACUGAUAUAGAGGAUCACCUCCAGAAUUAGAUGAUUCCUAAAACUUCUUCAAAAGUAGUUUACAAUAGAGGAACUUUGGAGUCCUGGCCACGAGGACUUUGAGGAAUCAUCCAAUUUUGGAGAUGAUCCUCUAUUUCAGCUGUAGAAAUAAUUUGUUUAGAGGAGGAUUUUGGUUUUGAAAAUGAGCGGAACAGAUAUUUCAUAUGAAAAGAAAGAAAGAAUACUCCAAUUUGAGAACAAAACAGUGAAAAAAAUCAAACAAUGAUUUCAAAAAAACUUCCCUUCCUUGGGUCUUACCAAGCUAUGCACUAAAGUCCCCAAUGUUUUCUAUUUUGUAGUCAAAGAUAUUAUCUUUUUCCGUUCUAUAGCUCUGAUACAAUUCCAACAUUCCUAAAUGGAUAUAACAUAAAAACAAUUCAAAAUUAAAAUCUGAAAUACAAAAAGAAAAUAGUAGUAAGAGAAAUCUUACAUUCAAACUUAAAGAUAACUUUUGAUACAAGAAGCUCACACCAAGAAUACAAGAAGAGGUUACUUUAUAUAAGAGAGCUACAAUAAUUAAUGGGGUCCUUCAGAGAUUAGAAAAGAUAGCCUAGAUAAAAGAGAAACUAUGUGAACUUUGUCGCGUCUUGGGUAAGCAAUAAUGCUUUGGCAGAGUUGUACAUAAUCAUGUGAAUAGGGUUGAAUAUCGUCAAAAGCAACUUUUGCACAAUUGUCCCCUAUAUUCCAUUUGACAAAGACCAUGUGAAUGCACCUAAGAGCAAAUUGUGCUUUUACCAUCUAUCUAGAUUCUUUUAAUUAUCAAGAUUUGAGAUAAAUCUCCUUCAUAGAUAUCAUCCAAGUUUAUUGUGGUUCUAGAAGUAGAAAGGGAAUAUGCUAGAGAAGAGUAAUUUUUCUCUGAGUUCUUCAUAUGAUAACCCUUUCACCUUUUCUUUUCUUAAAGAGACUAGGUCUUUAUCCGUAGUGGUUGAAGAUGAACCAAUCAUUCUAAGUUUAGGCUAGAUAAGAACAACAUUAAAGAUUGAUGGUUUAAGAUAGUCAUUCAAAUUUUGGCCACUACCUAAUUGAGAUCCUUCUUUGAAGUUUAGGCAUUGUAGAAGAGAUAUCCUCCCAUUUAGCUAUCCAUGGAAUUUCCUAGAAUGUCGCAAGGUGUAGGAAGGCGUCAUCUUCAAACAGUACUCCUUGAUUUCUCUUACAAAAUUUUCUAAAGGAUUUUUGAACUUCUUUUGGGAAAAUGUCAUUAGUCAUUCCCUAAUAAAAACAACCAAUCUUUGAACCAAUUUGGAAAAUUCAUUAGUUUGUCUAGUAAUUGAAAUUGGAUGAACCAGCUAUGAGCUAUCUUAUCAUUUUGAAAUGAUAAUAUGGGAAAUAAUCCCAAACAUGAAUAUAAUUAUGGUAAUUGAGAGCUUUUGGGAAAAUAUUUUUAUUUUUGGAAUACUUAAGAUUUUCCUAGGUCAAAGCCCCAUCCCAAGGUAGAUAAAAUCUUCUUUAUCAAGACUUUAGAACAAGCAAUAUUAUGCUCAUUGCAUGAUAUUGAAAUUAUGAGUUAAUUGAAUUUAAGAUUGCUUCAUAGAAUUUUCUGUUUUUUGGAAGAAGGUUAGAAUUGAAAUGAUCUGUUAGAUAAAGCUUGGCUAAUUCAAUAACUCUCUUAUUAGAGUGUUCAUCCUCAAUAGUUAUUUCAACUUUACAAAAUUUUUCUGUUGUAGAAGGCAUAUUAGCCUCAAAGGAAGAUUCUUGCUUCCAUUCGUAAAGUGGCUUUGUUGGUCUCUUUGGAGUUCUACAAGAAUUCACGAUUGAGGAAGUCAAACAAACAAUUGGCUUCUUUAAUGUGUUAUAUGUCAAAGUCAAAGAUUGUAAGUAGGGCUUGCCAUCUAGCACAAAUUUGUUUUGAUGCUAAAUUUUUUACAUCCUUUGUUAAAACUUCUUUUGCAUUCUUGCCAUAGUUAUUAAAAACUUAUGAUACAAGAUAUGAUACAAAGAUACGAUACAUUUUUAUGGAAAUCGAUAUGUAUCACAAUCCGUAUCUUAGUAUACAUAUACAAUACACAAUAUGAUACUUGAUAUUACAAUACAAUGAUAUAUAUAUCCUCAAUUAUUUUGUAUAAUUUUUUUAAAAAAUAAAAUUAAUUUUCUUUUUGUUAAAAGAAUUCAUUAUGUUAAUUGUUUAAAAGGAGAAAUACGUAAAAUAAUCUUAUAUGAAAAGUUGCAUUCUUGUUGUCAUAUGUUAUAUCAAAAGUCAAAUAAGUUUAUCUUUAUAAUGAAUAUUGGAAAAUUUUCAUUUGAACGGUUUGAAUGUUGACAAUGAAAAUAAUAGUUAUUAGUGAAUAAAUUUUUUUACUUAAUAUAUUAGUUUUUUUUUAAUUUCUUUUCUAGUGGAAAAGUAAUGAUGAUGAACCUAAAAGCUAGAAAUUUGAAAAUGACACAUAAAGGCAUAUAUGUAACAACACCAUAGGUGCAUAUACCUAGUUAGAAUUUGGAAUUAAAAUUUAUAGCUAAAAAUUGACUAAGUUUAUUUUUGUGGAUUAUGUGAUGAGCUUAUAUAUUAAAGUUAUAUUUUGUUAAUUUGAACUUGUCAAAAUUUUAAUAUUCAAUGUUUUCAUAUGAUAAAAUAUAGUUUAACUCUUUAGAUUAUACUAUCUUCCAUAAAAUUGGUUAUCUAUUACUUUGUAAUCCAUAUUUUCAAUAGAUAUUCACACACACACACACACACACACAUAUAUAUAUAUAUAUAUAUAUAUAUAUAUAUAUAUACUCACUUUAUUAAAAAACUUACAAUACACGAUAUGAUAUGAUGCAUGAUACAAAAAAACAAAAAAAAACUAUAUACGAUACGUUUUACAAGUUAACAACUAUGACUCUUGUAGUCUACACUUAAAAAAAAAAAUUGUUGAGGGGAUCAUUUUGGAAUUUCAUUAUACACAAAACAAUAGAAAUAAUUUUUUUAUUAAAUAGUAGCAUAAUUUUUCUAUCUGGGUUUCCAUACCCUUGAGGUCAAUCUAGUUAGAACCUCCUUUUUCAUUUUUUAUUUGUUUAAAAAUUCCUCCAUAUCUGAUUUCUGAAGCAUUCAUUUCCACUAUUUUUGGGAUUGUAUGACAAGGGAGUUUUGAGCCUUAAC